AUCAGGGUCUUUUCCAGGGAGUCUUCUGUUCUCAUGAGGUGGCCAAAGUAUUGGAGUCUCAGCUUCAGGAUCUGUCCUUCCAGUGAGCACUCAGGGCUGAUUUCCUUCAGAAUGGAUGCGUCUGAUCUUCUUGCAGUUCAUGGGACUCUCAAGAGUCUCCUCCAGCACCAGAAUUCAAAAGCAUCCAUUCUUCGGCAAUCAGCCUUCUUGAUGGUCCAGCUCUCACUUCCAUACAUCACUACUGGGAAAACCAUGGCUUUAACUAGACGGACCUUUGUUGGCAAGGUGAUGUCUCUGCUUUUUAAGAUGCUGUCGUUUGAUUUGCCUUUAAAUGCGAAUGGAAUUGAAUUGUUCCCCAUUGUCAUGGGCCAGGAGUCAGCUUCACCUGUUGAGCAGCAGCCUGAAGGAGCAGAGGGCGAAGGGGCUCCACCUGCUGCUGAUCAGCCUUUAUUGCUCCUGAUGAGAAGCAGCUGGCUCCAGCUUUCUGAAGCAGCGUUCUUGCCCUGACCUUGCUGCUUCUUGUGGCCUUGGACCCUCAGCUUUCUUGACUCCCAGAUCAUCUGACUAUGUGAACUGCGAAACACCUGGCCUUAAGACUGAACUCUGCCCCCAGGUAAGUACCCCCUGGUUGCCUCCACUGACCUCUGCCAUGGCUGGCAGCGCAGGACUAUGACAGCCACCCCUAGCCAGGCAGCUGACUUCCGGGAGUGUGCUGUUCUCCCUCCCAUCUCAAGUGAUCUGCCUCACUUUUCCGCAUUGCAGAGGGUUGGCCUAGAUGACCGUUGGGGGUCCCUUUCAGCUCUUCAAUUCUGUGAGUCAGAGUCACUCACCCAGCUCCCAUGUUUUGCUGCUAACUCAAAGCUGUAGCUUGGUUUGGGGGCGGUGGAAAUUGGAGACAAUGAGCCACUGCGUGAAAAGAUUACGCCAAUCAUCUAGGGCGCUUAUCUGCAUUUUCUGUUCAGGGGUGUUUUUUUCCUUUAUUUUUCUCUCUUCGCAUGGAGGUGUUUAUUUGCAUAGCACUGCAAAAUGUGGCAGUUUAAGGGCAGCAGAGCAUGCAGAGGAAUUCAGAAAGGUAGAGGCUUUCCAAGAGAGCAGGAUUUCUCUUUUUUUUGGGGGGGGGGUUGUCCUAAAUUAAAGGAGAAGGAGGCACCCAUUUUUUCAUGCUCCCACGUUCUGGGGUGGUGCCAGAAGUCAAGAUGAACCAGGGAAACUGUGGCUUAUGAGGAAUGGUUGGGUGUUCUGAGUCUGGAGAAAAGACGGAAAGGUGAGACAAUAGAAUCAGGAUUCAAGAUGAACUUAACAGAUUGGGGGAACUGGGCCAAAAUGAACCAAAUGAUUGCUGAUCGGGACAAAAGUAAGGUUCUACACGUGGCCAGGAAGAACCCAAAGUGCAAAUAUAAGAAUGGGAGGCACAUGGCUUGAGAUCAGUACAUGUGAAAAGGAUCCGGGGUGACUUAGCAGACCUCAAGCUGAACAUGAGUCCACAGUGUGAUGCAGCAGCAAAUAAAGCUAAUGCUAUUCUAGGCUGCAUAGCAGAAGUCUAGUGUCCAGGUCAAGAGAAGUAAUAGUGCUGCUUUAUUGAUCCUUAGUAAGACCACACCUGGAGUCCUGUGUCCAAUUCUGGGCACCACAAUUUAAGAAGGAUGUUGACAAACUGGAACAUGCGCAGAGGAGGGUGACCGAUAUGAUCAAGGGUCUAGAAGCCAAGCCUGAUGAGGAACGGCUGAGGGAGAUGGGUCUGUUUAGCCUGGAAAAGAGGACACUGAGAUAUGAGAGCCAUCUUCAGAUAUCUGAAGGGCUAUCUCAUGGAAGAGGGAGCAAGCUUGUUUUUUCCUCCUCUGGAGGGUAGGACUCAAACCCAUGGCUUCAGGUUGCAAGAAAGGAGAUUCCGACUAAAUGUCAGGGAGAAUUUUGACCGUGGAACAGACUCCCUUGGGAGAUGGUGGGCUCUCCUUCCUUGGGGGUUUUUAAGCUGAGGUUGGACGGCCAUCUGUCAUGGAUGCUGUAGCUGAGAUUCCUGCAUUGCAGGGGGUUGGACUAGAUGACCCUCGGGGGUCCCUUCCAACUCUACAUUUCUGUGAUUCUACAGCUGAGAUUUUAACCCUGGCCUUUCAGGUCCUAGUCUGACAACCUAACCACCCCACCACACUGGCAUGGGUGGGUCAUGUUGUGACUCUGGCACCAAAGCGUGGGCUGUGUGAAGGUCCCUUUCCCAUUUAUGUAAGGAUAUGUUCGCAUUUAGCUAAUCCUGCCCAGAAAUUUGCAUCUGACUACCUUCCCCCUUUCAGAACCUCUCGACUCAUCUGUCAUGAAUACUGUUUUCAAAAAAUAAUAAUUAAAAGAUGGGGAAAGAGCAAAACCCUGUCCUGGAGUCAGGGAGAUCAUUUAUUGCCUGCAAUGGCAGAGCCUAAGAAGACUGCAGUAUGUUUCUCUCUGCUUAUCGUGGUAAAAUCAUUUCCUUAGAUACCAGUAAUACAGUUAUGUCAGGUCAUUACUCUGUGCUGUUGUGUAAAUGGAGGUCAGAAAAAACCCUGGCAUUUCAGCUCCUCUUUUUCUUCCGGGAAGAGCUGCCAGAGAUAUUUUCAUAAUAGUCUAUUCUCUAUUAGGACUGUGAGUGGCUUUGCCAAAUGUUAUGGGGGGACGGGACACAUUUUCAAUCUGUUUCAGGCUUGUGAAUUAGCCGUGCGACCAACAAAGAGGGAGUGGAGGAGGGUGAGAAACGGUGUCCUGCCUGCCUUUUGUGGAAAAUGGGUUCCCUUUAUUUCAUAAUGGAAUUUUUGCCAUACAAAUAUUUGGGCAGAAAGAUGAUUGAUUGAUUGAUUACUCACCCUUCACCUUAAGGUCCCAGAGUACAUUAUGACAAAACAAACCCAAUGCUAAAAACAGCUUAAAAUGGCUUAACCAUUUAACAGAGAUGAGGUGGGUCAUCAAAUUGUAUUACUGGAUGGGGCUCCCAAGGGUCAUCCAGACCAACCCUCUACAAGGCAGGUGCUAAAAGAAUUAGGACUACCUGAGAAGGUCCUUCGUUGGAGGUUUUAAAGCAGAGUUGGGAUGGCUAUCUGUCAUGGAUGCUUUAGCUGUGAUACAAGCAUUGCAGGGGGUUGGACCGGAUGACCCCAGUGGCCCCUUCCAACUUUACAGUUCUAUGAUUCUAUGAAGAUGCUAUUCUCAGAGGUGGGAAAUUUAGCAGAGGAUGCAGAGAUGUUCUCUUCAUGCUCUGCAGCAAACGCAGACUUGAUUUCUUCCCCUCGGCCUCUCAGCGAAGCAAAUGGAUUUCACACUUCCCCCUCUCUGAGAGAUGUCUGAGCUGUCAGGAAAACACCGGAAAGUUGUGCUAGGUGAGCGGUGCCCAGCAAAACAAAAAUUGCCUCCCCGUAUCGGGCAGAUGGAAAUACUUGCCUGUCAGGGCUCCUUCCUGUUUUUUGAGCAACGCCUGUCUAAUUCUUCCUGUCAGCAUCUAGCAAUCACACAAGCUUUUCUCUCGUUGCCUCUGCGUCUUUUCCACGGGCUUUGACACCUGACACGUAUACCUGUUCAAGACCCGCUUUGUUUUGUGUGACUGUUUUUUAAUUGUGAGUUUUUUAAAACUGCUUUAAACUGCGCUUUAAAAUGCUGUGAUGUGCUCUGGGAGCCUAGAGCAGGGGUCAGCAAACUUUUUCAGCAGUGGCCGGUCCACUGUCCCUCAGACCGUAUGGGGGGCUGGACUAUAUUUUGAAAAAAAAUAAUGAAUGAAUGCCUAUGCCCCACAAAUAACCCAGAGAUGCACUUUAAAUAAAAGCACACAUUCAACUAAUAAUAAUAAUAAUAAAUUUUAUUUAUACCCAGCCCUCCCCGGCCAGAGCCGGGUCAGGGCAGCAAACACCAAUAAAAUUUCAGUAAAAACAUAAUGAGAAACAAAACAACAAUUUAAAAUGCAGCCUCAAAACCAUAAGGGGAGGGAAACAUAAUGCUAAAACAUAAUCAUGUAAAAACAUGCUGGUUCCCGUACUGUCCAUGGGCCGGAUUUAGAAGGUGAUUGGGCCAGAUCCGGCCCCCGGGCCUUAGGUUGCCUACCCAUGGCCUAGAGUGAAAGACAGGUAACAUAAGAAGAACUGACCUGAAUCCAAGGAAACUGCAGGUGUCAUCUCAGAGCCUGUGCCUUUAUCUUUCAGUUGCAUAUUUUGCCUAAGGUCGAGGGACCGUCUCCUCCAGCAUCCUGUUCUCACAGUGGCCAUACAGAUGCAUCAAUGGGGGGAAAGCAAGCAGGAUCUGAGCACAAGAGCAUCUUUCCCCCUCCUGUGGUUUGUAGAAAUGGCUUUCAGAAGCAUUGCUCCUUCUGACUGCGGAGACAGAGCCGAGCCAUCGUGCCAGGUAGCCAUUGAUAGCUGUCUCCUCCAUCAAUUUAUCCAACCCUCUUUUAAAGCCAUCCAGUUUUUCCGAGCACAAUUCAAAGUGUUGGUGCUGACCUUUAACGCCCUAAACGGCCUUAGUCCUUUAUACCUGAAGGAGCAUCUCCACCCCCAUCGUUCUGCCCAGCUUCCAAACUUGGCUUUGUAUUGUUGCUUGCUGCCCCAAUCACAGAGUGCUGAGAGACUCCAACAGUCCCAGGUGUGGGAAUGUUCAGGGAUGCAGGAGAGGAUAUAUUAUUUGAUUAUAGCCUUUCCAACUUGUGUUAACAAGUUCACAAUUUAGCAGAGUAACAUUCCCCUUUUUAAACUCACAGCAGAUGCGUUUGCUCAGGCUCGCUAAAGCCUCUAUAAUAACUGUUCUGGUAUUUUCCCCUUAUUCCCUCAUAAAAGAUAAGACACGACACAGUCUUCUAUAAAAGUAUAAAAAGAGUUUACUCACUCACAUUCUGUUCACAAUUGGAUCCCAGAAGGCAGACUUAGCUUAGAAAAGUAACAUACACCUGGAAGCUAUCUCAUAAGGAGACAGUCCCUUUGUCCUUUCUUGGCUUCCAGCUUUGGCUAAGUAGAUGCUGCUUCUUUAACAAAUGGAGUCAGAGAGAGAUGGCGGCCUCCGCUGAGGUAUUUUGUUACCUGCACAGGUGAGGCCACGCCCACCUCUGGUCCCAUGUAGAGGAAGUCUGUCCCAGCGCUGAAGGAAACAGGAAGUUUACCUGCUGGCUGGACAAACAUUCCUCCUCAUGUGUAAACAUGUUCACUCUAGGAAUGUUGUACUUGACUGCUCUGUGUUUCACAUCCCACACCCCUAAACAUUUUUUUAGAAGAAAAACACUGCCUGGAACAUUUAGGGGACUAGUCUAGUCCUCCUAGCCCACUGACCGCACACCAUUGCUCCAAGCUGAGUUAAAAAUGUAUAGCGCUGUUUAAUUUCUUCAGCUCCCCGUUCUGCCUAAGGUCGAGGGAGCUCAGAAGCAGAGUUUAUGGAAACUGUCUCCUGCAAAGCUUUGAAAUCUCUCUCUGAUUCACACUGGGGCUGCCACACUUUCUGAAAGUGAUCCUGCUGGAGGGUUUCAUGGGAAGUGCUAAUUGCUGGCCUCCCCCAGGGGGACUGUAGGCGGCUGAUGAACCUCUCCAAAGAGUUUGAGAUCCGUGCAGCUCUGGGGAGGCACCGGCUGCCGCACAGCAGUCGUGUCCCCACGGGGGUCUUGAGAGGCAAUCAGAAAAGCAUUAAAAGACUCGAUCAAGGGAAGAGGGCUGCAUCGCAACUCAGCACUGCUGUGUGCAGGCACAGUGUGUGUGCGUCCAUGCGCACUUAGAGUUCGGUGGGACCCCUGCGGGUCAUCUAGCCCAACCCCCAGCAAUGCAGGGAUAUGUCUGUCGGAGGAAGGCAACAUCUUGUUCAAAGGGCUGUGCUAAAUUUUAGUUUUAAAUGCACAAAAAUUCCCCCAAAAGCCCCACAACGUCAUAUAUUUGGGUAAGGUAAAGGACCCCUGAAAGUUAAGUCGAAUUGCGGACGACUCUGGAGUUGCAGCUCUCAUCUCGCUUUACAGGCUGAGGGAGCUGGCGUUUGUCUGCAGGCAGUUUUUCCGGGUCAUGUGGCCAGCAGGACUAAGCCGCUUCUGGCGAACCAGAGCAGCGCACGGAAACGCCGUUUACCUUCCCACCGGAGCGGUACCUAUUUAUCUACUUGCACCGGCGUGCUUUCGAACUGCUAGGUUGGCAGGAGCAGGGACCGAGCAACGGGAGCUCACCCCGUCGCGGGGAUUCGAACCGCUGACCUUCUGAUCGGCAAGCCCAAGAGGCUCUGUGCCACCCGCGUCCCCCGUGUCCCUUUAUAUUUGGGUAGAUGUUGCCAAAAAAAGCUCCACAACUUUGAAAAAACAAACAACUUUGUCCGGAUUUUCACUUUUGGGAAUAUGGCAACCCUAACUGUGCGCUAGUUUUGACCAGGGAGAUCUGCAGACUUUACAUGAUGAUCUGUGAGGGAUUCUUUAGGUGUGAUUCCUGCAUUGCAGGGGGUUGAACUAGAUGUCCCUUGGGGUUCCUUCCAGCCAAUCUUACGAUUCUGUGAUAAAGGCGUGAUGGAGCAGAUCCGUGGAUUCCAAACUUUUUCAGGCCAUCAUUGCAUAAACGUAUUCCCAGUGUCCCCUAAACAAACAUCAGUCAGAAUGGGGGUUUGCAUGGCUCACCAGAUAAUCGCUUAAAUAAAAUCCACACAGUAACAAUUAAUUGCACGUAUGUUCAAAACACGAUUAAAACUAUUUAGUUGAAUUAAUUCAACUUGGCCCGCUGCUACCGGCUUAGGGCCCUUGUAUUUACGGGACCGCCUCUCCUGGUAUGCCCCACAGAGGACCUUAAGGUCCAUGAAUAAUCAUAGUUUAGAGGUCCCGGGCCCUUAGGAAGUCAGAUUAUCCUCCCUCAGGGCCAGGGCCUUCUCAGCGAUGGCUCCGACCUGGUGGAAUGCUCUGUCCCAUGAGACCAGGGCCCUGCAGGAUUUAACUUCCUUCUGCAGGGCCUGUAAGACAGAGCUAUUCCGCCUGGCCUUUAAUUUAAACUUAGCCUGAUCUUUCCCCCCCCUUCCUUCCCUCCCCCUCCCCUUUUUAUGAUUACCCGCUCUGGGAUCCCACAGCUAAUUCUCCCCUGGUCUCCUCCCAAAUAGGACUAAUUUAGCCAGCUAGCCCUGGGGAUCAUCUAAUGUUUAUUGGAUGGAUUUCUGAAUGUAUUGUUAUUCACGUUUUAUACUGUAUUUUGUGCUGUUUUGGUUGCAUCAAUUAAGUGUUUUAAAUUUGUUGUUAGCUGCCCUGAUCCUGGUUUUCUGAACCGGGAAGGGUGAGAUAUAAAUAAAAUUUUAUUAUUAUUAUUAUUAGCCAUUUACAUAUCCAGGGGCACCUGUCUCCUUGCCCCUUAGCAGCCCUGGGUAAUUCCACCCAGCCUAGGGUUGUGAGGAAGGAUUUCUGGCCAGAGGUGAUGGUGGUCUCUGGGCAAAUGGGAGCACCGCUGACUCUCUGCGCAGAAAUUGCCUGUGGGGGAGCAGAGAGUACCCAGCUUCUAUUGAUUACGCUUUUCCUGUAGCUAAGCAACAGGAGAAUUUGACUCCAGCGCUUUCCCGCUUUCCCGGCAUCUUUCCACUUUAGAUCUGAGAGAGGAGCUGCUGGUGAUGAUGGAAGGCUUUCUCACUGGCCUCAGACUGGUGGAAUCCCCCUGCCCAAGACUUAACCCAUUAUUGUCAAUGGUCAAUGGCAACUAGCUCUGCCUCCGUGGGUCUCAAGUAGCCAUGCUGGAAGUAACAGGAGAGGGCUCUUGUGUUCGAAUCCUGCUUGCAGGUUUCCCACAGGCUUUUUGUCGGUCACUGCAAGAACAGGAUGCUGGACAAGAUGGGCCAUUGGCCUGAUCCUGCAGUGGACUCUUCUUAUGACUUCCGUAGAACCAUAGAAAUGUGGGGAACACCGGGACAAGAUGCUUGGAGCCCAUUGGACUGAUCCUGCCCCGACUGCACUGGCUGCCAUUUAGCUUCUGGGCCCAAUUCAGAGUGAUGCCUUAAAGAGCUCAGGACUGCAAUAUCUGAAGAACUGCCUCUCCCAGGGUUGCUAUAUUUCAAAAGGUAAAAUUCCUGACACCCACUAAGUUGUUGAAUUUUUUUUUUUAUAGGAAGACCUCAACAUUGCGGAGCUUUUUUGGGGAAACCUAACCCCAAAAUAGUGAUUCUAAGCAUUUUGAGCUGUUUCACUGUUAUUUUCCAUUGCGUUGCGGUACAUCCGGGUUUCCCCUGAUAUUUUGCCGGUCUGGCAAAAUUCCCCCCAACGCCUUUUUUGCACCCGAAAACCACAACAUGUCAGGGAUUUUCCUGACAUUUGGCAAGCCUAGCCUCUCCCCAUAUAUACCACCCCUGACUGUGUCCAUCCUCUGAGACCCUCCUUCGCAUGCCACCUUCUUUGUGCCAACAUGAAAACGGGGCCUUUUCUGUGGUGGCUCCCCAGAUGCUGUCCCCAGGGAGGCUCACCUGGAACCUUCAUUAUACAUCUUUAGGCACCAGGCAAAAACGUUCCUCUUCAACCAGGUUUUGGGCUGAUUUGCAUCUGAUACCCUUCUAAAUGUGGUUGUGGGAGGUGGUGUGUAGGAACAGCAAACCCUCCAACACGACACAGCCCAAAGCCAGGACACCGUCUUCCGGAAUCGAAAUCUUGUAUGAGUCAUGUGGCCCACGAGAGAUCACGGACCCCCCCAAAAGCACAUGAUGCAACCCCCAAAUGUUUUUUCAGGGUGAGAUCUCAGUGUGAAAUUGUGCGAGAGCAAGGUGCCCCAAAUGGCUGCCAUGCUCUUGCAUUGAAAAAAGGGAUGCCCCAGUUUUUCUGGGGCAGUUAAUGGGUAGGGAGGCAGGGUUAUUAUUUUGUUUUGCUUUUAUUAUUAUGUAUUUUGUGUGUGGGUUUUUAAAUCUUGUAUUUUUAUGCUGUCUAUCGCCCUGAGAUCUACAGAUGAAGGGCAGUAUAGUGGCACCUUAGGUUACAGACGCUUCAGGUUACAUACGCUUCAGGUUACAGACUCCGCUAACCCAGAAAUAGUGCUUCAGGUGAAGAACUUUGCUUCAGGAUGAGAACAGAAAUCGUGCUCUGGCGGCGCAGUGGCAGCGGGAGGCCUCAUUAGCUAAAGUGGUGCUUCAGGCUAAGAACACUUACAGGUUAAGAACGGACCUCUGGAACGAAUUAAGUACUUAAACCGAGGUACCACUGUAUACAAAUUGCAACAACAACAUCAUAAGCCAGGCUUUAGAGACUGGUGCAUAUUGUUUAGGUUUGUUAAUUCAGCCUUUGGCAACCUGGUGCCCUCUGGCUGUUUUGGACUACAACUCCCAUCAGUCUGAUGUAGUUCAAAACAUCAGGCUGGAUAGCUCAGUUGGUUAGAGUGUGGUGCUGCUAAUGUCAAGGUUGCUGGUUCAAUUCCCGUAUGGGACUGUUGCAUAUUCUUGCAUUGCAUUGAGCAAAAUUCAAAGUGUUGGUGCUGACCUUGAAAGCCCUAAACGACCUUGGUCCAGUAUACCUGAAGGAGCAUCUCCACCUCCAUCGUUCUGCACGGACCCUGAGGUCCAGAGCUGAGGGCCUUCUGGCAGUUCCCUCACUGCGAGAAGCAAAGCUACAGGGAACCAGGCAGAGGGCCUUCUCGGUGGUGGCUCCCUCCCUGUGGAAUGCCCUCCCACCAGAUGUCAAAGAGAUAAACAACUACCAGACUUUUAGAAGACAUCUGAAGGCAGCCCUGUUUAGGGAAGCUUUUAAUGUUUAAUAGGUUAUUGUAUUUUAAUACAGUGGUACCUCGGGUUAAGUACUUAAUUCAUUCCGGAGGUCUGUACUUAACCUGAAACUGUUCUUAACCUGAAGCACCACUUUAGCUAAUGGGACCUCCUGCUGCUGCCAUGCCGCAGGAGCACAAUUUCUGUUCUCAUCCUGAAGCAAAGUUCUUAACCUGAAGCACUAUUUCUGGGUUAGCGGAGUCUGUAACCUGAAGCGUAUGUAACCCGAGGUACCACUGUAUUCUGUUGGAAGCUGCCCAGAGUGGCUGGGGAAACCCAGCCAGAUGGGCAGGGUAUAAAUUAUUAUUAUUAUUAUUAUUAUUAUUAUUAUUAUUAUUGCAAAGGGUUGGACUGAAUGAUCCUUAUGGUCCCAUCCAACUCUGCAAUUCUGAUUCUCUCCAAAGAGCACCAGGUUGCCGAAGGCUGACUCAGAGGCACCUUCCGGAAAUGGCUCCUCCGCGCUGCCGUUUUGCGGGUCCCGAGUUCAAAUCUGCCUCCCCCAAUGGGCUUCCUCCGUCUCCCCGUCCAAAGAGGCCAGCUGGGUCAGAUGUCGAGUCUUUCAAAUCAGGCUGGUAGCUCCGCUUCUGCUGGUGGAUGAAAUGAUGCCCAGAGGGAGCAUAGCAGGUUCUGCGCGGAAGGAAAGGCCUAAUCGAAAUGUGAUAUAUGAGCGUGGUCUUGCACGGCGCAUCGCGUACCGACGGGGCUGGGGAUUAAUGCACACUUGUCUGCUGUGGGAAGUGGGGGAAUGGAUAUUGAUUUGCAACGGCUGGCUCACCUGGAGAUUCCCACCUCUGCCAUUCUUGAGAUGUUAGUGUCACAGUCCGGUUUAUGGGUUAUCGAAGUCCUGGCUGAGGACGUUGGGACCGGGGGCAAGAUGGCAGGGUGGGAGCAGGAAUGAGAGUCCAGAAGCCAGGAGUCAGUAAGCCAAAGGUUGGAGGGUCAAAGAGCCAGGAGUCACAAAGCCAAGGGUCCGAGAAUCAGGAAGUAAGAAGCCAAACGCAGCUAGGCAGGAAACGUGUUGCUGUGGCAAAGAGCCAAAGGGAAAUGCUGACCUUAUAUCCCUUCCUGGCUCUUGCCACCAGGUGCAGUGAGUUAUCAAUCGGCUUCAUCUGUGCGGCCACGCCUUGCCUCUCCAGAACAAACUUAGGAAAGCCCCAGUCCUGCGAAGCCCUACUGAUCACAGGGCCUGGCUGCUGCAUGCGCUCGUGACAGUUAGCAGCCUUUUGCAGAGCACAAUGGGAUCAGCACCAUCACGAACCUGCCCAGGACAGUUCAGAAAGGAUGGGAUGCUCAGUGUGGGGUGAUGGGUCCUCCACUUCUCUUUGGCAAUCCCUUGUAGCUGAGUAAGAUUGUCUUCCAUAAACACGGUUUUAAAAGUGAGUCCGUAAGUGUCUGUGGAGGCCAAUUCUGGAUCUACACAUCCUUCCACAGUGCGGACAUUGGUUUCCGGGCAGGAGUUGAUCACGGUGUGGAUUUGCCAAGCGUGCCUUCCUCUUAGCACAUUUCUCCCUUUUGUCCUGAGUUUGAGUGUUUUCAAACCCAUGACACCUUUGGUAAAGGCUGUUCUCCAAUUGGAGCACUCACAGGCCAGUGUUUCCCAAUUGUUGGUGUUUAUACUACAUUUUUUUAGAUUUGCCUUGAGAGAGUCUUUGAACCUCUUUUGUUGACCACCAGCAUUACGCUUUCCAUUUUUAAGUUAGAUUAGUUGCUUUGGAAGUUGAUAAUUAGGCAUCCACACAACAUGACCAGUCCAAUGAAGUUGAUGUUGAAGACCCAUUGCUUCAGCAAGGGCGAUCUUUGCUUCUUCCAGUACACUGGUAUUAGUUCGCCUGUCUUCCCAAGUGAUGUGUAAAAAUUUUCAGAGACACCGUUGGUGGAAUCUUUUGAGGAGGUGGAGAUGGCCUCCCACUCAUAUCCCUUUUCGUCAUAAUACUAUAAGUUUGGGGGAGGUUAGGGAACCAGUCAGGCAAGUUUCUCCAAAGACAACAGCAGCUGAGCACUUUAGUGCCCUGAUCAGAACAAUAGAUUGUAGAGUUGGGACGCCAAGAGGACAUCUAGUCCAACCCCCUGCAAUGCAGGAAUUACAGCAAAGUAUCCCUGGCAGGUCGUUACCCAACCUGUGUAUAAAACCCUCCAAGGAAGAGUCCACAACCUCCCAAGGGAGACUGAUCCAUGGUCAAACAGCUCUUACUGUCAGAAAGUUGGGACGGUUCACAUCUUAUUGUGUUGGACAAGAUCUACCUGUGAGUGAAGACUUUGCAUUCUUCUUUCCUCCUCUUCUUUUUUUGUUUGUUUGUUUGUUUAGAUUUUAAUGUGUUUUAAUGUUUAGUUGGGAACUCCUUUCUUGUCAUUUGAGCAGAGCAGCAGGUCAUAUGACAGCCCUUCAGAUAUUUGAAGAUGGCUAGAAUUGCAUUAGCUUUUUUGCUGCUGCAUCACAUGGAGACUUGUGAGGCAGGUGGGGGUCUGUGUUUUCGUCUGUGUUUGCAUGUGAGCAGUGAGAAUUUGGUGGUUUCUCAGUGAAAUGCAAACAAAAUAGAUUUCCUCCUCCAUCCCUAUUGUGGCAGCAAUCGGGGGCCAUGGUUGUGUGGCAAAAUGCAAAUGACUACCUAGGGUUCUCCUCCUUCUCCUUCUCCUUUUCUCCUUCUCCUUCUCCUUUUCUCCUUCUCCUUCUCCUUCUCCUUCUCCUUCUCCUUCUCCUUGGAAAGGAGAUCCCGACAUAACAUCAGGAAGCACUUUCUGACCGUAAAGUGGAAUCUCAAGGUAAAAGGUAAAGGGACCCCUGACCAUUAGGUCCAGUCAUGGAUGACUCUGGGGUUGCGGCGCUCAUCUCGCUUUAUUGUCCAAGGGAGCCGGCGUACAGCUUCCGGGUCAUGUGGCCAGCAGGACUAAGCCACUUCUGGAGAACCAGAGUAGCGCACCGAAACGUCGUUUACCUUCCCGCCGGAGCGGUACCUAUUUAUCUACUUGCACUUUGACGUGCUUUCAAACUGCUAGGUUGGCAGGAGCAGGGACUGAGCAACGGGAGCUCACGCUGUCACAGGGAUUUGAACCCCCAACCUUCUGAUUGGCAAGUCCUAGGCUCUGUGGUUUAACCCACAGCGCCACCCGCAUCCCACCAAGGUGGAAUCUACACACAUGCUAAAAGCGUUGUGAAAACCCUUUCUUCAAAAAUCGUUCUGAAAAAUGCAUUGAAUUUGCUAUAGCUCACGGCCGCCAUCUAGUGUCACAACUGUAUAUUGCACUUUACAGCACACUCCAAUCCUUUUCUUUGCAGCUGUAUAGCUGAGUCCUAAGAGCUGUUUGACACUGGAAUGGUCUCCCUCGGAAGAUGGUAGACUCUCGUUCCUUGGAGGGUUUAAAGCAGAGGUUGAAUGGUCCUCUGUCUUGGAUGCUUUAGUUGAGAUGCCUGCAUUGCAAGGGGUUGGACUAGAUGACCCUAGGGUACCCUUCCCACUCUGCAAUUCUGUGAUUCUCGUCCUCCUCCUCCUUAAUUCCAGCACAUUUGGGUCCGGUGCCUUCCCCUUGUUGACGCCGCUUCCAAGCCGCCACUUAAGUUUCUCUCGAGCGCACACAAAACCAGCUGGAACGCCCGCUUUGCUCUGCCACAAUUUCCCGCUCUGGGUUGUUGUCGAAAAGUGCUUAUUUCAGGCAGCUGGAGCGCUACACUUUACCUGCCAGGGGGCUGUCAGUGCCAGCAGGGGUGGGGAAGCAGCGGCAGCCCAGCUAUUACUUACUGUACCCUAUCAUCACGGCGGCUUCUGCUGCCACGGCGCAUUUGCAUCCAGACAGAUGCCAAAGGCGUUCUCUUGGAUCCUUCAAAAGAGCCUUGCGAGCACUGCUGGGAAACACAGCUCCUCCAUCUUCCUAGAUUUCCCCUCCACCGUUGUGUCUCUGAGGUCGCCUUCUGGACAAAUAAACAACUCUGCCAAUGGUAGCCAGAGAGUCCUUUUCCUUCGGGCAUCUUUUGUUGUUGUUUAAUCGCUUAGUCGUGUCCGACUCUUCGUGACCCCAGGGACCAGAGCACGCCAGGCACUCCUGUCUUCCACUGCUUCCUGCAGUUUGGUCAAACUCAUGCUCGUAGCUUCGAGAACACUGUCCGACCAUCUCGUCCUCUGUCAUCUGAAGUGAAGGCCCAAGACAGGUGCUGAUCAUCAUGUGAGCUGCGCACAGGUGGUCUGAAGCGAGCGAGCGAGCUACCACCAUUCCUGUGGAGCCUCUUUUUAUUGAGACAAAUAUGCAAGCUAGGCAAAUACAUUUUUGGGCUGUGACCUUUACACAUCUUCCGUCCCGAAAUCGUGGGGUGGUACAAACCUAUUUUGGCACCUGUUCCACAGCGUCAUUUUCCCCUUGCACAGUGUAUGACGUAGGAGACAAAAGGUCUCAGGGAAAAACUUACAGACAGGACACCGCUGACUCUGAGACCCCAAAAGGUCAGACAUGGGUGGAACGAUGUACAGACAGCUGUGGCUUGUCUGGGGGGGCGGGGUUUGCCCUGCACCCCAAGGUCACGCGUGCAGGCCGACCGUGGCUGCUUGCUGGUAGGAAAGUGUGCUCCCUCCAGACCCCACUGUCCCACCAUCUCGUCCUCCGUCGUCCCCUUCUCCUUGUGCCCUCCAUCUUUCCCAACAUCAGGGUCUUUUCCAGGGAGUCUUCUCUUCUCAUGAGGUGGCCAAAGUCUUGGAGCCUCAGCUUCACGAUCUGUCCUUACAGUGAGCACUCAGGGCUGAUUUCCUUAAGAAUGGAGAGGUUUGAUCUUCUUGCAGUCCAUGGGACUCUCAAGAGUCUCCUCCAGCACCAGAAUUCAAAAGCAUCCAUUCUUCGGCGAUCAGCCUUCUUUAUGGUCCAGCUCUCACUUCCAUACAUCACUACUGGGAAAACCAGAGCUUUAACUAUAUGGACCUUUGUUGGCAAGUGCCUGUUGUCUUUGUCCACGGAGUUUUCUUGGCAGGGAUACUGGAGUGGCUUGCCGGUUCCUGCUCCAGGUGGAUCACGUUUGGUCAAAACUCUCCACUAUGACCUGUCUAUGACCUUGUGUGGCCCUGCACGGCAUAGCUCAUAGCUUCUCUGAGUUAUUCAAGCCCCUUCGCCAUGGCAAGGCAGUGAUCCAUGAAGGGGCAUCUUGUCCACCACUAAAUUCCAGACCUGCUUUGGCAUGUAGAAGGUCCCAGACUGGAUGGCUGCCAUCUCCAGGGAGGGCUGCGAAAGACUCCUGAAUGAAACUCUGGACAGCCGCUGCCAGUCGGUUGGAAGGUUGGGGAUAGGCUAAAGAAAGUGCUUCUUCCUGCAGAGCACAGUUACUGUAGAGCAAGAGAUUAUUCGUAGAAUUGUAAAGUUGGAAGGGACACCCCGAAGGUCAUCUAGUCCAACCCCCUGCAAUGCCAGAAUCUUGAUGUUCUUGUGGGAAUGUUGUGGAUAGUAGGAGAGGAUAUGUUGAUUAAAUAUUACCCUUCCUCACUCACGCUAGUGAGGUGGUAGCAGAGCACAUUCCUUUUCACAUUGCUGGAAGCAAGUUGAUGGAUUUGUUACCAUCAUUUAAGUUGAGCAAACCAGUCUGGCUUGUCCAGAUUAGGUCAUUCCUGGCAAAUUCCCCUUUAGUCAUAGCUGUCAUUUUCUUGCAAGGAAACCUAUUCGGAAUAAGGGAAUUUCCCUUUAAAAAAGGGAAACGUUGACAGCUAUGCCCUUUAGCUCCUUCUUAAAACCAGUAACGACAUGACAGUCUUCUUUUAAAAGUAAUGGUAAAGUUUACUUACAUUCAGCUCACAGUAUUGCCUUGAAGGGCAGGCUUUAUCUUAUAGUUACAGGUACAGUGGUACCUCGGGUUACAGACGCUUCAGGUUACAGACUCAGCUAUAAGAACUUUGCUUCAGGAUGAGAACAGAAAUCGUAAUGGGAGGCCCCAUUAGCUGAAGUGGUACCUCAGGUUAAGAACAGUUUCAGGUUAAAAACGGACCUCCAGAACGAAUUAAGUUCUUAACCCGAGGUACCACUGUACACCUGUAGAGAAAAGAAGCCUGAGCUAGGUCUCAGACUUUCUACCUUGUGGCUUCCAUCCUCUGUAAGGAUGAGCCGUGUGCUGCUGGCUAACACCCAGCAGAAGGAAGAUAAUAAUAAUUUAUAAUAUUUAUUAUUUAUACCCCGCCCAUCUGGCUGGGUUUCCCCAGCCACUCUGGGCGGCUUCCAACAAAACACUAAAAUACAAUAACCUAUUAAACAUUAAAAGCUUCCCUAAACAGGGCUGCCUUUAGAUGUCUUCUAAAAGUUUGGUAGUUAUUUUUCUCUUUGACAUCUGAUGGGAGGGCGUUCCACAGGGCGGGUGCCACAACUGAGAAGGCCCUCUGCCUGGUUCCCUGUAACUUGGCUUCUCGCAGCGAGGGAACCGCCAGAAGGCCCUCGGAGCUGGACCUCAGUGUCCGGGCAGAACGAUGGGGGUGGAGACACUCCUUCAGAUACUGGACCGAGACUGUUUAGGGCUUUAAAGGUCAGCACCAACACUUUGAAUUGUGCUCAGAAAUGUACUGGGAGCCAGUGUAGGUCUUUCAAGACCGGUGUUAUGUGGUCUCGGCAGCCGCUCCCAGUCACCAGUCUAGCUGCCGCAUUCUUGAUUAAUUGCAGUUUCCAGGUCACCUUCAAAGGUAGCCCCACGUAGAGCACAUGGCAGUAGUCCAAGUGGGAGAUAACCAGAGCAUGCACCACUCUGGACAGUCAGUCUGCGGGCAGAUAGGGUCUCAUCCUGCGUACCAGAUGGAGCUGAUAAACAGCUGCCCUGGACACACAAUUGACCUGUGCCUCCAUGGACAACUGUGAGUCCAGAAUGACUCCCAGGCUGCGCACCUGGUCCUUCAGGGGCACAGUUGCCCUAUUCAGGACCAGGGAGUCCUCCACACCUGCCCACCCCCUGUCCCCAUCGGGCAGAACGAUGGGGGUGGGGACGCUCCUUCAGGUCUACUGGACCAAGGUUCCAAUAUGGCAGCUGAGGUUCCCUUUGCUUGCCCUGUCCUCAGGGCAGCUCAGCCAAUUGCUGCCCACUCCAAAACAGCAGCAGCCCGAAAGCUCCCUCAGAAGGUGUGUAGAAGGUGAGACGUUUGAAAGUAGGGAAGAGGCUGGAUUCUGCAAAACAUACAGGGCAAAGCGAUGCUGCCAAGCCAAGUAAAUACAGAAAGACCUUCACGAAUCUUCCGCUCAGCAUCAGUAUUCUUUUUUUCAUGUGCCCAGAUUAGAAUUCCAAUUUAUUUCUUUGCCACUGGAAAAAAAAAAGAGGAUUCAAAGGGGAGAGCCUCAAAACCUGGAGAGUAGAUUAUGAAGAGCCUGGGGAAUGUCAGUUUAAAACGAACUUUCCUUUGGCAUCAGUUGUCAGGGCAGAGAACAUGGAAGGGAAGUUGGCAGGCAGGGCGAUGACCAGGCCAGAGGACUCUGUUGCCCCAAGGCCGCUUGCUGGUUUCCCGUUGAGGUACCUGGGAGGACAAUCUGCUCUCUUGGCCUGAUCCUGCUGCAGGACUCUUCUGACGCGUUCUUGGGGCCAUUUCUCCCAAGAAAGCAAAAGCAGAUGUUUCACCAUCGACAGAGGCAUUGCACGUGUGUGGGGUGGGGGGAAGCAGGGGCCACUGUCCUGGCUGCACAUUCAGAAGGGCGCAACUGGGCCGCAGUGGUCCUGAAGGUACCGCGAAAAUGGGAGGGAUGUGGCUCCCUUUUUUGGCCUGGCAAAGCAUAGCGCAUGUGUUUCCUGGGUGGUGGGAUGGGUUGUAAGUGUCAGGAGUUCAGCCUACACUCGAGUAGGACCCUGGCGGAGACACAUGCCCGACUGGCAUGUUUCCUCCCUCCUGGUCGAUUGUUCGGGAGCUUCAAAAGCUUUCUUCAGCCCGAACAUCACAGCGACCGAUGCCAACAGACACCGGCACACUUAGGGAUCUGCAGAGUCUUCGCAGCUUGCGUGACAGACCUCAGCCACUCAGCAUUUUGGCUAAUCUACUUUAUUUACAUAGAAACACACACGGAGCACUGCAACAUGGCUUCCUCUCUCUCUAGCAUCAGACAGCAAAGAGAGAAAGAACAAAGGACAAUAGUCCCACUUCACGGAACACAGGAACACAAACAUCCUGUCUCCGUCACUUCCCACUCUGUGGAGUUUAAACAUAUACUGUCAUGUGAUAGACAACAAUCCCAUGACUGCAAUCAUGGAGCAGGAAUUCUAACAGUGACUGGAGAGUGGGCAGCCUGCCAUGCGGAGCCCCUCUGUUUGCCCAUCCCCUUCAGCACCUUGGGACGGUGCACGCCACCCGCUUCUCAUGCCAUGGCUGGUGCCACCGUUCUGCGUGCUGGGCUGCUGCUGUGCGGGGCAGCCUCUUUGGCUGUCUCCUGCCCAGGUGCCACCACAGAACUCCCAGCGAAGGCCCCCAUAUGGGAGCAGGCAGCUGCAGGCACGGCGGGGCACUGCCAAAGUGCCUGACACAGACACAGGUGAGCUGCGGUUCCUGUCUCUUUUGCUCCUUGCCCCGGGCACUGGCAACUGACGAUACGCCACUUGGCCCACAAGCUUGAUCCCCAUUGCACCCAGCAACUGAUAUGUGCCAAAACUCGGACCAUCACAAUAAAAAGCCCCUGUGGGGAUGCUGAGGUACAUGGACCAGUGGCCUGAUCCUGCAGGCUUGCCCUGAACUCAGACAUUGCCUCUUGCUCGUCUGGAGACGGUAUGUGAGCCUGCUGUGCAAAGGUAACAUUGGCACAGCCUUCUUUUGCUUUCUUGGGAGAAAUGGCCCCAAGAAUGUCAGAAGAGUCCUGCAGCCGGAUCAGGCCAAUGGAGCAUUUUGUCCUCCCAGGGGCCAACUGUCAGGAGUUGAGCCUACACUCGAGUAGGACCCUGGCAGAGACACAUGCCCGACUGGCAUGUUCCCUCCCUCCUGGUCUUUCGUUUGGGAGCUUCAAAAGCUUUCUUCAGCCCGAACAUCAGUGACUGAUGCCAACCGACACCAGCACACUUAGGGAUGCACAGAGUUUGCACAACUUGCACGUGACAGACCUCAGCAACUCAGCAUUUUGGCUAAUCUACUUUAUUUACAUAUAAACACACACGGAGCACUGCAACAUGGCUCCCUCUCUCUCUAGCAUCAGACAGCAAAGAGAGAAAGAACAAAGGACAAUAGUCCCACUUCACGGAACACAGGAACACAAACAUCCUGUCUCCGUCACUUCCCACUCUGUGGAGUCAAAACAUGCACCGUCAUGUGAUAGACAACAAUCCCAUGACUGCAGUCAUGGAGCAGGAAUUCUAACAUCUACCAGGGGCCUCAACGGGAAGCAGCCUUGGAGCACAAGAGCCCUCUUGCCUGGGUGUCACCCUGCCUGCCAAGUUCCCUUCCAUGCUCUCUGCUUACUUUUGAAGGUGGUUCAGAUCCAGCCAACUCUUCUCCCUUCCUUAGCAUGCCAAUGACUUGACAGGCGAGCUGUCUGGGAGGCAGGGUGAAUUCCUUCCUUUUGAAGAGAGGAGCAGUGGCGCUGCGCUGCUGGCAAGAGGCCGCUGCUCUCCGUGCCAGAGCAAGGAUGUUCGACACAUGUUCCCUCAUUACCGAAAGGUGCAUUUGCUGCUCGGACGCUUGGCUUACAGCUUUAUGAGUCAGAAAGACGAGGCUUCUGGGAGGGAAAGGGAUGGAGCUCUCAGCUGGGAGAGGCUAGGCUGAUUCGAGCCUUUCCCCAGCCCCAGUUUUGGGAAAUUGAAAGGAAUACUCUCCUUCCAGCGACUCCCACCAGUGUAGAGGCUAAAGUGCUGAACUAGGACCUGAGUUCGAAUCCCGUGAAGCUACCUUACAGGGUUGUCGUGGGGAUGAAACAAGAAGCAUGUAUGCCACCUUGUGCUCCUUGGGAUAGAAAGGCAAUGGAGAAAAGGAAAUAAAUCAGAAACAGAGGCUUUGCUAGCAAUGGUUGCAGAAGGCACAGAUCCUUGCAGGCAGCUCAGGGAGAGGGGGCGGGCGGUGAAAUGGGGCUCCACUUUACCAAAGGCCGAAAUGGAAGGAUUUCCAACCCCAACCAUCAGCCUGAACUACCUUGCAAGGUUGUUGUGAGGAAAGCAGGGAGGGAGGGACAGAAAUGCAAUAGUAAAGCAAUUUCGCUGCCCACUGAAACCACAUUUGCAGAAAUGCCGACCCCCUCCUUUCUUUAUUUUGCAAUAUCUGAGGGCAGAAACAACCUCAGUGGGUGCUAUCCGGGUGGGCUCCAGCACUUGGCAUCCCUGGGCAAUGGGAAUCGGAGGUGGGGAGAGCACUGCUCUUGGGCUCAGAUUCCUAGCAGGGCAUCUGGUUGGCCACUGUGAGGAUGGGGUCCUGGACUCAGAUGUGCCCAGGACUUUCCUUCUUCUGUUCACAAGAAAGACAAUCGGGCAACAAUUGUCUGCUCAAGUUUUUCCGCCUGCCAGCUGUUUUCAGAGGCAUAAAGUAACAGGGAGGCAGCACAAAAUAUUUGACUGGCUGACCAGCUAACAAGCUCCCUGUCUUUCAUUUUUUGAGCUGCCCUGGUACCCAGCCCUGGUUUCGGACAACAGCCCUACCACCCGCUCCCAUGCACCCCCUUCAGCACAGCUGGAUCCAGGAUGUACUAUAUCUCUGGACCCGAAAGAGCAUUGCGUCCUUUUUAAUUUUUCGUUUUGCAAGCGGGGGGUGGGGUGGGGGGUGGGCCUCUAAUUUUAGCACAGCACGGAUUGACUCACCGCUGACAAUGAACACUCCCACACUGGGAAGGAUAGCUUUCCUUUGCAGUGUGAGUAACACUGCUCCACACACCUGCCAGCUCUGGGAAAAUCCAGAAAGGAGGGGGGGGGCUCUAGGGCUUUCUUGCCUGAUCUUCCAACACCCCCCCCUCCCCACAACUGCAAGGCAAAUGAAACAUCACAGGCAGUUAAAUACAGUCAGGCCAGCCUUGAAGGGUCAGACUGGGGUGCAAUGGGGUGGGGAGAGCUGGCGUUUAUUGGGACGGGGGUUGGAUUGGAUGACCUUUGGAGUCCCCUUCCAACUCCACAGUUCUAUGAUUCAAAGAAAAGGGAGCCCAGUGGAGCAGCCUCUGUUGUCAAGGUGGGCCCAUCUAUGCCAUUUCAUUUAUUUGCUUCACUGGAUUUGUACUCCGCUUGAUGGUAAACAAACAAGCCUAUGAGACUCUCAAUCUCUAGGUCGUGGGUUUGAGCCCCACAUUGGGCAAAAGAUUCAUGCAUUGCCUGGGGUUGGGCUAGAGGACCCAUAGGGGUCCCUCACAACUCUGCAAUUCUAUCACACUAAUAAAUUAUCAAGGGGGGGGGAGGAGAAUUGGCAACAAAUAAUUUAUGGCUUUGUUGGUGAUGGUUCAACAAUACCUGGUUGGGGGAGCAGGUUUCCCACCCUCCCUUUUUGCACAUGUUGGUUUUGCUGUGAGCAUUAAGAGGUUCUGCGCAUGGUCUCUUGAUUAAUAAUGUUGUAUGCGCUCCAAUGGGACGCGGGUGGCGCUGUGGUCUAAACCACAGAGCCUGGGGCUUGCUGAUCAGGUUGAAUCGCCGUGACAGGGUGAGCUCCCGUUGCUCGGUCCCUGCUUCUGCCCACCUAGCAGUUCGAAAGCACAUCAAAGUGCAAGUAGAUAUAUAGGUACCGCUCUGGCGGGAAGGUAAACGGUGUUCCGUGCCCUGCUCUGGUUUCACCAGAAGCAGCUUAGUCAUGCUGGCCACAUGACCUGGAAGCUGUACGCCGGCUCCCUCAGCCAGUAAACCGAGAUGAGCGCCGCAACCCCAGAGUCGGCCACGACUGGACCUAAGGGUCAGGGGUCCCUUUACCUUUACCAUUAUGCGCUCCAAUAUUUGAGUGGUGAGAGAUUCCAGCUCUUACCCAAGUUUGGUUUCCUUGGAAUGAAGGGCUAGUGCUUUGGGGGCAUAUGGUUUUAUUUGCACAUAUAUAGGAUGGAAGGGCUCACAGCAUUAACAUCCCAGAAAAUCUUGCUUCUCUGUUAGAUAUUUUUUUGGGGGGGGAUCCCUCUGAAGCCUUCGCUUUGGUGUCAGCAGAGAUAGAAAGUCCGGCCUCUCUGCCUUUCCACCUUUCAGCCCCCGGCCAAGAAGAAGCGCACUCACUCUGGAGAUUGUUCUCCUACUUGCAAGAAGAUGCUGUCUCCAGCCAGGUGGGAAGGAAGGCCGGCCCGCCUCUGAGAGCAUCCUCUCCCAGCUGUCUCUAUGGCAACCUCUUCAGUCGUACAGAGGGGGGUACUUAACUGGGCCAGCUAGGAAAAAGAAAAUGGUUUGACUAGUUCAGUUUCUCCUAUAGACCCCCAUGUGGUAGAGGCAUGUGUGGGACCCAUAGGCACAAACCAAACCAACCUCCCAUCAAACCUAGCAAAAAUGCUUCAGGAUUUUUUGGGGGGAAAGGUAUAUCUAAACAUCUUUUAAAAUUCAUUAUAGAUCAAUUCCCAAAAUGUUUUUACUUUGUCACACGUCCACCACAUAUGGUAAAAGUCUCCGUCCCAGCAGAACUAUUCUUGCACCCUUACAUCCUGAAAUGCUGUUCUCUUGGGCCGGGAGCUGAUGGGAGUUCUAGUUUGAAAUGUUUGCAGAGCAAAACCCUGGAGGGAGGGGGGUGACUUUGAUGUGAGUGCGGAAAUCAACAGAGGGAGCAGAGUUCCUAAAAAACAAAAAACAAUAUUCAGCUUUACUGGGUUCUAGUUCUAGUCUUAAAAAGCAGAGACAUCAACUUGCUAACAAAGGUCCGUAAAGUUAAAGCUCUGGUUUUCCCAGUAGUGAUGUAUGGAAGUGAGAGCUGGACCACAAAGAAGGCUGAUCGCCAAAGAAUUGAUGCUUUUGAAUUAUGGUGCUGGAGGAGACACUUGAGAGUCCCAUGGACUGCAAGAAGAUCAGACUGAUCCAUUCUGAAGGAAAUCAGCCCUGAGUGCUCACUGGAAGGACAGAUCCUGAAGCUGAGGCUCCAAGACUUUGGCCACCUCAUGAGAAGAGAAGACUCCCUGUUGGGAAAGAUGGAGGGCACAAGGAGAAGGGGACGACAGAGGACGAGAUGGUGUGACAGUGUUCUCGAAGCUACCAACAUGAGUUUGACCAAACUGCGGGAGGCAGUGGAAGACAGGAGUGCCUGGCGUGCUCUGGUCCAGGGGGUCACGAAGAGUCGGACACGACUAAACGACAACAAUGAAUUUGGUGAAAGGCUACAUCUGAGCUUCCCUUGCCUAAGCCAGCCGUGUCCAUUUGUGACGACAGAGUGACUAACCAGCAUCCUUGAAAGCUAAUUAGAGCCGACUGAACGUUUGACCUCACUCUGCUUUACCCUUUCCUUGGCAACGAUCUGCGCCAGAGAAUGGGGAAAAAAGGGAGAAGAAGGAGUUCAGUUAUGAAAUUGCCACUUGUGGAGAUGAAAGUCAACGCGCGAGAGAGGAUAAUGAGCCACAAAGCAUUGUAGAAAAGCAACGCCACGCAGGCGGUAGUUGUGGGUUUUGUAGGCUGUGUGUGUGUGUGUGUGUGUGUUUUAAAAAGAAGUAAUGUACACAGCAACCCAAAUUAACGGGAACAUGAAUGCCACCUGAAGGAGGAGAAGUUGUUUUCAAGGGAGCUUGACGCUCAGAGAGAAGAUGGGCAAUUUGAUGCUGAUUUAGGGGGGCUCUGCAGGACCCCAGAUUCUGGUGUGCAGCCAAAGCCUUUCCUAUCGGGGUUCAAGAGACAACCGAUUUGAAAACAUUGCUGGGCGAGGCAGGUUGUUGGCAAAAAGAGAGAUGACUGAAAGAGGCAGCUCUUUAACAGGAACAGGAGCUGAGGGUGGGAGGGAGGGAGGAAGGAAGGAGGAAGGAGCCUCACCUCCACCCAACAGCCACUAGAGGGCAGCUGUGUUCCCUAGAAUCACAAAAAUUGUAGAACCAGAGAGUUGAAAGGGACCCCCAAGGGCCAUCUAGUCUGACCCCCUACAAUGCAGGAACCACAGCUCAAGGAUCCCUGGCGGAUGGGCAUCAAAUCUCUACUUAAGGACCUCCAGUGUAGGAGAGUCCACACAACCUCCCUGGGGAGACUGUUUCUCUGUCCAGCAGCUCUUGCUGCCAGAAGGUUCAACUUCCAAUGGCAGAAUAGACCAGAUAGCCAGCUUCAAAUAUCUCAAGGGCUGUUACACAGAGGAGGGAGCAGGCUUGUUUUCUCCCACUCUGGAAGGCAGAACUCGAACCAUGGCUUCGAGUUGCAAGAAAGGAGGUUCCAGCUAAACAUACGGAAGGAACUUUCUGAUGGCAAGAGCUCUUCGACGGUGGAACCGUCUCCCUUGGAAGGUUGUGGACUCUCCUUGGACCUUUUUAACAGAGGCUGGGUGGCCAUCCAUCAUGGAUGCUUUAGGUGAGAUUCCUGGGUUGGUCUAGAUGACCCUCGGGGUCCCUUCCAACUCUAUGAUUCUAGGAUUUUGAGGGAGGGGGUUGUUCUUCUGGUCCUUUCUUCUUCUUUUUUUUUGCCCUUGGUGAGUUUUGUGCUUGCUGCUUGUUAGUCUUCUGGCCGGAGGAAGGCUCAAUUCCACCACAAGGGGGCGCUCUGGGACAGCUCAGAGCACCAGGCAGGUAGAAGAUGGAUCUUUCUUCUGGGUAAACUGCACUGCUAGUUUCUGCUAGUUUCCCUGUGCAAAACUUAGGGUUUUAUUUGAAUCAGAACGUCACAGGUUGCCUUCUGCUGUGUCAGACCCUUGGACUAAUGAGUCUGGCAUCUCUGCUCUUCUAGGCUUUCAGACAUUGGAGCUUUUCUCAGUCCUGCUGUAGAAUGAAUCAGGGACCUUCUGCAUUCAAAGCAGCUGUUCUGCCAGUGAACGACAGGCGCUUGUCCCCAUCUUCUUCCUCAUUAACUUCUAAAUAGGGGAGGUGAGAAUGUGGUAGCAGAGCUUCAGGAACUCUUUCUAUCAACAGUGCAAGAGCGAUAGAAGAGACCAACUGGAUGCCCCUUUUCUGCAAGCCUGCAAGCAGGAUUCGAACACAAGAGGAACUCUCCCCUCCUGUGGCUUCCAGCAACAUGUAUUCAGAAGCAUUGCUACCUUCAGAGCCGUCCUAGUAGCCUUUGAUAGCCCUCUUCUCCUCCAUGAAUUUAUACAGCCCUCUUUUAAAGCCACCCAGGUUGGUUAUGCACCACGGGUUCCGGUGGGAGGGAGUUCCAUAGUCUAUCUAUGCAGUUUUUGUUUUUUUUAAAUGACACUACUUAAAAUUGCCAUUUAUUUCCGAUUGUAUUUCUACAUUUACUGCAUCUGCAGAUAAAUAGAAAUCCCGCUCUGGCUAGAAUAUACAUGGGAGUUUUUAAGCCAUGCCCUUCUUCUUCCUCCCUCUUUUCAAUGACAUUCACAAGUCAUGAAGUCCAGAACCCUGGUCAGCAACUGCUUUGAGGAAGAACCACUUCUGGUGUGGGGUGCUGUGCAAGUCAGACCACUACAUAUUCCACUGUGGCAAGAUCAGGGCCUCCCCCUGAGGUCUAAGAGUCCAGACAGGUUCAUACAGGAGAAUAUGAUCUUUCAGAUAGACUGGAUCUAAACUGUAUUGGGCUUUACAGGUCAUAACCAGCACUUUGCACUGUGCCCAGAAACAGGUCAGAAGCCAGCUGUCAACAAAGCAGUGGCCGCCGAGACCACAUAACACCAGUCCUGAAAGACCUUCACUGGCUCCCAGUACGUUUCCGAGCACAAUUCAAAGUGUUGGUGCUGACCUUGAAAGCCCUAAACGGCCUCGGUCCAGUAUACCUGAAGGAGCGUCUCCAUCCCCAUCGUCCAGCCUGGACACUGAGGCCCAGCUCCGAGGGCCUUCUGGCGGUUCCCUCAUUGCAAGGUUACAGGGAACCAGGCAGAGGGCCUUCUCGAUGGUGGUGCCCACCCUGUGGAACGCCCUCCCAUCAGAUGUCAAAGAAAUAAACAACUAUCUGACUUUUAGAAGACAUCUGAAGGUAGCCCUGUUUAGGGAAGCUUUUAAUGACUGAUGCUUUAAUGUAUUUUUAAUCUUUUGUUGGAAGCUGCCCAGAGUGGCUGGGCAAACCCAGCCAGAUGGGCGGGGUAUAAAUAAUAAAUUGGUUUUUUAUUAUUAUUAAUAUCAUCAUCAUCUGCUCCCUGUAACCCUAGAGGUUUCCUGCCCCAGAAGCUGAAGAUUCAGUAGUCUGACUCAGUAGAAGGCAGUUCCCCACAUCCCUAUGAGUGCACAAUGCAACUGCUGGGAGAUGCCAAGCACCCCAUAGAAUUGUAGCGUUGGAAGGGACCCCGAGGGUCAUCUAGUCCAACCCCCUGCAAUGCAGCGAUCUCAACUCAAGCAUCUGAGCCAGAUGGCCACCCAAGCUCUGCUUACAAACCUCCAAGGAAGGAGAGUUGGCCACCUUCUGAGAAAGCCUAUUCCACUGCCAAACAGCUCCUGGUCUCAGAAAGUUCUUCCUAGUGUUUAGUCACUCUCCUUUCACGUAACUUGAAGCCGUUGGUUUGGAUCCUGCCCUCUGGAGUGACAGAAAACAUGUGACAGCCUUGGCUAUCGUAUUGCCUCUCAGUCUCCUCUUUUCCAGGCUAGACACACCCAGAUCCUUCAACUGCUCCUCAUAAAGCAGGGCCGUCUUAAGCAUAUCCGGCGCUGUGGUUCAAAGAUCCCUCUGGUGCCCCCCACCCUUCCCAGAGUUGUCGACCUUUCCCCAAGCCUCUGCGGGGAUCGCUCUCCUCCCGAGGAGCCUUGGGAGGCAAGCUCCCCCCCCUCCAGCCAUACAGUUGACGGGGCACCGCUGGUGUGCGUGCAGGGAAAGGGGAGGCCACCGGCAAAACUGCGCAGCUCCCCCACUCGCUGGGGUGCCCCUGAGAGGCCGGUGCCCUGGCGCAAUGCGCCAGUAAGCCCAAUAGGAAAGACGGCUCUGCCAUAAAGCUUCGUCUCCAGACCUUUGAUCAUCUUGGUCACCCCUCCUCUUCACAUGUUCCAGUUUGUCAACGUCCUUCUUAAAUUGUGGCGCCCAAAACUGGACACGGUUUUCCAGGUGCGGUCUGACCGAGGCAGAAGAGAGAGAGAAAGACUAUGACUUUCUUCAAAUAAAAACGUCUUGGAGGUCCUGGGCCACAGGGAGGUUAGGCUGGCCUCGACCCGAGACAGGGCUUUUUCGGCCGUGGCCCCGAUCUGGUAGAACGAUCUGUCACAAGAGACUCGGGCCCUGCGGGACUUGACAUCUUUCCGCAGGGCCUGCAAGACGGAGCUGUUCCACCAGGCCUUUGGCCAGGGCACAGCCUGACCCCCUCCUUUGGUCACCCACACAGAAGUCUGGCCCAAUGGUUGCCAUUAAUUUGAUUCUGAAUUGAUUUUAGAUUGUAUUUCAAUUAAUUGACUGUGGUUUUAUGUAAACUGGGCUAUUUUUACUGUUGUUAGCUGCUCUGAGCCCGGCUUUGGCUGGGGAGGGCGGGAUAUUCAUUAAUAAUAAUAACAAUAUUCCCUUGAUCUGGACACUCGACUUCUGUUGAUGCAACCUAGAAUAGGACUCAUGUCAAGUUUGUGGUCUACUGAGACCCUCUAGAUUCUUUUCACGGCUAUCAAGUCGGGCAACCCCCCAUCUUCUAUCUUCCAUUUGUGCAUCUAGUUCUUCCUGCGUGAGUGCAGGACUUGUCCCUGUUGGCAGAUCAGGCCUGGCCCGACUGCAGGGAGGGAGAAGUUGCUGAAGAGCGAGCAGGAGAACGAGAUCUCCCUGGCUCUGCUUUUGCACUUUGGCCUUGGGUCUUGUCCUCAUGGACCACACGGAUGAUCCACACGCCGGAGCCUCUGCGCGAAGCAGUCAUUUCCAUAACAAGCAUGCAGGAUCCCUGGGACGCCGUCAUGUGGGCAGAUAAGCAUGCAAAUUGAGUUGAUGUGCAGCAGCUGCUUUGCACGCAUGGCCUUGUCCCUGGAAGAGUGUGAGCGUGUGUCUCACAGGUGAGAUAUUGGCAAAGCGGAAGAGAGACGGUGUUUUCGAUGAGCCAGAGUGAACUUGGGCUGAGUGCUGCGCCUAGGCCUCAAGUGCCUAGUUCAGUGCUGGAAGAUAUGAACAGGAGGACUCCUGAGUAUGAGCAGAGUGUUCAUUCCUCUAUUAUUCAGUAUACCUGAAGGAGCGUCUCCACCCCCAUUGUUCAGCCCAGACACUGAGGUCCACCUCCGAGGGCCUUCUGGCAGUUCCCUCACUGCGAGAGGUGAGGUUACAGGGAACCAGGCAGAGGGCCUUCUUGGUGGUGGCACCCACCCUAUGGAACGCCCUCCCACAAGAUGUCAAAGAGAAAAACAACUACCUGACAUUUAGAAGACAUCUGAAGGCAGUCCUGUUUAAGGAAGUUUUUAAUGUUUGAUGUUUUAUCGUGUUUUUAAUACUCUGUUGGGAACCACCCAGAGUGGCUGGGGAGGGAGGCCCGGCCAGAUGGGUGAGAUAUAAGUAAUAAAUUAUUAUUAUUAUUAUUAUUAUUAUUAUUAUUAUUAUUAUUUAUUAGACUGGAAAGGAAAAGUCUUUGGAACAGGGUGUUGAUGUAGCAUAAGACGUUUUGGGAGGGAGGUGAAAGCAAAAGGGGGGGUUUGAGGGAAUAUUGGUGUAAUUUUAUACAGUACUGGAAGAAAAUGACAAACUAUUGUAGGAACCUAGGAAGCCACCUGGAUGUUCCUCAGAAAGAGAGAGAGAAAGAGAGAAUGCAGGAAUAUAUGGGCUGAAAGUUAAUGAAUGGAAUGCCUCCCCACCCAGGGGCUCCUCCAAGUCACCCCAGGGUGCUAUGGCACACUGGUUGAAAACCAAUGAGCUGUGAGAACCAAUACCACACCCUGUAUCAGUGGUUCUGAACCUGUGGGUCCCCAGAUGUUGUUGGACUACAACUCCCAUCAUCCCUGAGCUCUGGCCUUACUAGCUAGGGGUGAUGGGAGUUGUAGUCCAAGAACAUCUGGGGAUCUGCAGGUUGAGAAAGGCUGCCCUAUAUCAAUAUUGCAGGUGCCGCUCUUAGUACCACAACCCAGCCAGAAGGGCAGGGUAUAAAUGAAAACAUUAUUAUUAUUAAUUUAUGAGGUGUGAUUUUCCAGCAUUUUGGAGCUUGAGUAGACAUGGAAAAGUCUGAGAACACAUCUGCCCCCAAGGCCUUUUGUUGAUUGAAUUUAUAUUGUAUCUUGAAUAGAUGCUUAUGGGUCUCCCACUGGCAUUCCAAGUGCUUUUUCUCGGUUUGGUUUCCUUGGAACGAAAGUCAGCAGAGACUGUGGUGUCUUUAGGAUAUGUGGUUUUAUUUAUAUACAACUUGACCACAGAGUGGAGGGGCUCACAUCAUUAACACCCCAACAGAUCUUGCUUUGGUUUCCAGGGGAGCCCCCAAGUCUAGUUUAUACUCAGCACGGAUCAAGUUAUAUCUCUGUCUCUCUCCAGUAUCCAGCUUUGGGCUCACAUACACUCAACACCUCUGGCUAUUUUUCUUCUACCUACCAGCCUGGUGAAGUGGGUGGAAAAAGGACCCACCCAUUUGUUUCUAUGGCAACAGAGCAACUUCUUUGGAGAUGCUAAUUUGCGGUACUUAACUACCUGGACAAAGGAACUGGUUUGGAAAACUUCCUCAUUCAUUAUGUUGAUGUUGUUUAGUCAUGUCUGACUCUUCAUGACCCCCCUGGACCAGAGUACGCCAGGCACUCCUGUCUUCCACUGCCUCCCGCAGUUUGGUCAAACUCAUGCUGGUAGUUUCGAGAACACUGACCCACCAUCUCGUCCUCCGUCGUCCCCUUCUCCUUCUGCCCUCCAUCUUUCCCAACAUCAGGAUCUUUUCCAGGGAGUCUUCUUUUCUCAUGAGGUGGCCAAAGUCUUGGAGCCUCAGCUUCAGGAUCUGUCCUUCCAGUGAGCACUCAGGGCUGAUUUCCUUCAGAAUGGAUGUGUUUGAUCUUCUUGCAGUCCAUGGGACUCUCAAGAGUCUCCUCUACCACCGUAAUUCAAAAGCAUCCAUUCUUUGGCGAUCAGCCUUCUUUAUGGUUCAGCUCCCACUUCCAUACAUCACUACAGUGGUACCUCGGGUUAAGAACUUAAUUCAUUCCGGAGGUCCGUUCUUAACCUGAAACUGUUCAUAACCUGAAGCACCACUUUAGCUAAUGGGGUCUCCUGCUGCCACCGCGUGAUUUCUGUUCCCAUCCUGAAGCAAAGUUCUUAACCCGAGGUACUAUUUCUGGGUUAGUGGAGUCUGUAACCUGAAGUGUCUGUAACCCGAGGUACGACUGUACUGGGGAAACCAGAGCUUUAACUAUAUGGACCUUCGUCAGCUUCAGGACCUGUCAUUCAUUCUACCCUCAUGCAUAUGUAAAAAAUAUGUUGUAAAAUCUUCUGUGUGUCUAAGGUUUGGGCACAUGCUGUUGGAAGAUUUAGGGCACAUAAAAGAAAGUCCUCCUUCAUGCGGGGAAUUGUUAACCUAUGGAACUCACUCCCACAGGAGGCAGUGAUGGCCAUUAGCUUGGAUGACUUGAAAAGAGGAUUCAGCAAAUUCACAAAAGAGGAGAAUGCUGUUGAUGGCUACCAGCCACAGCGGCUUUGCUCUCUGCAUCCAUAGUUAGAGGCAGCAGUGCUUUUGAAUGCCAGUGGAUGGAAACCACAGGAAGGGGAGAGGGCUCUUGUGCUUGGAUCCUGCCUGUGGGCUUUCCAUUAAAGCAUCUGGUUGGCCACCAUGAGAAGAGGAUGCUGGACCAGAUGGGCCAUUGGCCUGAUCCAGCAGACUUUCCCUGUGUUCUGAUCUCUCUCUGCCUCUCCCGUGCCCUAAGGAAGUCAGACUAUGCUCCCCAGGGCCAGGGCCUUCUCAGUGAUGGCUCCGACCUGGUGGAAUGCUCUGUCCCAUGAGACCAGGGCCCUGCAGGAUUUAACCUCCUUCCAUUGGGCCUGUAAGACAGAGCUAUUCCACCUGGCCUUUAAUUUGAAUUCAGCCUGAUCUUUUAUUUCCCUUCCCUUCCCUCACCUGCUCUGAGACCCCACAGCUAAUUCUCCCCUGGUCUCCUCGCUGGUCCAAGUAGGACCAAUUCAGCCAGCUAGCCCUGGGGAUUAUCUACCGGUAAUUGAUUUUUGAAUUUUAUUGUUAUUUGUGUUUUUAUACUGUAUUUUAUGCUGCUUUUAUAAUUAAGUGCUUUAAAGUGUUUUAAAUUUGUUGUUAGCCGCCCUGAGCCUGGUUUUUGAACCGGGAAGGGUGGGGUAUAAAUAAAAAUGUAUUAUUAUUCUUAUUCUUCUUAUUAUUAUUCUUAUUACUGCAUAUUAACCUUGCUUAGGGUAGCAAUCACUUGCCAAACAUCCCCGCUCAAAGCAAAUAAUGAAAGGAAGCGUGGAUCUUGGCCCAGGUGGCCAGGCUGACAAAUGCAGUUAGCAUUUGCGAGAGGCUCAACGGCCAACCAAUAACUCUGAAAUGAAAUGGAAGCUCAGCCUCAAGUUAUCAGGCCCGCUUGGCGAGACUCCCUGCAGAGUUUGACAAAUUUGUUUGCUGCGUAGGAAAAGAACACAAACCCGGGACUCUGGGCUCAUUUGUAGCAUUUAAUCUUGAUGAAGCUGGAUUACCUGUGCGCUCAGGGUGAUUCGUUUUGUAUUGUCUCGAUUCAAUGAAUAACAAACAAAAUGGAGAGGAAAAUUCACCAUUUGAACCCAAGGCGAGAUGGACUAUUCCAGAGGGGUUGUGUGGGCUGUUUUGCAAAGAGUUUGGCCGCAUCAACUUUAUUUAUUGAUCGGUUCUCGCCAGCGGUGCAAGGUGUUUCACUACUAGCUGGUUUGCAUGAUUAAAAGGGAUCCCACUCACGGGCGGAGUGGACACGGCUGUCAUCUUGUCCCCGGUACCUGAGGAUGAUUCCCCCUGUCCAUUUCACAUCCUUGCUUCCUGCUUUUGAAAAAGAAUUAUUUAUUUGCAAUCCCCGAGGCUCAGAGGGGCAGCAAUAAUUUAAAUGCGAGGUGGACGGUUAAGAUUGGUUUUGAUCCUUUUGUGCGUAAUCUUCACAAAAUGAAAAUGUCGGAACUAGAGCCCGGCUGACGUGGUGCCCCGCCUCCUAAUCCCCACUGCGCAGAGGACUGCUUCAUAGAAACAUAGAACUGUAGAGUUGAAAGGGGUUCCAGGGGUCAUCCAGACCAACCCCUGCAAUGCUUGUUGCGCUAUGAUGAGGCAAAAGAACUCUGCACGUGAUUUAGUCACCCUCUUCUUUCAUUAGUGAAGCUCCUGGGGGGAACCAGGUUCACGUCCCUACUGGGUGACCUCAGGCCAGAUAUUUACCCCCUGAGGGCCUCCUUAAUUGCCUUUCCCCUAAACUAAAACUCCCCAAGUGCUGUAACUGUUCCACCCUCUUUUCCAGCGACACAAUAUCCUUUUCUGAGGCAAGUCAACCAGAAUUGUACGCAACAUUCCAAGUAUGCUAUCAUCAUAGAUUUGCAUUCUGAAGUACAAGUUUCAGAUAUAAGCUCAUGUAUCCUGGCUAGUCAAGGAUGCGGGUGGUGCUGUGGUCUAAACCACUGAGCCUAGACCUUGUCAGUCGGAAGGCUGGCGGUUCGAACAUAGCUGUCAACCUUCCCCCUUUUUUUGCGGGAAAUUCCCUUAUUCCAGUGCCAUUUCCCGCUGCUAUCCCAGAUUGUUAGAUGUCCCGUAGACUGUCCCCGGGACAGGUGAGGCUGCUGAUCCCUUAUUUUCAAAUCUGAAAGUUGACAGCUAUGGGUUUGAAUCCCAAUGACGGGGUAAGCUCCCAUUGCUCUGUCCCAGCUCCUGCCAAACUAGCAGUUCGAAAGCACGAAGUGCAAGUCGAUAAAUAGGUAUUGUCCGUGGUGUGGAGAAAGGGAACAGAGGAAUUCUCCUCGCUCAUAAAACUAGAAUUCAGGGCCAUCCAAUGAAGCUGAAUUUUGGAAAAUUCAGGACGGAUAAAAGAAAGUGCAUUGUUAGCCUACGGAACUCACUUCCACAGGAGGCAGCGAUCAACACCAACUUGGAUGGCUUUAAAAGUGGAGUGGAAAAUUCAUGGAGGAGAAGGCCAUAAAUGGCUACUGGGCAGGAUGGCUUUGCUCUGCCUCCACAGUUGGAGGCAAAAAUGCUUCUGGAUAGCAGUUGCUGGAACCACAAGAGGGGAGUGUCGCUGCUGUGCCGUGGUCCAUCUUGCAGAUUUCCCGCUAAGGUACCUGGCUUGGCUAAUCUGAGAACAGGAUUCUGGACUAGAUGGGCUAUUGGUCUGAUCCAGCUACAGGGUGGUUCUUACGUGCUUAAUUGUAGGUGCCAGUGUCCUGGGUGCCUGAGCACCCACAAAAUUCCCCAUGAAGGGGCCAGGCACCUACAAAUUUCAGGAACUAGGGCCAUGCAUGUUGCAGGGCACCCACAGUCACAGGGCCAAGCUGUUCCUAAUAGUAAUUGUAUUUGUUCUGGAUGUACGAUAACUGACAGGCUCAUAUAGCUGGAAACCAAUUGUUUGGUGAUGAAACCUGGAAUAGGAAUUGAGUAUAAAGACACCAGAAAAGACUGAGGCAUCAUAUUUCUGAAUUAUUAUAUGUUUGAGUCUCUCUCUCUCUCUCUCUCUCUCUCUCUCUCUCCCCCCAAUUCUCAUUAGCUUUCUUAACUUUACCAGCUUGGUCAUUAUUUCCACUUUCCAAAUUCCAUCCAUCAACUUCCAGAGCUCUCCUCUUUUAAUUCCAGCCAAGCUAUGUUUGAUCCUCAGCACAUUUAGAAACAAUUCUGCUUAAGAUGCGGUUUCUGUUGGUUUAAAUAGUUUUUUUGGGCCACAGCUGAAGGCAGGAACACCUGCUCGGCAUGUCAGAGGACCCAGGUUGUGAAUCUGGGCUUUCGCUGAAAAGGACCGGGUUUCAUGUGAUGGGGAUAAAGAACUUUGUUCGCAGGGGAUCUGCAGAGAAUGUGGCUGCCGCUCAGAACAGACAUUGCUGAGCUAGAACUGGACAGCUUGAUAUGUUCAGUUUCACAUGCAAUAGCUCUAAGACUAAGUCCAACAUCCUCUUCUUACAGUGGCCAGACAGGAUUUGAGCAGAGAAGCACACUGCCGUCCUGUGGUUUCCAGUAACAUUGCUUCCUCUGACCCUGGAUGCAGUCCACAGCCAUCAAGGCUAAUGAAUUUGCCUAAUCCUCUUUUCAAGACAUCGUUUAAAGACAAGAGUGCCAUAUAGUUUAACUAUGUGCUGCAUGGAGAAAUCCUUUUAAAAAAACCAAACUGUCCUGAAUCCUCUAACAUUCAGCUCCACAUGCUCUAAUAUUGGACUGCAACCUAUGCGCAAAACUAUUGGACUGUGUGGAACUUCCUUCUAAGAACACAUGGGAAACAUGCAUGUUGUUAGUUUUAGAGUCAAAUGGUUUAUUAUUUCAUCUCAGGCCUCCUCCAUUGACAUGUUUGUUCCCCGCUCAUCUUAUUUGCCUGCAGAAAGCGUUGUGCAUUACUUAGACUAUGCCCAGCUUUUAUCGAGCAUAUGUUCUGAUUUGCUUACAGGGUGGUUAAACAAUGAUCAUUCAUCCUACGAUCAUCCUGAUUUGCUUGCGGUGUGUUUACACAUCUUCCCUGUUGAAUGACUGGGCCAGUUAUCUGUUGGAGUUCUUUAGUAUGCGAGUAAGCGUUGUGUGGUUAGUAGACUUUGCCUGUUGCAAACACACACACACACACACACACACAGAGAGAGAGAGAGAGAGAGAGAGGAGAGAGAGAUUUGUUGUGCAAAAAAAUAAGAAAUUAAUUUAUUCUAGGAAGUACGUUUAACUUGGUUAUAAAUGAUACCUAGUUCUAGCCUAAACAGCUACUCUAGAGAAGGCAAAGGCAAUCAGGCCAAUGGAACCUUUUGUGUAUUCCUGUCAAAUUCAUGUAUACCUUUAAACCUUAUAGACAAUAAAGCAGAGUUCCCAAACUUGGGUCUCCAACAGUUUAUGGAUUACAAUUCCCAUCAUUCCUGACCACUAGUCCUACUAGUUAGGGAUGAUGUGAGUUGGUCCAAAAACAGCUGGAGACCCCCUUUAAAAGUUUCUUUCCAAAGUCCCCCUCUUCCCCUAGCAUGGAAAAAGGCCAUGCUUGAUAAGUUAAACAUGGUUUACUUACAAACUCCAAAGGUCAGAUUCAUGUGCUUUUCCACACAGCAGUCAGAAAAAGUUGCACAGGCAGUAAAACUUUGUUUAGGUACAAAGUGAUGAAAGUUCUUAAUUUAUUGGUAUAGGAACUCAGGAGUGGCUUCUGAGUGCAUGCAGUUGAGCUGGAGCAACCACCUCAAACCUCUUCUUCACUGGAGCUGUGAGCUAGCUAACCAUUGGGGAAAAAACAAACCCCUCUCAGGUUUACACAUACUAAAUUAAAUUUGAACUUCUACGGGGAAAGAGGAGAGCGCUUGCUUUGAAUUGCUGCUGGUUCCUUCUGGCUUACUACUUCAUUUCUGUAAGAUUAAGUCUGAAGUGAGGAUAGCGCAGCCUUAAUUUAGGGAAGAUGGCGUCUUAUCAUUGCAGUUCCUGAAUCAUAAAUUGACCUUAAAAGCAAUCUUCCAUUUCCAUUUGAGGCCUGGUUCCUGCCUACAGGAGUCUGAUAACUAGAUCUUCCUGGCAAAGGCAAAGAUUAGCACACUGAUCUUUUCUGGAACUGUUAGGCGGUCCAGAAGCUAGUUGUUCUCUGCAGGUCAUGUAUGAGAUAAGAACUUGUACCAGGGUCGGAGAUCGGCUGCACUGACGCCAUGAUCCAUAGAAAUAAACCAUGUGAAAAGUCUAGACUAGCACCUGCCGUUACAUCUCUUCCUGAACACCAUUUCCCCAGCAAGGAAAUCCAAAACCACACAUUCACAAAAUCCUUUCGGGAACGGUUUACUCACUUCUUUUCUGUUCCACUGCACAGCCUUCCCCAACCUGGUGCCCACAUGGUGUGAUAAACUACAACUCCCACACCAAUGGGAGCAUGGCCAAGCUGGUGGGGGGGGUGAUGGGAGUUGUGGGCCAAAACAUCUGGAGUGGAGGGUGGUCAGAUGUUGCCAAAGGCAGCUCACAAACACAAAGGACUCUGCUGGAAGGACUGCCUCCCAGUCUCUAUUUUGCUUGGACUAAAUAUUCUUAGUUCAUUUCUGUAAGCCCUGUCCCCGCCAAAAAAAUAAAUCCUGGCUAGGCCCAUGGUCCUAGGCCUCUGGGAGGGGAUGUAGGGAUCCAGGGAUCCUAAACGGCCUCAGUCCAGUAUACCUGAAGGAGCAUCUCCACCCCCAUUGUUCUGCCCGGACACUGAGGUCCAGCGCUGAGGGCCUUCUGGCGGUUCCCUCACUGCGAGAAGUGAGGCUACAGGGAACCAGGCAGAGGGCCUUCUCGGUAGUGGCCCCCACCCUGUGGAACGCCCUCCCACCAGAUGUCAAAGAAAACAACAACAACCAGACUUUUAGAAGACAUCUGAAGGCAGCCCUGUUUAGGGGAGCUUUUAAUGUUUAAUGCAUUACUGUAUUUAAAUAUUUUGUUGGAAGCCUUCCAGAGUGGCUGGGGAAGCCCAGCCAGAAGGGCGGGGUAUAAUUAAUAAAUUAUUAUUACUAUUAUUAUUAUUAUUAGAGGGUGCCAUUGUUCAAAACCUGAAAAGUUGCAUGCAGUUAAAGAGACACUGGGUGCUUCUGGGCGGGGGGCAGGUUGUCAAAAUAAAAUAAAACGCUGUGUAAGGAUCACUGCUUAUGAGCGAUCGGUAAGAAAGCCAUGGUGUAAAAAAAGUAAAUAAGCAACGGGACUUCUACAGCAGCAGGCGCUGAGGUCUGGGGGAUGGAGGCAGCCCCUCUCUCUGUCUCUCCAGGUUUUUAGGACCCGGGGAAGCCCCUGGGCUCUGCUGCUUCUUGCAUCAAGCCUGCGAAGUCUUCCUCUUUGCUUCUGCCUCUGCUUGGCAGCGAGAGAGCGAUGCCCAGCCGCGCUCCCGGGAGCAGGUGUGCAUGACAAGCCAAGUGUGUGUGACAGAGGCAGGCCGGCCACCGGGAGGGGGGACGGGCGCGCUCUAGCUCUGUAUCUCUCUCUCUGUCUCUCGCUUGCAAAAGUCUCCCGGCUCCAGCGGCGGCCGCGCUCGGUCCUCAGCCGGCUUCUUCUGAAGCCCGGCGGGGCAGCAGAAUGGUCCUGAUCCUGCCGCACAUUCUCAUUGCUGCCCUUCACUUUUUCAGACGGGGCCAGCAGGUCUUCCUGAAGGCGGAGGAGGCGGCGGCCCGAGGCUCGGACACGCUACAGGUAGGUCGCUCUUUUCGGUUCCCCCUUUUUUUUCGGGGGUGGGGGUGACGGGGGUCCCCAAGGUGGUCCCCAAAGGUGGUGACUCUCUUCGCCUGCUCGGGAUGUCCGCCCUUUGCAUGUUCUCGCGGCGCUCUGUGCGUGGCCCGGUGAACUCUUGAUUGCGGUUGAGGAACUCUUGUUGGCGAUCGGCCAAGUUUGUCUCCCCACGACCGCCCAAAUUAACUUGUUUUACUCUGUUCUAAGCAUAGCUGUCAACUUUUCCCUUUUCUUGCGAGGAAUCCAAUUCGGAACAAGGGAAUGUCCCUUUCGAAUGCCACUUCCAUCCUUCCUUCCAUCCAGCAACUCGCGGCUAACUUUGCAAAUGACUUUGGGAUGUCUCAAAAUAUAUUCCAAAGCAUCUUAGCGCUUUGACACUCUCUGUGAUUCCUGCAUUGCAGGCGGUUUGAACGACCCUUUGCGGGGCGGGGGCUCCCUUCCAACUCUUUGAUUCUUCGUAAGCGGACAUGGCGCAAGCACAGUGAAGGUCAUGCGUGGCAUAAACAGAAGACUACUCUUCUGAAGGCGAUCCUUUGAUCACAUCCCUAACAGAUCGUUUCGUAGCUGGCUGGGACAAAGGGUGGCGCUUGUUAACGCGGCCCCCAAAGCAGGGUUCGUCCAGAGGCACUGAGAAGCUUUUACAGUUUUAUUGUCCCGCUAGCAUGUCAGCGCCCAAAGAUUUGUUCUCAACUAAGCAUGGGAAAAGACCUAGGAUUGCUGGUACCUCCAUCUCUGAUGAGUAGGAGGAGUGCGCUCUCUUGAUAUUUCAGAAGCGACCAAGUCCUGUUUGUAAUUGACCAAAAACACCCCCCUCCUCUCUCUCUCUCUCUCUCUCUCUCUCUCUCUCUCCUUCCUUCCUUCCUUCCUUCCUUCCUUCCUUCCUUCCCUCUGUUGGCCAAAACACCUUUUAUUCACAUUAUUUAUCCUUUCCCUCUCCUUUAUGUCUUCUCCUUCCUAUUCUCAAGCGCUCCCUCUCCUCUUAUUGGACCAUCUAUGGGGCUCUGACUAGCUUUCUUUUCCUCGCCUGAUUCUCCACGGCUCGAGUUCUCAAUGGAAGAGCUCUUUGCGCCACGGGCUCGCCUUGAGAAACGCCUCCCGUUUCUGCAGGACCACCCCAUGCACCCCCCCCCCCUUUUCGCGAGGCAGCGAGGCUGCCAGCUACGACCCUCGCGGCGGCUCGGCAGGGCCCGGGAGGCGCGUGGCGCGCUCCUGCCAGCCGCAGGCAGAGCGGGCUCGCUGCAAUGCAGGCGUGCUCUGCUCGGCACCGCUCCUGCGAGCAGAGCAGAGGCCCUGGAAGUCUCUGAAAGUUGCUGGCUGCUGUUGGCAAGCAGAGAAGCAGCUUCAGAGCGUUGGCUUGGCGUCUGUAUCUCCCUCUCCUCCUCUGCAAGCACCCAGAGGACUCUGCGGGACACACACACACACACACACACACACACACACACACACCAUUUUUCUAUUUCCAAGCACCUGCUUCUCUACCCGCCAGCACCCCAAAGCUGUGUGCAUGGAAACNNNNNNNNNNNNNNNNNNNNNNNNNNNNNNNNNNNNNNNNNNNNNNNNNNNNNNNNNNNNNNNNNNNNNNNNNNNNNNNNNNNNNNNNNNNNNNNNNNNNAUGGGUGGCAAAUCAUUAUUAUUAUUAUUAUUAUUAUUAUUUUGAUAUCCCUCCUUUCCUCCUCCAAGGAGCUCAAGGUUCUCUCCCCUCCUCAUUUAGUUCCCACAAGGACCCUACCAGGUAGGUUAAGCUGAGAGGCAGGGACAGAUAGCUCAACUGGUACAGCAUGAGACCCCUUAAUGUCAGGGUUGUGUGUUCAAGUCCCACGUUGGGCAAAGUAUGACUAGAUGACCCUUGUGUGUCCCCUUCCAACUCUACAAUUCGGUGAUUCUAUCACUGGCCCCCAAGGUCACGCCCAGGAAACUUCAUGGCCAAGCGGGGUUUUGAACCCUGGUUUCCCGAGUCAUAAUCUGACGCUCUAACCAUUACGCCGCACUGGCACUCCACAGGCAGCUCUGGGUCUUUUGAAACCCGCAGGCUGGUUCCUGGGGUGAAUCGUCAAAUUCUGUGAUUCUGCAUUGCUGGUGCAAAACUUUGGCCUUUCUUGAAAGCUGUUGUGUUGUGCGCAGGGAGUUGGCCAUUUGGUCAGUAGUUAAUUCUUACAGAUAAGGUAACAUCAUCCUAAAGAGGGAACCCCAUAUUGGAAAGAGAAACACCGCUUUCUGUAUGGUGUGGUUUAAUUUUAUUAAAGUUUAUUCAAUAUUUUAUUGAAGAUGGCUUCCGUGCACCAGCUUCUCACGGGACUCUGUGGAAGAACAUUUUGUGUUGAUUUCUUCUUGCUGUGUGGCAGCACUUUGCAUCUUUAUUCCAAUGUACUAUUUUUUUAAUGCCGUCUCUGUACUUUGGGGGAGGGAGUGGCCUGGCAAUAAUGUUAUUAUUUUCUUAGUUCUGUUAUAUCUGAAUAUCAAUAAAAUACAGAGUUUUUUUAUUAUUUUAAAUAAGGAAUCAGAACUGGACCUUUUGACAUGUGGGGUAGUGCAUGCAAGUUUAUUUUGGGUAGAUUCCAGCCAGAAUGCAAAGGCGUUGAAUGCAAAGGCGUUCUACAACAUUUGCCGGCAGAAGAGUUCUAGGAAUCGAAAGCCAUGCCUGUUUCUCAUAGAGUUGUAGAGUUGGAAGGGACCUAAAGGCUGUGGGAAUGUUCAGGGAUGCAGAAGAGGAUAUAUUGUCUGAUUAUAGCCUUUCCAACUUGUGUUAAGAAGUUCACAAUUUAGCAGAGUAACAUUCCCCUUUUUAAACUUGCAGCGGAUGCGUUUCCUCAGGCUCGCUAAAGCCUCUAUAAUAACUGUCCUGGUAUUUUCCCCUUAUUCCCUCAUAAAAAGAUAAGACAUGAUACAGUCUUCUUUAAAUUAUAAAAAGGUUUACUCAUACACCAUUCUGUUCACAAUAGGAUCCCAGAAGGCAGACUUAGCUUAGAUAAGUAACAUACACCUGGAAACUAUCUCAUAAGGAGACAGUCCCUUUGUCCUCUCUUGGCUGGAAGCCAAGAGAGCAUCUUAGGCUAAGCAGAUGUUGCUUCUUCGACGAAUGGAGUCAGAGAGAGAUGGCGGCCUCCACUCAGGUAUUUUGUUACCUGCACAGGUGAGGCCACGCCCACCUCUUGUCACAUGUAGAGGAAGUCUGUCCCAGCCCAGAAGGAAACAGGAAGUUUACCUCCUGGCUGGACAAACAUUCCUCCCCAUGUAUAAACAUGUUCACUCUGGGAAUGUUGUACUUGACUGCUCUUGUGUUUCACAUCCCACAUAGACUCAUCUAGUCCAACCCCCUGUGAUGCAGACAACAGCAACCAAGAUGCUUGAGGGCUUGGCAGGUCCCACUUGUGAGUUUCCCACAGGCAUCUGCAUGGCCACAGUGAGGACUAUUUGGCUGGUCCAGUGUCUCCAGGAAGCCCACAAGCAAUAAACAACUCCUUGCACUCUAACAGGUGGUAUUCAGUGAAAGAUUCCCCCUGACUCUGGGGAUUCUACAGAGCUAUAAUUGAUGAUUACCAUUGAUAUUCUCCUCCUCCUUUUCUCCAUGAAUUGGUGUAACAAACAUCCUUUCCCACCCUCCUCAGCUAGCAGCCCUUGUCACGCCUUCUGAAUUCCAUAGAUUAAUUCAUAUAUAUAUAUGAAUUAAUGUAUAUAUACAUUUUUAUUGAUGUUUUAACUUAUCAGUUCCAACAGUCAUACAACACAUCUUCUCAUCUUAUACAAUAUUUUAGACUUCCGUCAACACCUCUGAUGAUUUUCCAUUCUUUGUCACUUAUUCUGCAUUUCUUAAUUUCUAUAUUACAUUUAAUUAUCCUUAACUAAUAAUUCUCUUCAUAGUCUUUCUUGCAGUAUUUCAAAUAAUCCACCUUACAAAACUUCUUGCAGUCCUACUAGCAUAAUCUGUCCAUCACAAUUACUUUUCAAAUAAUUAAUAUAUUUACUCCAGUCUUCUAAGAAUCUCUGAUGCUGCAGGUUUCGAAUCCUUCCUGUUAAUUUAUCUAAUUCUGCAUAGCCCAUCAACUUCAACCUCCAUUCUUCUUUUGUCGGUAGUUCUUCUUGCUUCCAUUUUUGUGCCAAUAAUAUUCUUGCUGCUGUCAUUGCAUAUAAAAACAACUUACAAUCCUGUCUAUUAAUAUCUCCUACAAUGCCAAGUAAAAAUGCUUCUGGUUUCUUAAUUAAUGUAUAUUUCAACAUCUUUUUCCUCUCAUUACAUAUCAUUUCCCAGAAGUUUUUCCAUAGAUUAAUUCAAUGUUACAUGAAGUCCUCUUUGGAGGUCUUUAAGCAGAGGCUUGACAACCAUAUGUCAGGAGUGCUCUGAUGGUGUUUCCUGCUUGGCAGGGGGUUGGACUCGAUGGCCCUUGUGGUCUCUUCCAACUCUAUGAUUCUAUGAUUCUAAGUCCCCAUCAAUGAUAUCAGGUGAACAAAGACCUAGAACACGUUUGUCUACUUUAGAUCUCUUUUUGCUGAGCACCUUCUGAACUACACCUUAUGACCACCAGCCAACUCAGUCCCUGUGAUUUCUCCCUUCUGUGCUGCACAUUUUCCUAGCACUUUUGAAAACAUCUUUCCCCCAUAGAAUUGUAGAGUUGCAGGGGGACCCCAUGGGUCAUCUAGUCCAGCCCCCUACAACACAGCUAAAGAAUCCCUGGCAGGUGGCCAUCCAACCUCUGCUCAGAAACUUCGGACGAAGGAGAAUCCACCUUCUGAGAGAGUCUGCUGCACUGUCAAACAGCUCUCACCCUCAGAAAGUUCUUCCCAAUGUUGAGUCAGAAUCUCCUUUCUUGUCAUUUGAAUUAAUUGGUUCAAAUCCUCCCUUCUGGAGUAGCCGAAAACAGGCUUGCUCCAUCUUCCACACGACAGCUCUUUAGAUGGCUAUCACCUCUCCUCUCAGCCUCCUCUUUCAAAGACUAAAUAUGCGCAGUUCCCUCCACCAUUCCUUAUAAGGCUGGGUUUCCAAAUCAUUUUCGGUCUCCUUCCUCAGCACACCUUCCAGCUUGUCAAUAUUUUUUGAAAACAUUCUGUGCUCAUAACCUUUCCGUGCCGCAGAACCUGGUCUGGACUUUGUGUCCCCUUCGCGUGGAGAGAGAUACCCCAGCUCUGCACCUCAUCAAUUUGUCCAGAUGGCAACCAUUUGGCUUGAGGUUUUGAGGAUGUUUGCAUCAACCUCAAAUCGUGGGACUUGUCAUCCUCCGCUGGCUCAUCUCCAAAGAGGAGAUAAUGAUGUUCAGAUGCUUCUGAAGGAUUAUUUACCAGUGGAAUAGACUGGCCUUGAUAGCAUCACGGGAUACCUUGUCUGGAAGCAGGUGACAUUCAGCAAUGGUUUUUAAACAUUCAUUGGAGGCUUUUAAACAGAGGUUGGGUACCCACCUCUCAAGCAUACUACUCCUACUACUACUCCUACUAACAACAACAGCAAUAGAAUCCUGGAGUUGAAAGGGAUCCUGAGGGUCAUCUAGUCCAACCCCCUGCAAUGCAGGAUAGAUAGAUAGAGAGAUAGAUGAUAGAUAGAUAAUCAGUCAAUCAAUCAAUCUGUACCCCACCCAUCUUACUGGGUUUUCCCAGCCACUCUGGAUGACUUCCAACAUAAUAUAAAAACACAACUAAACAUCAGGCAUUCAAAACUCCCUGAUACAGGGCUGCCUUCAUGUAAUUGGUUAUCUCCUUGUCAUCUGAUGGGAGGGCAUUCCAUAGGGCAGGCGCCACCACCGAGAAGGCCCUCUGCCUGGUUCCCUGUAGCUUCACUUCUCGCAGGGAGGGAACCGCCAGAAGGCCCUCGGUGCUGGACCUCAGUGUCCGGGCUGAACGAUGGGGGUGGAGAUGUUCCUUCAGGUAUACAGGAUACUUUAGCUGUGAUCCUGCCCUUGCAAGGACUAGAUGACUUUUGGGGUCCCUUCCAAUUGUAGAAUUCUAUGGUUCUUUGUUCCAGAUCAUUCUGCAUGUAGGCAUUGCUCAUUCUUCCUCCUAAGGCACCAGAGCAGGCUGCAACAUUAUAGCACAACAUUAAGAACAGUUUAAAAGCCUUCUGCGUUCCCCAGAAGUUGCAUGAUGAAGGUGCCAGGAAAGUUCUGCAGGAGGGGGUUCCUCAGCCUGGGCAUCUGGUUGCUGCCCAUGAGAACAGGAUGCUGGCACUGGCCUGAUCCAGCAACCUCUUUUUAUGUCCUUAUCCUUUCCAGCAAGCCAUCCCCGUUGGCAGCACACAGUAACAGAGAGCAAUAAAGUCCGCUAUCUGCUAGAUGAGAGUAAUUGACUUUGCCCUCGAAGGGUUGCUAAAGACUCCUAAAGCGCGUUGCCAAUUAAAAAAAUGGCAAAUUGCACCGGCGACAUCCUCCUGUUGGCUGCGCCUCUCCGGUUUUAUGGCAGGCAAAUGUUCUGUUCCACAAAAGGAGUGCUAUGCGCAUGAGAGGAGGCAGCGCCAGUCAGCUGAGAAGGUCACCCGCCCGUGUGGCUUGUCGGGAUCCAAGACGCACAGCAGCCCUGGAAGGCGGGCUCUGCCUGGUUGUCAGGAAUUCCGUUCUAUUCUGGCAACAAGCACACGCUGCUCUCCUUCUGCUGUGGAGAGUAACUGGAACCUCAGGAAGACAGCGGGGAUGGCAGGCAGGCGGUGGCAGCAGAGAGUGGAGGUGUUCUUGUUUGUUCUGCUUAAUGGGAUGUGUGGCUAUUUUAUUGCUCUUGGAGCUGGCCGAGGGGGCACGACUGGCAAGCUUUAUCUGCGGAAAGCCAGGCUGAACAGACUCUGGAGGACUGCUGGGGAAACCCACUGUUUUCAUGCAAUAUAUUCUCACAGGUGGAUUUUCCCAAGCAAACGUAUUACAGUAGUACCUCGGGUUACAGACGCUUUAGCUUCCAGACUCUGCUAACUCAGAAAUAGUACUUUGGGUUAAGAACUUUGCUUCAGGAUGAGAACAGAAAUCAUGCAGCAGCAGUGGGAGGCCCCAUUAGCUAAAGUAGUGCUUCAGGUUAAGAACAGUUUCAGGUUAAGAACGGACCUCCAGAACGAAUUAAGUUCUUAACCUGAGGUACCACAUUAGGCCAAUGGGCAGCAUUGCUAGAUCAGGUGAUGGUUCAUAGAAUCAUAGAACUGUGGAGUUGUAAGGGACACCAGGGGGACGCGGGUGGCGCUGUGGGUUAAACCACUGAGCCUAGGGCUUGCCGAUCAGAAGGUCGGCAGUUUGAAUCUCCACGACGGGGUGAGCUCCCAUUGCUCAGUCCCUGAUCCUGCCAACCUAGCAGUUCGAAAGCACGUCAAAGUGCAUGUGGAUAAAUAGGUACCGCUCUGGCGGGAAGGUAAACAGCGUUUCCUAAGCGGCUUAGUCAUGCUGGCCACAUGACCCGGAAGCUGUACGCCGGCUCCCUCGGCCAGUAAAGCGAGAUGAGGGCCGCAACCCCAGAGUCAUCUGCGACUGAACCUAACCGUCAGGGGUCCCUUUACCUUUAAGGGACACCAAGGUUCAUCUAGUCCAACCCCCUGCAAUGCAGGAAACUCAGCUAGGUUCACCUAGCCCAGCAUCCUGUUCUCCCAGUGGCCAGUCAGAUACCUAUAUGGGAAACUGGCAAGCAGGUUUUGAGCACAAGAGCAACUCUCCCCUCCUGUGGUUUCCAGCAACUGGUAUUCAGAAGCAGCGCACCCGAUAGCUGUCUCCUCCUCCAUGAAAUUGUCCAAUCCUCUUUUAAAUCCAUCCAUGUUGGUGGCCAUCAUUGCCUCUUGUGGCAGGGAGUUCCACAGUUUAUAUAUGUGCUGUGUGGAGCACUUCCUUUUCUGUUUCCCGAAUCUUUCAAUGUUCAGCUUAAUUGGAAGUCCAUGAGUUCUAGUGCUAUGAAGACAAAGGAAAACCUUUCGCUCUCCCCCUUUUCUCUGCCAUGCACAAUCUUAUAAACUUUUUUUUAAUAUAUAAAAUUUAUUUAUAUUUUUCGGGUUUAUAGAUUUCACUAAUUACAAUCAUUUUAACAUUUCAAAACUUGACUUCCUCCCCCCUCUUUCUCAAUUUCCUUAAAUUUAUUUUUAAUAUCUUCUGUAUAUCCAAAUUAAUUUAAUUUGCUCAUUUAUUCAUCUACUUUAAAUAUAUAUACUCUUAUAAAAUUGCAGGUUAUUGCAAUAAUCCUGCCAAUGCUCUUCCGGUAAGUUUCAUUAUUUCUGCAUAUUCCAUAACUUUUUGUAUCCAUUCUUCCUUUGCUGGGACUUCUGCUUCUUUCCAUUUUUGGGUGAGUAACGUUCUUGCCACCUAUACAUGAAUAAGUUUCUAUACAGUUUAGGUAGUUCUGUCCCUAUAAUUCCCCAAGGAAAAGCUGCUGCUGCUGCUGCUGCUGCUGCUGCUGCUGCUUCUUCUUCUUCUUCUUCUUCUUCUUCUUCUUCUUCUUCUUCUUCUUCUUCUUCUUCUCCUCCUCUUCUUCUUCUUCUUCUUCUUCUUCUUCUUCUUCUUCUUCUUCUUCUUUGUUUUACACAAAUGUUAUUUUAAACAUCCUUUUCAAUUCAUUCUAUAUCAUUUCCCAGUAAGCUUUAAUCUUACUACAAGACCGCCACAUACGAUAAAAAGAACCUUCUUUCUCUUUACAUUUCCAACAUAUAAACUUCUAUCAGGUCGCUUCCUUGCUUUCCACUAAAUUAAAAACUCCCAAAUGCUGCAACCUUUCUUCGCAGGGGAAUCGCUCCCUCUCCUGGCUCAUCUUGUUUGCUCUUCCCUGAAGCUUUUCCAACUUGAUCUCAGCCAUGCAGCCAGGAGGCAAAGAUUCCCAUGCUUGGUUCUGGUGCUGUUUUGCUCACCAUCCAGGGGGUCGUAUGCACGCUGGGAGGCAGUGUGGCGCCGCUCCUGUUGCUUCUAGUUUAGCAGGCAGAAAAAGCAAUGCCGAGAGAGAGAGAGAGAGAGAGAGAGAGAGAGAGGCAGGUCAGAUGAGCAGAGCUGGGCUAUCCACUCUUAAAUAAAUGGCUUUGCACCCACUUUGAGAAGCGCUUUGUUAGCAGAGGGGCCUGGGAAGAGCCUUCUGAAAAUCUCACAACUGUGAUAUUGACACACUGUUGCACCUGGAGCAACACAGGCUGGGUUAGUGUAGGGUUAUUGUAGAUGUCCCCGUUUCCCGGGGUCAGUCCCCGGAUUUGCGAAUAAGUCCCCGGACAAAUACCAUCCCUGGAAUGUCCCCGGAUUUCAUCUAACGUCCCCGGGAAACGCAGCGGCGGCAGUCUCAGCAGCCCGGAGCAGUUGGCUCUGGCUGGCUUCAGGAGCUGCUUGGAAGUCCCCAUAUGAUGGUGUCGCAGGGGCUCCAAGAUGCAGCUUCCGGGCUGCCUCCACCUUCCUGACCCAGCAACUAAGCUGUGAAGGGAGGCUUCAUGAUGCCUAUCAGAACAGCCUCCCAACUCCUACUUGCGUGCAAGCAAGCGGGGCGGGGAUCUCUCAGCUGUGAAGGGGGCCUUCACGCUGCCUAUCAGAGCUUGAGUGCAAGCCGGAGGGGGCAGGGACCUCUCAGUUAAGCAACGGGAAGCCUCCCUUCCCAGCUGAGAAAUCCCCGCCCCCUCCUGCUUACACACAAGUAGGAAUGGGAUUGGGACUGCUCUGAUGGGAAAGGAGGCAUUGUGCUACCCAAGCCUUGUUGCCACCCAGGCUUAUGGAGAAAGGAGAUAGAAGCCUCAGAGGAAGGGGAAACAUGGUGGUUGAGGUCAAGGCGUUGGCCGUCCCUCCACCACCGCCAUUGCUGCAGCAUCAACAUCCCGAACGUGUAUGUAUGUAUGUAUGUACCGUAUUUUUCGCCCUAUAGGAUGCACCAUCCCAUAAGGCGCACCUAGUUUUUUGGGGGGGAAAUAAAGGGGAAAAAAUUAUUUCCCCCCCCCAGGCGCGGGGCUGGGGCGGGGGAAGCCCGAGCUUCCCCCGACCCCAGCCCCCAAACAGCGCUGGCUCCCGCUGCUUGCGGAGAGGUCCGCGAAGCCUGGACGUGCUGAGCUCAGCGAGCGCAGGCUUCAGCAUGCAGGCAACUCUCCGCAAGCAGCGGGAGCGGAGCGCUGCUUGCGGAGAGGUGCGCGAAGCCUGCAUUCGCCCCAUAGGACGCACAUACAUUUCCCCUUCAUUUUUGGAGGGGAAAAAGUGCGUCCUAUAGGGCGAAAAAUACGGUAUGUAUUUAUUUAUUUAUUGUGUCCCCAGAUUCAUUGAAAAAAAUCUGGUAACCUUAGGUUAUGGACAUUGGACAGGUCUCUGAAAAAGGACAGGGUGGUAAGGUAGAAGAUACAUGGCAAUGUUGAGAUCACCAUUUUUGGAUUUCCUGAUGUCACGGGAUGGUGUCGACAGUGGAAUAGGCUCCCUCAGAAGGUGGUGGACUCUCUUUCCUUGGAGGCUUUCAAACAGAGGUGGGAUGGGCAUCUGUCAGGGAUUCCUGAGCCGCGGUUCCUGCAUUGCAGGGGGCUGGACUAGGUGACUCUUGACUAGAUGACUACAGCAUGGUGUAGUGGUUAGGAGCGGUAGACUCGUAAUCUGGUGAACCGGGUUCGCGUCUCCGCUCCUCCACCUGCAGCUGCUGGGUGACCUUGGGCCAGUCACACUUCUCUGAAGUCUCUCAGCCCCACUCACCUCACAGAGUGUUUGUUGUGGGGGAGGAAGGGAAAUGAGAAUGUGAGCCGCUUUGAGACUCCUUAGGGUAGUGAUAAAGCGGGAUAUCAAGUCCAAACAGACUUCUAAAAUGGCAGAGGAGACAUGGACCUAGACUAAAUUGCCGGCAGAGCAGAAAGAUGGGAAGAGGUUUUGCCCAGGCAGGUAAGAGAAGCUACAGCUAAGUCCUCCUGCUGUCAGGGCACAAAAGGAGUAUCUCUCAGAGUUCUCUCUAGCAAACUUGCAGGAAAAUUCUGCGAGCUUCAGCUCCUGUCAUGUGCAUAUGUAACAUGGCAUCAUAGACUCAUUCAGGAUGGAUGGGAGUAUGGGUGAAAUAUUGAAGGCCCGAAUGCAGGCGAUACCAACAAGAAAGAGAAGUGGGAGGCAUCUAAGAAAACCGGUGUGGCUGCAUAAGGAGCUUACAGACCAGCUGAGAUUUAACAAGGGCAUGGAAGAAAGGAGGAAAUAGCAAAACGUGAAUUGAGAAUAUCUCACAAGGCUGAGAGGCUGUCACUGGCCCAAAUUCAUUGGCCACCUUGGCCGAGUGGGGAUUUGAACCUAGAUAUUUUACACAUGUGCCAUUUCACAUAGAUCUGCCCCUGACAUUGCAGGGGACGGCAAGCCAAGCCCCUGGCCAACCUUGUGAGUGACUUUGCAGGGAGGGCGGUUUCCACUGACAGGGGCAGAGUUGAGGAACUAGUUGGUGCUCAUAGCAUCAGGACAAGAAGAUAAUAAAAGCACCCUUAAAGAGGCCUGGAGUGACCCUGAAUUGUAGCAUUGGGGGAGACGAUAAGAGUCACUUCUCCCCCCAACUUUCUCUUGAAAGAGCAUGCCUGAUUUCAUAAGGGUGUGUGUCUAAACUAGGCAUCCCCAAACUCAGCCCUCCAGGUGUUUUGAGACUACAGUUCCCAUCACCCCUGACCACUGGUCCUGUUAGCUAGGGAUGAUGGGAGUUGUAGUCCCAAAACAUCUGGAGGGCUGAGUUUGCCUAUGCCUGGUCUGAGCACAAGGUAUGGACAGGGACACCUUUCAGUGAACUAGAUUUUUGUUGCCGCAAAAUGAUCUCCGCUCAUGUGUGCUCCCAUGGCAGUGAGUUCUACAGGCUUAUUCUGCGAAGAAGCAUUUCAGACAAGUACCUGGAGAAGUAUGCAUUCCUUAAUUUCAGAGGGUUGGGCUAGAUGACCCCUGGGUCCCUCCCAACUCUAUGAUGCAGGGAGUUGACGGUGAACUGAUUUCAGGCAGUCAGCCCCCUCCCCUUCUAUGCCGCAGAAUUAUUAGUACAGUGGUACCUUGGGUUAAGUACUUAAUUCGUUCCAGAGGUCCGUUCUUAACCUGAAACUGUUCUUAACCUGAAGCACCACUUUAGCUAAUGGGGCCUCCUGCUGCCGCAGCGCCACCGGAACACGAUUUCUGUUCUCAUCCUGAAGCAAAGUUCUUAACCCGAGGUACUAUUUCUGGGUUAGCAGAGUCUGUAACCUGAAGUGUCUGUAACCUGAAGCGUAUGUAACCCGAGGUACCACUGUAUUGCAUUUCUAGCCCACCUUUUCCUCUAGGGAGCUCAAGGUAGCGUAGGUGGUUCUCCUCUUCUCCCCCCUCCCCAUUUAAUCCCCACAACAGCCCGAGAGAUUCAGUGACUGGCCCUAGACCACCCAGGAACAGGGGCUAUGUAGAGAUGAGGAGAAUUUUCUGUGGGCUGCUAACUUUGCUUCCAGAGUCAGGCCACAGAGCAGUCCCUGGCUGACAUCUCGCCCUACAAAACCCCUGCCACCAUGUGCCUCUGUCAGAAGGGGCUGGUUGCACAUAAUGCAAGCCACUGAUUUCAUAGGAAUAGAGGUAAGUGUCUUACAUUGAAUCAGAACACUGGUCAAUCUUGCUUGGUGUUGUCCACACAGACAGGCAGCAGCUCUCCAGGGUAUCAGAGAAGGCUCUUUCCCUGUCCUGUCUGGAGAGGCCAGCGGUGAAACUGAACUUGGUACCUUCCCCUUAACAACAACAACAACAACAACAAUAACAACAACAACAACAGAUUCUCGUCUCUGUGGUUCUACAAAAAGAAAAUAGAGUUGACUUGAGCAGGAGCUGCCUUGUACCUGGGUAGCUCAAUUGGUUGCGUGGUGCUGAUAAAUGCCGAGGCUGCAGGUUCGAUCCCCGUAUGGUAAAAUCGCAUAGUCCUGCAUUGCAGGGGGUUGGACUAGAUGAUCAUGGGGACCCCUUCAAAUUCUGACUCUAUGAUAUAGAGCCAUGGUGUCCAUCUAGCUCAGUAAUGUCUGCUCUGGCUGGCAGCAGGUUGCCCAGGGUUUCCCCGCCCUGCCUGGAUAUAUUAUUGAGACCUUCUGCAUUCAAAGCAGCUGAGCCGCAGCUCCUUCUGCAAUAUGAAAGAGAGCUUCAAUCUCACUUAGAGAGGCGGGUGGAGAGAAGCUGCGCUCUCGCUUUCUGUGCCGGAAAGCGCUCGUGCUUCCUAACUCGCGCAAAAAAACCAGGCUGGUCCUGGUGAGCGAGGCUCCCUCGCCAGGCUCGGCAGAUGAGUUGGGGAGCGGGGGGGGGGGGCUCGGCUUGGCUCGGCGCCCCGUUCCUGCCUCCCUCGCCCGGGCGCACACACUCCUGCAUCAUCCUCGCACAGAGAGAGGCAGCCGCGCGCUCUCGCGCCGAGGGAGAGCCGCCUUGCAGACCGCAGCGGUUGCAGCCGGAGCUUGGAGGAAAUGGGCAGGACGAGACUCCCUCUUCCAGGGCAGCCGAGCUGAGCCCUGUCUCCCCGCAGCCUCAGCACCACUUUCCAGGGACCCAGCAGGCUGGCCGGAUCGCAGGUGAUGGGCUCCGGACAUGGGCACCUUCUUCGAGAGUGUAAGGACCCGUUUUUACUCGAUGCGCUUUGAGGGGCGCUCGGCUGCGCCUCCCAAACUCCCUGCUUGCAACCCUGCCUCCCUCUUUUCCUUGUCCUAGUCUCUUAUAGUUGCGAUUCACAUCCUUUUCGGGGAGAAGGAACGCCCGACUUUAGCUUGCUGGGGGGGUCCCCUGUUCCCGAGAGGGCUCCGGAAUUGCUUCCUGCCUGCCUUUCUGCUUUAGGGCUUUGUGCACGUGUGCAAGCGUAACAACUGUGCUCCGGUUGCGUGUGCGUUUUCCUGUUGGGGAAGUCGAGGUGACUGACUGAGCACUAGCGAGCAUUACGGAGCAUGGUAGGUGGCGAGGCUGAGCAUUUCAGGACAGCCGGAGGAACAUUUCCUCCUUGUCUUCUGGGAGCGAGAACGGCUGCUCCUUAGUGCUUGAUCCGUCAGGGAUCCCGGCAGAUCCACUCACUUUAAACCUCACUCUGCCCUGUCAGGGCAUAUUCCCGCUGUUGCCCCCAGAUCUCUCCGGGUCCGGGUGGGCGUCACAGCUAACCAUCCCCUAUGCCUAAAACAGGAAAAUAACGGUUCGCCGUUGGCCCUGACAUUCUCUGAAAAUGAUUUUGAGCGUAAAAGUUUUUGGACUUGGGUGUUCCCUUCCUUCCUGUUCUGCGCUGCCUUUCAGGUUGGGGAUGAAACGUCUGCCAGGGGAGACCUCCUCCUAGAUGCCUCUUUUAUUGUCCGGUUGUCAUGAUUUGCGCUCUUGAUGGUAUCAGGAGGUUAUACGCAAUCCCACUUUAAUUCUGUUUGAGCUUGCAAAGUUUCAGGGUGGGUGUACUGCAACUUUUCCCAACUGGGGCACUUUCCUGUUGAAACCCUGUAACUUUUUUAGACUGCUAAUGUGGGUUGUUGUGGUUUUAUUUAUUUAUUUUUUGGAGGGGGGUGUAUAUUUGUCACAUUUCCGUUGCUGUGCUCUGACACCAGCAUGUUACAGUCAUUAGCGUGUCUGACUAGCACCAGCGAGACCAGGGUUCUCAUCUCCUGAAGCCAUAGCUGUCAAUGUUUUCCUUUUUUAAAGGGAAAUUCCCUUAUUCCAAAUAGGAUUCCUCACAAGAAAAGGGAAAAACUGACAGCUAUGCAUGAAGCUCGCCAAGUGACUUUGAGCCCGUCCCCAUCUCUCUGCCCAGCCUCCCUCACAGGGCUGUUGUGAGGUUAGCAUGGAGAGGGGGAGAGAAUUGCGUGUGUGCCUCCUCAGGCUCUUUGGAGCAGCAUGUGGCUCCGUUCUGUUUUCUGAAAAAUGGUCUGAUUGCUGGAGCAUCUUGGCACAAAUGCCAUCCCUUCUGCUCUCUGCCUGCAGCAGCAGCCUGUGGGUGAUGUGAACUGAUGGGCGGAAGCCCUGCUGGCUGUGGAUCUCUCCCAGUUCCCUGAUUUCCUGACCGGCGUCUGUUCCGGACCAAGAUUGUGUGAUUCUGGCAGAGAUGUUCAUUUGCUGCAAUGUAUACAUGCAACGUGCUUUCGGUCAGCGCUGGCGUGGCGCGAGGUUAAGAGGAAGCAGCGCUGUGGCUUUCUAAGGCAGCCUUUGCCCAACCUGUUGGAAGUCGUAGUCCGAAAUAUCUGGAAUCUGGAGGGCGCCGGGUUGGCAAAGCCUUUUUAAGGCUUAAGCGGACAUGUGUAUCAUUAUGAAUGAGCAACCGUCAAUCACCAGUGGGGAACAUUCGUCAUACUUGUGGGCGGGGCUGGGUGCAAAAGUAGGAAGAGUGACAGCUGUGGCUCUCACCUUUGUUCAGCGGCCAUUUCAGCCAUACAGAUGGGCCAUAGCUCAGAGGUCCCGGUUCAAUCCGCAACGGUAUCUCCAGGUAGGCUUGGCAAAGAAUGUUGCCUGAACUCCUGGAACUUUCACUGCCAAUCAGGGUAGACCAGGGCUUCCCCAACUCCAACUGAUUUGGAACUACAGCUCCCAUCAUCCCUGAUCACUGGUCCUGCUAGCCAGGGAUGUUGGGAGUGGCAGCCCCAAAACAGCUGGAGACAGUGGCUUAGCGUGGGUUGCCAGCACCCGGAGCAAGGCAAGGAUCCUCAGUGCUGCCUGCCGAUAGGGUGGAAGGGAGGGGCGAUAGCUCAGCGACUGACCUGAGUGGCAGCCGAGGUGCCCCAUGAGCUUUGAGCAUGGAGGAGAGUGGGAUGGGAGAUUGCUCAGAGUGAUUACCUUUCCAAAGUCUGUGCAGAGGGUGCCCUAGAAAAGCGGCCGUCACUCAAAUUCAUUCCUCCAUCUGCCCACGCGAUCGUCAGGAGAUUUUCUCUGUGAGGGGGAGGAUGUGCUAUUUUUUAUUCCUACUUUUUUGUCUUUUGAAAUUUUGUACCCCUAAGAAUUUUGUGCCCAGGGGAGCCUCCCCCCCAUGCUAUGCCAUUGGCUGGAGACCCAAGUAUGAGAAACUCUAGGCAAUAUGAGCUCAGUGAGCCGACGGUCUGACUCUGUAAAACACAGUUUCCUAUGCGCAUGUAAAGGCCAGAGGUUUCUACACAUCCAGGAAUCCAAGAGGCAUACUUCAGUCCAAUGGGGUGGGGUGGGGGGCUGCCUGGGAAGAAGGGGUGUGGUUUAGUUUAGGGAGAGUCCAGUAGAGAGACCUGCAUGGUCCACACCCUGUUAUCACAUCAUGGUAUUUACCACACCAUUGUUUUUUAGAUGCCAGCAACAGAGAAAUGCCACGAUCGAGCUGGUUUUUAGAGGUCUCCGCGGUUUAGCUUGCUGAUGACUGUGUUUCUUGUCUAUGCCGUUUGGUAUCAUAACCUGGCCUGCAAUCUGAGGGUGGAAAUAGGUGUGCAUAAUAAAAAUAAAUCGAUAAAUAAUCUGACUGCAGUACUAAACAAUACUAGAAGCUGUUGGAGACGCCAAACCUCCAAGGGACUCGGCUACUGAAAAGACACUCCUUUUGGUCUGGGGUUUGUGUGUGUGGAGUUGUGGACCAAGUCAAGGGGUGUGGGGACAUGAUUUUUUUUUGGGGGGGGGGAGGACGGUGGCUGUGGAAAAGGGUUUACAGCUCGUCUUCUCGCUCUCCCACCCUUCCCAAUCUCUCAUCGCUUCUGCGCUUGACAUUUAAAGAAAAGCUUUGAGGCUUCUUAAACGUGUUCUUGUGUGAUAACUAUAGUGAGAAACGAUGGCAUUAAACCCUUGUUUCUUUCUGACCUUUCAUGGGUUUUUUUUAAGGGAGCCUGGGCGGUUUGCUGAUGUCUGCCACAUGAAACACACCCAGGGCUACUUCAGACUGAUUUGUUCAGUAUUUAUCCUGAUUUGCUUACUUUGUUGUCAGACUAUUAGCUGAUGUCCAGACUUUAUUGACCAUUCAUUCCACAAAAACAUAAGAAGGGGCUGCUGCUGGCUGAGGUCAACCACCCAGCUAGUCCAUCAUCCUGUUCUUACAGUGGCCAACCAGAUGCCCGUUGUGGGAAACCUGCAAUCAGGAUCUGAGCGCAGGUGCCCUCUCCCUUCCUGUGGUUUCCAGCAACUGUGACCCAUAAGCUUUGCUGACCCCAACUGUGGAGGCAGCCCAAAGCCAUCCUGGCUAGUAGCCUUCGACAGCCCUCUCCUUCUCUAUGAAUUUGUCUGAUCCUCUUUUAGAACCAUCCAUGUUGGUGGCCAUCACCCUCCAGUGGCAGGGAGUUCCAUAGGUUAACUGUCUGCUGAGUGAAGUCUUGUCGGUCUUUUGAGGUGCAAUGAUGCCAUGCAGCUGCCCCUUUCUUCAGAACCACCCUUGGAUAGCCUGUGACUGAAGAAGCCAACAUGGCGCCCUCCGGAUCUUAUAGGACUGCAAGUCCCAUCAUCCUUGACCCUGCUGCCUGGGGCUGAUGGGAGUUGGAGUCAUUCAGUGUCUUUUUUAUAAAAAAUGCUUUUUAUUGGUGUUUCAUUUAAUACAAACAAACAAAAUACAGUAAAAUUCAACAGUCAUUUACCCACACUGCUGAGCAUUGGCUUCCCUCCCUCCCUUCAACAGGUUUUCUUAUGUCAGUUACUUUUCCACAGUUUCUUAUUGUAUCCAAUCCUAUCGACAUUUUCAGAUUUAUUUCAGUCCUGCCAGAGUCUUCAAAUUUCUACAGUUAUUAUUUAUGUAUUCCAUAAAUUUACUCCAAUCUUUUUGGAAUUUUGUUUCCUCCUGAUUUCGGAUUCUACAGGUCAGUUUUGCUAGUUCUGCAUAAUCAACCAUCUUCGUCUGUCAGCCCUCUAUUGUUGGUAAUUCUGGUGCUGUCCAUUUUUGGGCUAACAAAGUUCUGGCAGCAGUCGUAGCAUACAUAAAUAACCUUUGAUCUGCCUUUUCUAUUUCCUGUCCCAUCAAGCCUAGCAAGAAAGCUUUUUCGGGAAAGUGUAUUUAAAUAUCUUUUUCAAUUCGUUAUAAAUCUGUUCCCAAAGUCCUUCAGUGUCUUGAGGGCCCCAUGCCAGCUACCCUGUGGGGUGGAGGUGGGUGCUUAUCAUUGGGGCAUCUGGUUGGCCCCUGUGAGAGCAGGAUUCUGACCUAGAUGGGCCAUUGGGCUGAUCCAGCAGGCUCCACUCAUGUUCAUGAUGCCUGUGGGAAUGUUCAGGGAGGCAGGAGAGGAUAUAUUGUUUAAUUAUAUCCUUCCCAACUUGUGUUAACAAGUUCUACAAUUUAGCAGAGUAACAUUCCCCUUUUAAACUCGUACCAGCGAAUAACGUCUUUGCCAGGCUUGUAUAAGCCUCUAAAAUAAAUUUCCCGGUCAAUUCCCCUUUAUUCCCUCAUAAAAGAUUAGACAUGACACAGUCUUGUAUAAAAGUAUAAAAGAGUUUACUCACACACAUUCUGUUCACAGAUGGAUCCCAGAAGGCAGACUUAAGUUACAAAGUAUAUACACCUGGAAUCUAUCUCAUGAGGAGAUAGUUCCUUUGUCCUCUCAGGGUAAGAAGAUGUUGCUUCUUCGAACAAUGGAGUCAGAGAGAGAGAUGGCAGCCUCCCUUGUGCUAUUUUGUUACCUGUACAGGUGAGGUCAUGCCCACCUCUGGUCACAUGUAGAGGAGGUCUGUCCCAGCCCAGGAGGAAACAGGAAGUUCUGACUGGCUGGUCCAGACAUCCCCUUUUUAUGUCCACUCUAGGAAUGUUCUAUUUGACUGCUUUGUGUUUCACAUCCCACACUGCCAAGGACCGGAGUCGGCCUUCCUUAGAGGUGCGAAGUGUGAUCCUCAGAUGCACAUUGUGUGAGGGUGGGGUGGAAGUGCAAGCAGUAUGGUCAGGGCAGAAGCAAAUGAAAUGCAAAAUUUGCAGACGCUGAGUGUCUGAGCGUGAGGAUCUUUCACUUCCUGUUUCCCUGCUUCUCUGCAACACUCAUUGCAGAAUUUCUUCAUUUCCCCUGCCAGGAAGAGGCAGAAGCUUCCUGCGACAGGAGAAAUUAGAGUUCCCCACUGAAUCUUGCAGAGACGCCUGCGAGCUGCUUGUUCUUUGCUCUUGAAAAUAAGCAGCAGGGCCUAGGAGUUAGCACAGGACCUUCCCCAACCUGGUGCCCUCUGGGUGAGUUGGACUGCAACUCAGAGAAGUCCCAGUUAGCACAGGCCAGAGAGAUGCUUUGGACUACAACUCCCAUCAGCAUGCUGGCUGGGGCUGAUGGGAGUUGUAGUCCAAAAGAUCCUGAGGGCAACAGCUUGGGAAAGGCUGAAUGAGCACCUUGCAUGUGUUCUGGGGUGACUAGUGACCAAACUUCCAGUGGAAAUGCCACUCUUAACAUCUCUCCUGCCCAACUGCUGAUGUCCUUAUUCUUCAACAUUUCGCGAGGAUUUUGCUGUGACCUCCAGUCUCUUAGAAAAAUAACUUCCUAGUCCUCAUGAAUAUGGAGAAAACCCUGUUUUAUCGCAAGAGAAUCAAGGUCCCCAGGGUUCAUUUGUGUUUUCGGGACUUCUCAUGUAUAGUGCCUUGUAAUCCUUACAGCAACGGGGGGGGGGGGGGUAGGUCAGUAAGAUGAUCUCCCCAUAUUUCAGAGUUGCCAAAGCUUGAAACGAAAAGGGCUUUCUGAUGGCCAUUCAGGGAGUCCAUGGCAGAGGAGACAUUUGAACUGUGGACCUCCUGGUUUGUCGUUUAACCUGUUCCCCGUUCUUCCCUUCUGCACCAGCUCUGCAAGGUUCUAAAUCUCCAGCUCAUUAAAAUAUCCCAACAAAAAUGAUUUUAGAAUGAUAAAUAUCCACCGCAACCUGUCUCCUGCAAAGAAAUUGAUCCAGCAACACAAAAGGAUGACCAGUCUCUAGAGGCCUCCAGUCUCUACAAUGGGGGAACCAGCAUGGUUAAUUCCAGAUAUCCUUGGAUCCCUGCCGUACAGCUGGAGGGAAAUGUUUUCGGCCUGGGGCCGUAUUAUCUCAUGGGCUAUCUUCUAGGGGGCAUGUGCCAGUCAGGGCCAGAGGCGAAAGUGGGUACAGCAGUACCAGAGCCUACAUUGGCUCCCAGGAUGUUUCCAAGCACAAUUCAAAGUGUUGGUGCUGACCUUGAAAGCCCUAAACGGCCUUGGCCCAAUAUACCUGAAGGAGCGUCUCCACCCCGAUCAUUCUGCCCAGACACUGAGGUCCAGCUCUGAGGGUCUUCUGGUGGUUCCCUCACUGCAAGAAGUGAGGUUACAGGAAACCAGGCAGAGGGCCUUCUCGGUGGUGGCACCCGCCCUGUGGAACACCCUCCCACCAGAUGUCAAGGAAAGAAACAACUAUCUGACUUUUAGAAGACAUCUGGAGGCAGCCCUAUUUAGGGAAGUUUUUAAUGUUUGAUGCUUUAUCGUGCUUUUAAUAUUCUGUUAGGAGCCUCCCAGAGUGGCUGGGGAAACUCAGCCAGAUGUGGGCGGGGUAUAAAUAAAUACAUUAAUAAUAAUAAUAAUAAUAAUAAUAAUAAUAAUUUUGCCUUUUGUACAAUACAGUGCAUUCACAAGCAUGCAAAGGUCAGAGGUCUCCCCACUACAGACUCCUCUCCCCACACAGGCAGGCAAGAGGCAGCAAUGCCGUCCAAGGAUGUAAUCUGCCAAGCCAGAGCAAUCCGGGGGGGGGGGGGAGGGAUGGAGGGGGGGGCCUGGGAGAGGGGGCAUGGCCAGAAUCCAAAGGGCCGCAUAGACAGGUCUAGAGGUCCACAUUUGCCUCCCAGGUGUUAUUCUGACUUCACCCCUGGAAGUGCACUCCAUUGUCCCAUUAAGUCGAUGUCUCUUAUCGACCUGGGUAGCUCAGUUGCUUACAGCGGGGUGCUGAUAACAUGAAGGUUUACAGGUUUGAUCCCCAUAUGGGACAGCUGCAUAUUCCUGCAUUGCAGGGGGUUGGACUAGAUGACCCUCAGGGUCCCAUCCAACUGUAUUCCAGGACAGAAGUAUGCCAACAAGAACCUUAGGGAGAGCAGACUGGGUUUUAAGGAAAGGGUCUUAGAAGCACCGCAACGCUUUUAUUAUCUGCCUUUUAAUAGAUUUGUUGUUAAUAUUGUUUCAAUUCUAUUCGAAUUUAAUCACCUUUGUAAUGAACUUCCCUGUUUUUAGCUUUUUGUAUUUUCCCUGCAUCGUUUUAAUGUCUUUAAGCUGCCUUGGGUCUGGGAGUAUAAGUCAGGAUAUAAACAAAGGUAACAGAAACACUCAUUGCCCUGGACCGCUGGCCAUGCUGGCUGGCAGAGAUGGGAACCACAUUUGAGGUUGCUACCUCUGGCUAUCCCCAACAACUGGAGCAUAUCCUGGAAGCCAUCCAGGGGUUAGGAUGGAUCUGGUUUUGGGAGUCAUUUCCCACCUACUUUGGGGCCUUAAUUUAGGAGACCGCCAGUCGAAAACUCAGCGGAAAGUCAUGCUUUAAUGGGACGGAUCUCUCUCUCUCUCUCUCUCUCUCUCUCUCUCUCUCUCUCUCUCCCUUCCCCUUCUCCUCCUUUUCUCAGCAGCCCAUGACUUUAGUCCCUUCAGCCACUGGCUAGAAGCUAGAUCUCUCGGCUUGCAGCUCAAUGCAAUUAUCCACUGUCAGUGACACUCUGAUAAAUCACACCCUAAUUGAUAUGUGUUAGCAGCCUGCCUAAAUGGGAAAUAAUCUGAUUGUGAGUCCCUGCUGCUGCUGCUGCUGCAGUUUCUUUUUUAUUUCCAAGCCAGGGGAGCACAGAAAGAGCGAGAGCAUGUCAAAAGGACAAAGGGAAGGACCAACUGACCACCACCUUCUCUUUUUGUUCUAGAGCAGUGAUGGCCAAACUGGCCCUCCAGCUGUUUUGGGACUACCGUUCCCAUCACCCCUGCCCCCUGGUCCUGUUAGCUAGGGAUGAUGGGGGUUGUAGUCCCAAAACAGCUGGAGGGCCGAGUUUGGCCAUCACUGUUCUAGAGGUUAGCUGUAAGCCACACCCACCUAGAAGGGGCAGAGAUGUAAAUCGCUCUGAGCGGCAGCCAGUUUUGCUGUAUCUGAAACUUCCAAAGGUUUAGCAGAUUCUGAACGGCUGCCUUUCCCAAACAAGACGUUCCUUUCAUUUCACUUUUAGGGAAGUUUCUAAAUGUUUGAUGUUUUAUUGUGUUUUUAAUACUCUUGUUGGGAGCCGCCCAGAGUGGCUGGGGAAACCGAGCCAGAUGGGCAGAGUAUGUAUGCAUGCAUGUAUGUAUAAAUAAAUAAAUUAUUAUUAUUAGAAUUUAUAUGCCGCCUUCCUAUAUGGAGAGCCAGUGUGGUGUAGUGGUUAGGAGCGGUAGACUUGUAAUCUGGUGAACCGGGUUCGCGUCUCCGCUCCUCUACCUGCAGCUGCUGGGUGACCUUGGGCCAGUCACACUUCUUUGAAGUCUCUCAGCCCCACUCACCUCACAGAGUGUUUGUUGUGGGGGAGGAAGGGAAAGGAGAUUGUGAGCAGCUUUGAGACUCCUUCGGGUAGUGAUAAAGCGGGAUAUCAAAUCCAAACUCUUCUAUAUUACUAUGCACAAGGCAGCUUACAAAGCUGAAGAAACAACAAAAUAGACAGCAAAAGUCACACUCCUCAUAACAAUCUGACCCAAUACAAAAAGCCACAUUAACUUUAAAAUAAACAACUUAAUCCAUCAGAAUGUAAUAGUAAACAGUAAAAUCAAACAUCAGCAAAUAAAAUUUAAGCAGUUUACAGUGGUACCUCGGGUUAAGAACUUAAUUCAUUCUGAAGGUCCAUUCUUAACCUGAAACUGUUCUUAACCUGAGGUACCACUUUAGCUAAUGGGGCCUCCCCCUGCUGCCGCACUGCCAGCAUGCAAUUUCUGUUCUCAUCCUGAAGCAAAGUUCUUAACCAGAGGUACUACAUCUGGGUUAGCGGAGUCUGUAACCCAAAGCGCCUGUAACCUGAAGCGUCUGUAACCCGAGGUACCACUGUACACUUAUUCUUUGCUAUAAAUAAUUACUAAAGUAUGAUCAAUAAAAACAAUAGCCUGUCGCAGUGCACAAAAUACCACAAAACAUCCAAAACCAUGUGAAAGGAUCAAAUUGGGAAACAAGGGCACACAACUUAUAAAAAUAUUUUUUUAAAAUAUCCCUGAACAGCUUCUGCUGUUUUCAAAGCUGUGGUCUGGGAAAGACUCCUGAGGCUGGAGGGUGGAGCAAGGCAGGUGGGAAAAGCUAUUGCCUGAUGGACAGCAGAAAGUCGACCUCCCCCCUCAUGUUUUGCACUAUAUUUCCCAUCAUCCCUGUUCCAGUGUGGCCAUACUCCCAGGGGCAGAUAAAUGGGAGUUAUAGUUCAAGAUAAUUGGAGGGCACCAGGUCAAGGAAGGGUGGUCUGCAGUGACUUCCUAAAUACAGCUAGUUUCCAAACAUGGAUUUGGCGAUUUAUUGACAUUGGUAACCCCACAGGAAAUGGGGUUAAGAGUUAAAGUCUUAAGAACAUAUAAGUGCCCUGUUGGAUCAGGCCCAUCUAAUCCAAUGGUUUAAUCCUUCCAAUAGACUAAAAGCAGAUUAAAGUUUGCAUCAGCUUUCUGUACAUCUGGGUAAAAUGUUUUCAGCAGGUGCCGAAAGCAGUGAAGGCUCCUGUCUGGCGUUCAAGUGGCAGGGAGUUCCAAAGUGCAGGUGCUGCCUAGUGGAAUGAAACGUCACGUUUUCACAAAUGUGGAACAAAAUGCGGCUGAUGGGCCAGUUUUGCCCAUUGAAGGGUUCGAGUGGGUAAGUCAGUUUCAUGGGUAAACUGGUCUCAAACUGCUAAAGGCUUUGCACAUUCAUAACAACACCCUGAAAUUGUCCUGGCAGCGAAUCGGCAAGCAGUGCGGAUUUCUGAGCCCAGGUGUUAUUUGCUGGCAAGGGCUCACACCUGUUCAGCAAUUGGACUGCAGCAUUCUGCAUGAACUGCAGCUUCUGGAUCAGCUGCAAGGAGAGGAAAGGGAAGAGGUAGGGGAAGGAAGGAAGGAAGGAAGGAAGGAAGGAAGGAAGGAAGGAAGGAAGAUGCAUAGAGGUUCCUGCUGCCGACCACUUGGCAAACCAUUCCAUCUAUAUCAUCUCUUCCAGGACGGAGGAGGACCUUACCCGCUUCUUGGCUUGUUCCCCAGAUUUCUGCUCAUAUCCUCCUUGGCACCUUCACUCCAGCUGUCCAUGUAAACAGCCUCCACUGAGUGUGCUGCCUCUGAGGGCGAUGUAGGGUGACAGCAACGCUCUGUCUUUGGCGAGCAAACUGGACGCUUGCCAGCCCUGCCAUGCGAUGUUGCAGUCAUUAAGGGAUGAGCGUGCCUCUGCCAGUGCUGGCAAGAGUGCUGCUCACAGGUCUGGUUCGGAAAUGGGUGGCACAGGAGAGGGCAACUCCGAAAGGGCAUUCCCUUGGGCUUCCCCAUGUCUGUGCCUGAUUCCCUGACAUUGCCGGGUUAGAACAGUGGUCAGCAAACUGGUGUCUCCAGCGCCGAUCGCGCGGCAGGCCGGAGGGCGGGGGGAGUGUGUGCCCAUACACGUGCACACACGCUAUUUCCGGCGCACUUCCGGGUCGGAGGAACACCGGAAAUAGCUUGUGCGCAUGUGCACGGGCCUCCUCCGACCCGGAUGUGCACUGGAAAUAAUGCUUGCACAUGAGCAAAUAACGCUUGCGCAUGCGCACAAGCUGUUUCCGGUGCUCCUCCGACCCUGAAGUGGGCAGUCACACAGCGCAGCCCGGUAAGAGCGGGCAGUGGCAGCGGGCAGCAGGGGUCACCGCGGGCCGGAUAAACGAGUCCCUCGGGCCUCAUCUGGCCCGCGGGCCUUAGUUUGGGGACCCCUGGAUUAGAAUCACGGAAUCGUAGAAUAGCAAGGUUGGAAGGGAUCCCCACGGGUCCAAACAUUUGCAAUACAAGAAUGACGGGGUUAAUGGGGGAGUUCCCCCACAAAUGACUUUUGUUUUACCUGUCCUGGCCACCUAGUGAAACCCACAGCUGUGUCAGGGAUGUGACAAUGGAGAAGUAAAAGAUUUGGAUCAUCAAAAAAGAUGUGGGAGGAAAUGAUUAAGUUAGGACCCACAAAGCAGAGGGUGGAAGUCCAGGAGGAUGCUUUGCUUUUUGGCAGACCUGUGUCUUUUGCUGAAUUUAUACCAUUCUGUUUUGGUUGGUGAAUUAUACUCGGAGUCGAGUGUGAAUUUCAUGCUCUUUAUUCAGCUUGUAGUAGAAAAGAAUCAAACUUUCCCCAAAAAAUCUAGCUAUAUAUACAUUAUUUACACAAUGGGCCCCACGUGAUUGGCUAAUUCCGGUCUGCUCCUGUAGGCCAAUCAGGUCACUGAUUCACUUCCACCUGGAGCUGGAUUGGGUGGCUCCUGCGGACCAAUCGGACUGCUGCAUUCUGGAUCCUAUUGUUCUAGGAUUCAGCUCAGUACAUAACAGUUGGAACAGUUUUCCUGCUGGACAGUGGAACGGUCUCCCUCAGGAGGAGGCGGACUCUCCUUCCUCGGAGGUUUUUAAGGAGAGGUUGGGGAGCCAUCUGUCAUGGAUGCUUUAGCUGAGUUUUCUGCAUUGAAGGGGAUUGGAGGAGAUUAUCCUCAGGUCCCUCCCAACUCUACAAUUCUGUGAUCCUUAUAUCACAUAUUGGUAUCCCACUCUGGGGACAUUAUGGCAAAGGUCAGAUAAGAGAUCUUGCCAAUGAGUGAAUAAACAAACCUCCAACCGCUGCAUCAUUCUUUUUUUAUAUAUAUAAUUAAUUUUUAUUCAAUUUCCAAUAUACAUUCCAUCCAUGUUUAACAUCCACUUCUAACAUAUACAUCUUUUAGACUUCCCUCAGCCUAUCUGACAAUUUUCCAUAUUAUCACAAUUACUCACAUUUCUUAAAUUUAUAUUGCGCUUUAACAAUCUUAAUCUUAUCAUAUCUUUUAAGCAACAUUUCUAUCAAUCGUUUUCACAGAGCUUCUUGAAAGCCAACAAGCGUUAAUUGCUCCUCACAUACAUUUUUUAUAUACUCUGUAAAUUUAUUCCAGUCCUCGGUGAAUCUCUGAUCGCGUUGGUUUCAGAAUUUUCCCCGUUAAUUUGUCCAUUUCUGCAUAUUCCAUCAAUUUCAUUCUCCAUUCUUCCCUCGUCGGCAUUUCUUCCUGUUUCAAUUUCUGGGCCAUCAAAAUUCUAGCUGCUGUCACUACAUACCUAAAUAACUUCACAUCCUUCUUUUUAAUUUCAUUCCCUAAUAUUCCUAAUAAAAAUGCUUCUGGUUUCUUAACAAAAGUAUAUUUCAACAUUUUCUUCAUCUCAUUAUAAAUCAUUUCCCAGAAACCUUUCACUUUCUUACACUCCCACCACAUGUGAUAAAAUGUUCCUUCUUUUUCCUGACAUUUCCAACAUUUAUUACUGACUUUAUACAUCUUACCAAGUUUCACUGGUGUUACAUACCAUCUAUAUAUCAUUUUCAUAACAUUUUCUUUUAUUGUAGUACAUGCAGUGAAUUUCAUUCCUUCUUUCCACAAUUUUAUCCACUCAUCAAAUUGUAUAUUAUAACCAAAAUCUUUGGCCCACUGAAUCAUAACUGAUUUUACUUCUUCGUCCUUUGUAUGCCACUCAAGUAAUAAUUUAUACAUUUUUGAUAAAAUUUUAACAUCACUAUUCAAGAUUUCUUGAUGAAACCUAGAUUUCUUUUCCUGAAAACCUCUUUCUGACAUCUCUUUUUUGAACAUUGCAUUCAACUGAAAAUAGUGCAACCAAUCAUUCACAUUUUCUUUGACUUCUUCAUAUGGUUUCAAUUUCCAUUUAUUACCUUCUUUGAUUAUCAAAUUCUCAUAUGUAAUCCAUCUCCCUGUCAUAUUGAUCUUUUUCACACUCAUUAUCUCCAGUGGUGAUAACCAAUAUGGAGUUUUAAACUCUAAUAAAUUUUUAUACCUAUUCCAGACUUCAAUCAACGAUCCUCUAAAGAUGUGGUUUUCAAAACCUUUAUGCACUCUAUUCUUUUCACACCAUAAAUACGCGUGCCAACCGAAUCUAUUAUCAUAACCUUCUAAAUCCAACAAUUCUGUGUUUUCUAACUUUAUCCAUUCUUUCACCCAGCAAAGACACGAAGCUUCAUAAUAUAACUUUAAAUCUGGCAGGGCAAAGCCUCCUCUAUCUUUUGCAUCUGUUAAUAUCUUAAAUUUUAUUCUUGGUUUCUUGCCCUGCCAGAUAUAUCUUGACGUUAUUCUUUGCCAUUCUUUGAAUAUUGUCACACCUUUAAUUAUUGGAAUUGUUUGAAACAAAAACAACAUUUUCGGUAGCACGCUCAUCUUUAUCGUUGCAAUUCUUCCCCAUAAUGAUAGUUUCAUUCUUCCCCACACCUCUAGGUCCCGAUUAAUUUUAUUCCAUAUUGGUACAUAGUUGUUUUGAAACAGGUCAAUACUCCUGGGAGUUAACGUAAUCCCUAAAUACUUAACUUUCUUAACCACAUUCAUCUCUGUUUGUUGCUGUAUUUUUUUCUAUUGUCUCUUGAUCCAUAUUCUUAGCAAUUAUUUUAGUUUUUUUCCUAUUUAACUUAAAGCCGGACACCUGACCAAAAUGUUCUAUCUCUUCUAACACCUCUUUGACACUCUAUAGUUAUAACCAAGUCAUCGGCAAAGGCUUUGACCUUGUAUUCAUUACAACCAAGUGUCACACCUUUUAUUUUUUCAUUAUUUCUUAGUGUUCUUAGGAAGACCUCUAGGACCGAAAUGAAUAAUAACGGACAUAAAGGACACCCUUGUCUUGUACCCUUAGUUAUGGCAAUAUUUUCUGUUAUUUUCUGUUAUAACAUUGUUAACAAUUAAUUUUGCUCUCUGCUCCGAAUAUAUUGCCUUUAUACCACUCAGGAAAGAUUGACCCAUAUCCAUAUAUUUCAAAUUCUUCAACAUAAAUUCCCAAGAGAUAUUAUCAAAGGCCUUCUCAGCGUCCACAAAUAUCAACAUCGCUUGUUUAUCUUUCCUGUUUGACAGAUACUCUAUUAUGUUAAUUAUAUUUCUUAUGUUAUCUUUCAUCUGCCUACCAGGAAGGAAACCUGUUUGAUCUUUAUGAAUCAUUUCCUUUAAUACCUUUUUCAUCCUAUUUGCUAGAAUAUUUGCAAACAUUUUAUAGUCGUUAUUCAAUAAUGAAAUUGGCCUGUAAUUUUUAACCUGCGUUAAAUCAGAGUCUUGUUUGGGAAUAAACGUUAUAUAUGCUUCUUUCCAGGUCUCAGGUAUUUCUCCUUCUUUCAAUAUGUUAUUCAUUACUUCUUUCAAUGGUACAAGUAGAGUGUGUUUCAUUUCUUUAUAGUAUCUUGCGCUGAAUCCAUCCGGUCCCGGCGACUUCCCACUCUUCAAAUCCUUUAUUGCCAUUUGAAUUUCUUCUAAUUCUAUUGGUUCAUUCAAUUUAAUUUUAUUACUCUUUGAUAUUUUUUGCACCUUUUUCUUCAUUAAAUACUCCUCCAUUGUCUUUAUGUUGAGUUCUCUUUUCUUUUAUAUAGAUCUCGGUAAAAGUCCACAAAACCUUUCCUUAUUCCUUUCGGAUUCUCAGUCUCUUGAUCUUCUAUUUUGAUUUUAUUAAUUGUGUUCUGUUCUUUCCUUUUUUUAAUUUGCCACGCUAACCAUUUCCCUGAUUUAUUUGCAAAUUCAAAAUUCUUUUGUUUCAUUCUUCUUAUAUUCCAUUCUACUUCUUUAUUGAUUAUCAUCGCAAAUUGCGUCUGGAGCAUUUUUAUACUUGGCUUGACCUUUUCAUCCUUGGGUCUUAUAGUUAAUUUUUUUUCAUUCUCCAUUAUUUGUCUUAAAAUUUCUUUUUUCCCUUUUUCUCUCAUUCUAUUUUUUAUUGCAUUUUGUUGAAUGAAGAAUCCUCUCAUAACAGUUUUGCUCGCAUCCCAAACCGUACUCAUCUUUGUUCCUUUGUUAACAUUAUUUACAAAAUAGUCCAUUAAACAUUUCUGAGCUCUGUCCACAAUCUUCUGAUCAUCUAAAAGACUUUCAUUUAAUCUCCACCGAAAAGAUUUUUCUUCAUUUCCUCUUAAAAUAGCUUUAACCGCAUUGUGGUCUGAUAGAACUUUAGGCUGAAUCUCAGUCUUUAUUAUUCUUGUGGUUAUUUCACUAGAAACCCAUAUCUGAUCAAUUGCCAUCUGAUCCGCUGCAUCAUUCUUGACUACUGGCUCAUGAUUAUCAACUGGUCCUCAUAGAUUGGUGCGGAAUCGAUGGACUGUCUCCUCCUUGUGGGCUUAGAUGAGCUCCUCUUGCCCCAUACAACUUCUUCUCUUCUUCUUAGGUGAUCUCUCAUAGCCGAAUAAGAUUGUCUUCCAUGAACACGGUCUUAACAGUAAGUCUGUAAGUGACUGUGGAGGCCAAUUCUGGAUCCACAUGUCCUUCCACAGUGGGGACAUUGGUUUCUGGGCAGGAGUUGAUCAUGGUGAGGGUUUGCCAAGUGUGUCUUCCUCCUAGCGUGUUUCUCCCUUUUGUCCUGAGCGGGUGUCUUCAAAACCCAUGACACCUUUCUUAAAGGCUGUUCUCCACCCAUAUGUGCAAACCUCCAGGGCUCAAAGUGAAUCCUCUGCAGGUUUGAGCUGCACUUGUGAACGGUCCGCCAAACCCAUGAUGGAUGCAAAGGGGAGGAGACCCUUUGGGUCCCUCCCAUCUCUACAGUUGUGACCUGAUCUGCAGGCAGCCCCUCUUCAGUGAAACGGCGUCCUACUGCGGCAUGACUAACUGAAAUGUGAGCCGUCUCCUUCUGCACAUGAUUGUUACAAAUGCGCUUCCUUAGCAGAUCUAAUGAUCGUGGUGAAUUGCCGCCUGCCUCGGUAAUUAGCCCUUCUGCCAAUAUGGUGCCUAGCAAGGAGGAGGAGGUUUUUCUUGUUAAGGGAUGGUGAGGAUGGUCCUAGCAGCAGAUCAUAGAAUUGAAAGGGGCCACCAAAGGUCAUCUAGUCCCUGCUAUGCAGAAGUGUGUGAAGAGCAGGCAUGGCAGCAGGACUCCUGGGUUUGAUUUUCAUCCCAGGGAGAGGAGCACAGCUUACAGAGGUGCAGGCAGCUGAGAGGAAAGGCUUCUUGUCCUUGCACACGCACACACAAACACAAAACCUCUAUAGAAAAAACCAUUUUUUUAGCUUGCAAAGUUGAAGCCUGCCUUUCAGCUGUGCAGAUGCCGAAAGCAUCCAUCAUCAUCAUCAUCAUCACUUUUAAUUUGUAUACCAUCUUUCUACCUUACAACACUCAAGGCGGUUUACAAGCUGAAGAAACAAAAAAUGUACAUCUUAUAACAAUCAAUGCAAUACAAAAAUGUGAUAAUAAAACAUAACUUUAAAACAAGCAACUUACAUUAAAAAAUGUAAUAUUCAACAAUCAUUAGAAUAGUAUAGACCAGGGGUCAGCAAACUUUUUCAGCAGGGGUCCAGUCCACUGUCCCUCAGAACUUGUGGGGGGCCGGACUAUAUUUUGAAGGGAAAAAAAGGAAUGAAUUCCUGUGCCCCACAAAUAACCCAGAGAUGCAUUUUAAAUAAAAGGACACAUUCUACUCAUGCAAAAACACACUGAUUCCUGGACCAUCCGUGGGCCGGAUUUAGAAGGCGAUUGGGCCGGAUCCGGGCCCCAGGCCUUAGUUUGCCUACCCAUGGCAUAGACUAUAAUUUCAGGCUGCAGACUUUAAUUUCAGGCUCUUGAAAACAGAGGCGCUCUUCCAGCCUUCGACUCGUAGAAUUGUAGAGCUGAAAGGGGCACACAAGGGCCAUCUAGUCAACCCCCUGCAACGCAGGAAGCACUGCUCAAGAUUCCAGCUCCACAAUUCCCUUCCAGCUCUACAGCUCUGUGACUCGGUUGGGAAUAAUUGCACAAACUGAAUUUUCUGGUUUGCGGUCGCCGAAUCCACCCGCAAGCAGUGAGAAUCUGGGAGCGCUCUGGGGCGACAAGGUUCAUUCAGGAGCCGGAACCAGUUCCUCCCUGCUCCCCUCCCACACCCUUGUUUUGUAUCAGCUGUAUUUGCUGACUGAACAGUAAUCUGUCUCCUGCCAAUUUAAAAGCCAGAGGAUGUUUGUUUUCUGGGUUGAUGAUAUGCUAGAAAAACGUAACUGACCUCCGCAAGGUUUUACAACAGUUUGGAACAGGACUCGGCAGCUGCAAGGUGUAAAACAGCUGUGCGGGUGGCUGCCUGGUUAUCUUAGUGCAGUGGUUCUCAACCUCUGGGUGCCCAGAUGUUUUUGGACUGCAGCUCCCAUCAUCCCUGAGCUCUGGCCUUGCUAGCUAGGGGUGAUGGGAGUUGUAGUCCAACAACAUCUGGGGACCCACAGGUUUGAGAAAGGCUGUCUUAGUGCAUCUGCACUUGACUUAGGAACCAAAUCAAAUCAAAUAUCUUUAAUACGGUCAAUGACCAGGAAGCAAUUCAUAAAAUAUGACAUUAAAAGUAGUAUUGUGCUACAAGUAGCAGUAAAAAUAUGGCCAGUUCACAGAAUUGGUGCUUAUAUUUAUGACCAGGUUGCGAGUUUUAAGUUUUUAAAAUUCAAUUCAGGAGUCGCUACUGUUUAUUAUCGUUCCUUCGGUGUUUACAGUUUGAACUCCUUUGUAGACAUCAUUGCUCGUCUUAUUCUUGUUGCAAUGUAACAGUACUUUGCCACGGACCUGUUAAUUUCGGGCUCUUUGUCAGCUAAGAGGUGUCUGAUAUAGGUGUCGUCUGUACUACGAGGUAUUUUCCUCAGAAUCGGUUCGAUCAGCUCUUUUCUUGAGUCUCGAUAUAAUGGGCAGUAUAAGAUGACAUGCCCAAUGGUUUCGAUUUCAUUGCUGUUACAGGGACAUAAUCUUUGUUCGAUCGGUAUUUUAUUGUAUCUUCCCUCUAGAAGAGCUGAAGGGAGAGCGUUAAAGCGGGCCCUGGAAAAUGCCCAUCGGUGUUUAGCGUUGUCUAGAACUUUGAGAUAGUUUGCUAGAUGGGGCCUUUGAGUAUUGUAUAGAAGUUUAUAAGUUAUCGGAAGUUGGUUAAAGUCAUUUUGGGUUUCAAUGUCCCUGAGUCUUUCUUUGAUUAUGUUCUUGGCCCUUCCCCUUUCUAAACUUAAUAAAUACUCUGGAGAGAGACCAUAUGUCUUGGCUUAGGAACUUAAAUCCACAAAAGCUAUGAAGAUGGAUCGGGCCGAAGGAGGUCCAUCUAGUCCAGCAUCCUGUUCUCACAGUGGCCAGCCAGAUACCCCCCGAAAGGAAGCUAAAAGUUGGAAGGUUCCGGGCAGAGAAAACAAGUCCUUCUUCAUGCAGCAUGUAGUUAAACUGCGGAACUCCCUCCCACAGGAAGCUGGGAUGGCCAUGACCCUGGAUGGCUUUGAGAGAGGAUUAGACAACAUUAUGGAGGAGGAGAGGGCUAUCUUGCCACCAGCCAUGGUGAACACACUGACUCCACAGCUGGAGGCAGAGAUGCUUCUGAAUACCAGCUUCUGGAAGCUGCAGGAAGGAGAGUUGCUCUUGUGCUCAGAUCCUGCUUGUGGGUUUCCUGUGCGCAUUUGUUCCUCCAUCACUGUGAGUACAGGAGGCUGGACCAGGUGGACCUUUGACCUGAUUCAGCAGGUUUCUGGAAUCAUAGAGUUGAAGAGUUGGAAAGGGACCGCAAGGGUCCUCUAACCCCCUGAAAUGUACGAAUCUCAACAAAUGCCAGCCAGAUUUUAAGUCAUGACUCUCCAGGUCCAGAAUGUGUGCAUUAUCCAAUGUAAUCCAUUCUCUUAACCAGCACAAGCAGGCUGCCUCAUAAUACAUUUGCAGGUCAGGCAGGGCGAAGCCUCCUUUUCCAUUUAUGUCUAUCACAAUUUUAUGUUUAAUUCUUGGCUUUCCCCCCUGCCAGAUGAAAUAGGAAAUAUCCUCCUUCCAUUUUUUGAAGCAGCCUGAAUUAUUUAUAAUAAUUCAGUAGAUUUUUCUUGGGCAGUAGAUUCAUUUUGGUGGCUGAGAUUUUGCCAAGCAAGGACUGCUUCAUUCUCUCUCCCAGAUCUCCGACUUUUUUUUUAAUCUCUUUUCACAGUUUAACAUAAUUAUUUUCAAAGAAGUUGAGAUUUCUUACUGUGAGCCAGAUUCCCAGAUAUCUAACUUUUAAAAACGUAUUUUCAAACCAAACUGUUUUUCUAACGUAUUUUUUGACACACGGUCCCACAUCCAAUUGAAACCAUAUCAGACCCUCCUUGAAAAUAUCCUAACAUGGUCUUAUGCUACGUACCAGUAUGGCUGAAUACGCUUCCAAGUUGCCUGCUGUAUGUUCAGCAUACAGGGACAGUCCCGGAAUUACGGAAGCCGUCCCGGUUUCUGAUUUGAUCCUGGAAUGUCCCGCUUUUCCUUUCCCCUCCCCUCCGUGUCUCAGAGAACAAUGAAAAGUGUGCGUUUGUAGGUGCAAGACCGGAGUCCUGUUUAUCCUGAACAUAAAAUCCCUGCACCAAAUGGAGGAAAUGGUGACGCUGGCAGAAGAAGUCCUUCCUAUAAUUUUGAAGGGAAACGUCAGCAAUCCACUUUAAAUCCUCUCAUUGAAAUUCUUCCGCAGCCAGCCAUCUCUUAGGAAGUGCAUGGAGUGUUUAUUCCUUUAUUGUAAGUGGAGCCUGACACUGUCUACUGAGAAGUAAGUCCCACUGUAUUCAGUUGAGCUUACUCCCAGGUAACCCAGUAAAGACUGUGUAGCCUUACACUGCAGUCCUAAGCCUUUUUAAAGGUAAAGGUAAAGGGACCCCUGACCAUUAAGUCCAGUCGUGGCCAACUCUGGGGUUGAGGUGCUCAUCUCGCUUUACUGGCCGAGGGAGCCGGCGUGCAGCUUCCGGGUCAUGUGGCCAGCAGGACUAAGCCGCUUCUGGCGAACCAGAGCAGUGCACGGAAACGUCGUUUACCUUCCCGCCAGAGAGGUACCUAUUUAUCUACUUGCACUUUGAUGUGCUUUCGAACUGCUAGGUGGGCAGGAGCUGGGGCAGAACAAUGGGAGCUCACCUCGUCACAGAGAUUCCAACUGCCGACCUUCUGAUCGGCAAGUCCUAGGCUCUGUUUCCGUGCACUGCUCUGGUUCGCUCUGUUUCUGUGCACUGCUCUGGUUCGCCAGAAGCGGCUUAGUCAUGCUGGCCACAUGACCCGGAAAAACUGUCUGCGGACAAACUUCGGUUCCCUUGGCCAGUAAAGUGAGAUGAGCACCGCAGCCCCAGAGUCGGUCACGACUGGACCUAAUGGUCAGGGGCCCCUUUACCUUUACCUUAAAUCCUGCUCUGCUAUGUUCCUCAUCAUUCUCACAGUUUCCAUUAUUAUUAUUAUUAUUAUUAUUAUUAUUAUUAUUACUACCCACCUUUUCCCUGGCAGGCAUGCAAGGCAGCUUACUGCUACAUUUCAUUCCAUUUAUCUGUGGAAGGUGUUGUACACGAUCCUUCUUUCAUACAUUUUUUUUCCUUUACAACAAUCCUGUAAGGUAGGUUUGGUGGAGAGGUUGUCCUUGGCUCAAGGUGACCGAUCUUGAUGUAUACUUGACUUCUAUGUGUGCGGCAAGAUCAAAAGCAGGAGAAGCGAUAAGCGAUGAUCCAUAAUGACUUGGGGGGGAAUGUUUAAAAUUACUUUUCCCCCCAAAACUGAGAGUCCUUUCUGUUGGGGAUAAUUCAGACUGAAAUUCCCAGGUGUCAAAACAGGUUAUUUAUGUAUGCCACCACUGCGGCCCGUGUUUUGUUAGCCCAAAAAUGGAAAACGAGCGAGGUCCCAGGCAAAGAAGAAUGGCAACUUAAGCUGACAGAGUAUGCAAAACUUGCAGACCUAACAUAUAGAAUGAGAGAACAAGAAGAGCGUAAGUUUAGAGAAGAUUGGAAAAUAUAUAGGAAAUAACUGUGUACAGCUGAAAAUGCUGGCAGCGUUAAGAUAAAUUCAGCGGUAUAAAUAAGUUGUGAUGGAUGUAAUAAUGGAAUAUUGAGUGGUAUAGUUUCUGUAAAAUAUGCAGGGAUUUAUGUUAUGUAAAAUGAACCAUGGAAAGAGAAGAAAGGAAGUUGUUGAUAUUCUUUGGAUGCUUAAAUGAAUAUUCUAAAACAGGCAUCCCCAAACUCGGCCCUCCAGAUGUUUUGGGACUACAAUUCCCAUCAUCCCUGACCACUGGUCCUGUUAGCUAGGGAUGAUGGGAAUUGUAGUCCUAAAACAUCGGGAGGGCCGAGUUUGGGGAUGCCUGUUCUCAAAUGUAAGACAGAAAAUUCAAUAAAAAAUUUUUUAUAUACAAACAUGGGAGAAGCUUCCUGGUGCAGAAUAGAAUGCCCCUGUUUUCAUCGGAGAAAUGUUGGAGGGUCUGGAGGCAUGCCUGCCUCUGUGUUCCUUACGUUUUCAAAUCGGAUCAAAGCUGGUCUGGGAGCCAUUGGGGUUUUGGGGUGUGUGUGUGUGUUGUGUAGGUCCUUCCUGAUUUCCUGUGUCAGGCAAAGGCUCCGUAUCUCCCUUUACAGUAUGUGGGGUCACCGCACGCACCCAUUUCUGGGAAGCCAGGAAGAGACCAAGCUUUCCAUGUCAUUGUAUGAAGUCACAGGCUCCUGGCCGCCCUUCCCCUUGCAUUUAUCACCACCAGCCUGAAGAGUCAUGAGAGGAAAUGGUGCGUUGUUGUUGUUUAGUCGUUUAGUCGUGACCCCCUGGACCAGAGCACGCCAGGCACUCCUGUCUUCCACUGCCUCCCGCAGUUUGGUCAAACUCAUGUUCGUAGCUUCGACAACACUGUCCAACUAUCUCGUCCUUUGCUGUCCCCUUCUCCUUGUGCCCUCCAUCUUUCCCAACAUCAGGGUCUUCUCCAGGGAGUCUUCUCUUCUCAUGAGGUGGCCAAAGUCUUGGAGCCUCAGCUUCAGGAUCUGUCCUUCCAGUGAGCACUCAGGGCUGAUUUCCUUCAGAAUGGAUCGGUCUGAUCUUCUUGCUAGCCAGUGUGGUGUAGUGGUUAAGAGCGGUAGUCUCGUAAUCUGGGGAACCGGGUUUGCGUCUCCUCUCCUCCACAUGCAGCUGCUGGGUGACCUUGGGCCAGUCACACUUCUUUGAAGUCUCUCAGCCCCACUCACCUCACAGAGUGUUUGUUGUGGGGGAGGAAAGGAAAGGAGAUUGUUAGCCGCUUUGAGACUCCUUAAAGGGAGUGAAAGGUGGGGUAUCAAGUCCAAACUCCUCUUCUUCUUCUUGCAGUCCAUGGGACUCUCUCAAGAGUCUCUUCCAGCACCAUAAUUCAAAAGCAUCAAUUCUUCAAUGAUCAGCCUUCUUUAUGGUCCAGCUCUCACUUCCAUACAUCACUACUGGGAAAACCAGAGCUUUAACUAGACGGACCUUUGUUGGCAAGGUGAUGUCUCUGCUUUUUAAGAUGCUGCUUAAGGAGAGACAAAUGAGGAACUGGUGGCCGUCUCAACUGGUCACCGCAACCUUGGUCGCUUUGCCGGUUGGGGAUGCCAUGAUCAAACUGGAAGAGCUUAGUUUCCACAAAGCCUCUGCAGUUGCUCAGAAGUCGGGGGCCCAAACUUCAGUGUGUCUCCGUUCCCAAAGUGUGUGUGUGUGGGGGGGUCCCACCCCUGGGGGUACAGUGGCAUCACCUGGGGGGCCCUUAGAGCAGGCAUAGGCAAACUCGGCCCUCCAACUGUUUUGGGAUUACAGUUCCCAUCAUCCCUGACUGCUGGUCCUGUUAGCUAGGGAUGAUGGGAGUUGUAGUCCCAAAACAUCUGGAGGGCAGAGUUUGCCUAUGGCUGCCUUAGAGGCAAGGAGGCAGCGGGGGGAGGCACUGGAAAUGGCUUCCUCCAAGUGCACUGAUCAAUUAUUUUCCAUUCACCAGCCUAGAGCCCAGAGCCAAACAUCUUCCUUAUUUAAACUUUUACUGCUCUUCUUACUUUCAAAGCUGUUGCCUUGCUCAAUGUUGUAUAAAUUAGUUACUGUACAUCUCUGUACAGAUGAAGGUUCGGUAAGUAGUUUUAUAUGAAUGUUUCAAGCUAUAAAUUACGCAAGAAUGCGUAAAAAUAUUUUUCAUGCAAUACUCUUUGCUGCAUAUACCUUUUUUUUUUAAAAAAAACUACAAGAUCAGAUCAGAGCAUAAAUUUAUUUAUCCAAAUUACUUUUUCUGAGAACUUAUACCUACAAAUCGGGUUUUGAAUAAGGGAGCAAUUAAUUAUUGCUGUUUUGAAUUUUAUUAUGUUACUAUAUUCCUGAACGGGUUGUGCGGAUCGCUGUUCUGAGUUAUUUAUUUAUUUCAUGAAAAUUUAUGUGCCACUUGCUUGAUUAUAAAAACAACAGCAACGACACCUCCAAGCGAUUUUUUUGAAAGAUAAAACAAUAAAACUGAGAAGUAGAAAAACCACAACCAUACUUUAAAACAUACAAAAGUUAAAACGCUAAAACAAAUUAAAAUUACUCCGAUAGGGUAGGGGGCAUUGAGGAUAUGUUUAUUGAACCAAGUGUGCAGUUGCCAGAAAAAGUUGGGGAACGUCUAGCAUUGGGGUAAAUGCUGAAAUACAGGAUCUCUUCCAGGCCAGAGGUGGGGGCAGGGCGGGGCGGGACAGGGCGGCAGGACCAGAUUUACCGUAUUUUUCUCUCUAUAGGAUGCACCGGACCAUAGGACGCACCUUGUUUUAGAGGGAGACAACAAGAAAAAAAAUUCUCCCCCUCUCUGCUCAGCGCCCCUUCAGCGAAGCGGCAGGAGAAACGGAGAAGCUUGUGGAGCUGGGGGUGGGGGGAAACGCUGCUUUCCCCCACCGCCAGCCUCAAAGAUCCCUGAAGCCUUUGGAGCGCAGCGGGAACUUGUGCUGCGCUCCGAAGGCUUCAGGCGGCUAUCCCUGAAGCCUGGAUAGUGAGAGGGGUCGGUGCGCACCCUCUGCCCUUCAGAGGCUUCACGUUGCUAUCGCUGAAGCCAAGGAGCCUACAUUCACUCCAUAGGACGCACACACAUUUCCCUUUAAUAUUUGGAGGGGGAAAAGCGUGUCCUAUAGAGAUUUAGGUUUGAUGAGGCCCUAAGCUACUGAAGGUAAUGGGGCCCUUUCUAUGUCCAGCUGUCCUUUGUCAACAACAAAUGGUCACUGUUUUUUCUGUUGAAUAUAUGCUAGAUGGUAAUUUAUGGACCUAGUAGGUAUCUAAAGCAAUUUGCACGUGUUGCCAUGCAACCAGUCCAUGCAGAAUGUAGGCACCCUGUUUAUAGAAAGGAGCAAAGCAGUGAUAUUUUAGGGAGCAGGCUAGCAGGCGGGGCCCAUGACUUAUAUCAUAGGAGCCUACACAACACAAAGCACUGUUGCUGUAUGUAAAGGUAAAGGUAAAGGUAAAGGUAAAGGUAAAGGUAAAGGGACCCCUGACCAUUCGGUCCAGUUGUGACCGACUCUGGGAUUGCGGCGUUCAUCUUGCUUUAUUGGCCGAGGGAGCUGGAGUACAGCUUCCGGGUCAUGUGGCCAGCAUGACUAAGCCGCUUCUGGCGAACCCAGAGCAGCACAGGGAAACGCCGUUUACCUUCCCGCCAGAGCGGUACCUAUUUAUCUACUUGCACUUUGACGUGCUUUCGAACUGCUAGGUUGGCAGGAGCAGGGACCGAGCAACGGGAGCUCACCCUGUGUUGCUGUAUGUCGGUUUUAUCUUAUUUGUUUUUUAUCUUACAUUUUGGAAAUGUACAUCCAGUUUUUUCUCCUUUAAUUUUUUGGGGGGAACUUCGGGUGAGUCAGGCCCUAAGCUACAGCUUAUUUAGCUUAUACGUGAAUCCAGCACUGGGGGUCAGGCAGCAAGGCUUCUGAACACUGGUUGCUGGGGGCGAUAAUUGCUCUUGCCAUUGGCCUCAUCCGGCAGAUUCUUAUGUUCAAUGCAGGAGUGCCAACUUGGCCCUGUGACUGUGGGUGCCCGGGGCCAUAGGUGUCAUGUAGCCCUGGUGCCAAAAUUUGUGGGUGCCUGGCCCCUUCAUGGGGAAUUCUGUGGGCACCCAGGGCCCCAGGGAGCCAGCACCUAUGGUUUAAUGUGUAUGUGCCACUUUGCUAAAAGAGUGAUUUUAUUUUUAUUUUAACAAACGCGGGUGUUAUGUGGCACUUGUUAACAGUGCCAGUAUAUUAGGCCAGUAUAUCUCUGUCCUGAGAUCUUCGGAUGAAGGGGGGGGGGGUGUACAAAUUUAAUAAAGAAAUAUGAAUAAAACGUUAGUUGAAGUUUCAUACCACAAUCUGCAUGUUAGGAGAGACCCAACCCGUUCUGAAUCUCCCAUCCAGCUUCCCACACUUCUUGGUGGAAAGCAAAUUGGACGGGAAUCAGAAAAGUGAGAUCAUCCCUUUGGCACUGAAAUAUCCGCAUUGGACAUCAAAGCUGAAAGGGAUCUGAGAAUUCAGGGAGUGUUGGGUUGGGUGCAGCUUGGGAGGGACCAAAAGAUCCCACCUUCUCACCCGUCUCAAACCCCAAAACCUUUGGGAAGAGGAGAGUGGCAGGUUAAGGGAGGAGGAAGAAAACUCCCCAGCAUUGUCUGAAGGUAGUUAAGGCGUUGCUAGGAAAUUACAAAUUAUUGAGUCGUUCUGGAUGAAUGUGGCAGGAUGGAGUACUUGGCUGACAGGAAGAGAACACCCACCUUGCAAGGAGUUGCCAUGGGGACUGUUGCAUGCUUACAGGCGCCUGUUCAGCCAUGGGGGGGGGGUCAUUUAAAUCGACCCUCUUUAAACUUCCCUGCCCCCCAAGUCUCCUCUGUCUGGCUAAACAGCCUCAGAGAUAUGCCCUGAAGCAUAUGUCCAGCUUCAGCCAAGGGGGGCAAUGUACACCAGCCGUUAACCUCUUCGACCUCUCCUCAACAAUUCUGUCAAAUUCACAAUUUAUUUAUCUUAUUUAUUCACCUCAUUUAUAUCCAACCCUUUUCUCCAAGGAGCUCGAGGUGUCUUUUCGUGGUUCUGCCCCUCUGUUUUAUCCUCCCCACAACCCUGAAAGGUAGGGCAGGCUGAGAGGCAGUAGCUAGCCCAACGAGCUUCACACCCAGCAAGCUUCAUGGAUGAGUGGGGAUUUGGUUUUUUUUUUGGUUUUUUAAUAAUUUUUAUUAAAGUUUCAAUCAAAAAUUGAACAACAAACAAAGAAAGAAAAACAUCAAAAAAGAUACACAAAUACACAAUACAAAUCUCAAGGAGAAAACAAAAAAGACACAAAAAACAAGAAUCAACAACAACAACAACAACAACAAUAAUAAUAAUAAUAAUAAAACAACAACAUAACAAUUAAAAACAAUAUCUCUUUUCCAUUUCCGUUUUUAAAUUUACUUAUUUUCUGGACUUCCUCAUACCUCCCUCUUUUGUAUUCCAAUCCAAAUCGUUUGUCCAGCAAUUUCUUUUCAACUUUUUUAAUCCCAAUCUUUAACUUUAAUAUAAUAUUGUAAUAUAUAACUUCAACUUCUUUAAACCUGAUCUUUAAUCUUAGUAUAAUAUAAUAUAACCUUAAAAUUUUCCCUCUUAAUUGUCAAAUUUCCAUUUCUUUAAACAUUUUUAAUCCUAAUCUUAAUCUUAGUCUAUCAUCAACUUUAACCUGUACAGCUGGAAACCGCUUAUUCUCAGUCCAACAUCACUCUAACAUUCUUUAAUUUUGCAAUGUUUCUGAAGAUAGUCUUUGAAUUUCUUCCAAUCUUCCUCCACCGACUCUUCUCCCUGGUCACGGAUUCUACCAGUCAUUUCCGCCAGUUCCAUAUAGUCCAUAAGUUUCAUCUGCCCAUGGAUGAGUGGGGAUUUGAACCCUGGUCUCCCAGGUCCAAGUCCAACACGCUAACCACUACACCACCUUUUUGCGGUUGGCAUCCAUCUGUCUCAAGAGACAAUGGAGUGGGCCUCUGUGGGAUGUAAUCCACUGGGAGCAGUCAAAUACAACAUUCCUCGUUUUCCUAGAGGGGAUGUUUGGUCCAGCCAGUCGAAACUUCCUUGUUCCUCCUGGCUGGAGCAUCCUUCCUUUUGCAUGUGAUAGAAGGUGGGCGUGACCUAAACUGUCCAGGUAACAAAAGGACGAGUCACGCAGCACACCUCUCUCUGUUUCCUUCUUCUUCGCUCGACCAGCUUCUAGCUAGGACUGCUCUGUUAGCUCUCAGCUAGCAGAAGCACUGGGAUUAUUCCUCAAUAUGGUGUAGAUCCACAUGUACAUAUUUGUAACUAAGUCUGCUUUCAGGAAUCCAACUUUGAACUGAUGUGAGUACACUUCUUUUAUUGACUUUGAAUAAGCUUGUGGCAUCUUUAUUCUUUUAAGAGGGAUUCAAGGGAACUUACCAGGAAUGUACAAUUCAAUCUAUCUUAGGUUGAAUUGUACAAUAGUGAGAGGCUCACACAAGCCUGCAACCAGCUAUCUGCUGAGCAUGUAAAAAGGGGAAUGUAAACUCUGCUAAAUAAAGGAACUUGCUAGCGCAAGUUAGGAAGGAUAUUAAUAAACAAUGUAUCAUCUCCUGCCUCCCUGAACAUUCCCACAGCCUCCAGGAGUGAAAUCAAACCGGUGGAGAAUCACAGCGCCUGCUGUGGCUGCAGAGACCGGUAACACAUAACUGCUGCCUCCUGCGUUGUUUUUAGCAGCACCAAAGUAACGACUCUGGGGCUCUCUUGCCAAAUGCCAGGUGGUUCUUCUCAGAUGAGAUUCAGAGGCAAUACAAAACAUAAGUGAGUGAGAAGAUUAAAGAUUAAAGCAUUAUAUACAUUACCAAGCAAGCGCUUCGAUUUGCUACUUGGAAGCCCUCAAGAUGCGGCAAAGUGACUCCCCCAGGUAGCCUUUGGUUUGCACGACCCUCGAUCGAUCAUCUGAUUUCUAGGUAGAUAGCCUGUUAGCCUGCGUAGUUUGCCUGGCUGGCUAUGUGCUACUAGCUACGUGCAAAUUAUUUAUUAGCCACCCUCUCCCAAUGCCUCACUUUCUUCAAACAAUGUCCAGCAUCAAAAGAAUGUACCCACCAAUAUCCACUUCCUUCCAACAGAUUAGGACUAGGACAUUAAUGGCUGUUCUCAGCCAUCAAAGAGCUUAACAAAAUAUAGGAAAAGGAAGGAACAAGGUGGCAGGAAGAGGGCAACCGAGUUAGAUCGCUAACUCCUCAGAAAUACAAAUAUCUUCUGGAUAGAUUGCCCAUACAGGGGCACAAGCCUGGGCAAUGUGUCUGGAGGUCCUGGGCUGCCCAGAUGACAAGGCCUCACGGAUCUGGUCCACAGGAAAGCAGAACUGUAGCUAUAUUGGGGGAGAGACAGGCUAGGCAGGUUUUUUGCCCUGUGUGAAGCCUCCAGAGUCAUUGAGGCUCCCAGCCUGACGAGAGAGAGAGAGAGAGAGAGAGAGAGAGAGAGAGAGAGAGAGAAAGAAAGAAAGAAAGAAAGAAAGAAAGCCUGUUUUCACCCUUGUCUACUAUCCCUGAUGGCUCAGCUCAGCUUCCACAGUCAGGUGCAAGUGAUUGUAAUAAACAAAAAUCUGCCCUUAUUCCCUUAUGGGGAACACAAGAGCCCUUAUAGAGUCCUUUGUAGGUUCUCCAUCAGUCGGAGAAAAUAACAGAGGCCAAGCAGAGAAUAUUGAGAAGCAAAGCAGCUCGUAAGCCUGAUCUUUAUUGAUCUGUUGCAACAGGGUGCUCCCCUCACACGCAAGAGAAGGAGGAGGACCCCGAACAAAGGUGUGCCCGCCCCUAUAUAAACAUUUUAAAUUGCCUGCCCUGGAGCUCAAGACCACCCCUCCAUACAUCAUACAUACAUCACAGAAGGGGUGUAGCUCAAGACCACCCCCCAGACACAUACCUACAUCACAGAAAGGGCGGUCUACAACAGAAAUUUGAAUGCUAUUGUUUUUCUUGUCUGCCAGGUUAUCUGAUAAUGCCUUAUCCGAUUGCCUUUCCUGGUAGUCUGCCCAUUGCUUUGAGAUGGCGAUUCCCCAAUUCCCGAGACAAUGGGAAAAUUCCCUCACCCCCUCCCUCCUUGCAGAGAAAACAUUUGGUCAGUUUGGGAGUCAAAAUGGUUUCAGGACGGUCUUCCUGUGCUGGUCCAGACAUGUGGUCCACACAUCUAUGUAUGUGCUUGGUUGGUACAUUUAUUAUAUAUAUAUAAGACCUUAAUUUUUUUAUGUCACAAUGCUUCUGAAACCAAGAGGGGAGAGGGCUAUUGUGUUCGAAUCCUGCUUGCAGGUUUCCCACAAUGGGCAUCUGGUCAGCCACUGUGACAACAGGAUGUUGGACUAGAUGGACCACUGGCCUGAUCCAGCAGGUGAUUCUUAUGUUCGUGUGUGUGUGUGUGUGUGUGUGUGUGUGUGUGUCUUUCCAUUUUUGGGAGGCUUGAUGUCUUUGGAGACCUGUCGGAUUCCUCUAGGUGCUUUGAGCCGGCCUUGCUAUUUCGCACCAAGGUGUGACUUUUCUCACGUAGGGGGGAUCCCCAGGAGGCACAAACAGUGGUCCUGUUCAGUGGGGUCUGUGCAGCUGUCCAGACCCAUCGGAAAGCAGAGAGAAGUCAUUGGCUGCCAUCUAGAGCUCCUCACUUUUCCUUAGUGCUGCUUUUUCAUUGCAAAACCAUGGUGAAUAUUUUUUACAUUUUUAGGGGAUGAACUGUGUUAUCAAACUUUAAAACACACACACACACACACACACCCAAAAAAAAACCUCCCACAAAAUAUAUGGAGCAAAGCACUCUUCCUGGUUCAAAUUGCCUUCUGCUUUCCCCUUUUCCUCCUCCCUGAGCUUUUGAAGCCAGGAGGAGAUAUUUGCAGUGAGAGGCAAUUAGCAGCCCCAUUCGCUGCUCUGAUAAGCGCCUGGCUCAUCCUCCAGGGCUGACAAAACAAACUGUACUCAGGUUGAAGGAGCCUUGGAGUAGAGAAGUUGUGGAAAGCGGGAGAGGCUCAACAUGCAGGGCCAUGGUGUGUUUUUUAAAAAGAGGAAGGCGUAGAUCAGGCACCCCCAAACUCGGCCCUCCAGCUGUUUUGGGACUACAGUUCCCAUCAUCCCUGACCACUGGUCCUGUUAGCUAGGGAUGAUGGGUGAGGUAUAAAUAAAUUAUUAUUAUCAUUUUAUUUUAUUUUAUUAUUAUUAUUAUUAUUAUUCCCCUUUUAAAGCCAUUGAAGUUGGUGGCCAUCACUGCCUCCUGUGGCAGAGAGUUCCUUAGUAUGUGCUGCACAAAGAAGGACUUUAUUUUACCUGCCCUAAAUCUUCCAACAUGCUUUGCAUGCAGGAAUCCCAGCUUCAAUCACCAACAACAUCUCUGGGCAGUGCCAGGAAAAUAUUAUUGUCUGACAGCUCAUUCACACUUCCGCUUGACCCAGAAAGCACAGGUCUGAGUGGUUUUCCACUUUCCCCAUGAUUUCUGGGCACACGUGAGCAGUUGUGCCUUUGCCCUGCUUCUUUCAUGGAAUCAUAGAGUUGCAAGGGACCCCCAACGGCCAUCUAGUCCAACCCCCUGCAAUGCAUUUUGCAUUGGGAAAUUUUUUUGCCGUGGAAAAUUCGCUCUCUGGUGCUAAAUCAUAAUAAGAGGCAAUUCCUUUUUUAUAAUUUUUUAUUGAAUGCUUUCACAUAACAAAUUAUUCCAACAAAUCAUCUUCUAUUUCACCCUGUUUUUCCCCUCCCCUUCUCUCCUCCCUCCGACUUCCCUCAGCUCCUCUCUCUGAUUUUUUUAACACACAUUAUUCUCUGCAUGUUAUAAAAAUGUAAAGAUCCUCAGUUUAUUUAUCUAUUAUAUUAGUAACAAUAAGUUUGUGCAUGUUUAUUCAAAACCUGCCAAGGAGUCCAGUUCAUUUUGUUGUUGUUUUUUUAAAAAAAAUUGUAAAAGGUUCCCAUUCUUCUUUAAAGUCACACUUGUCCUUAUCUCGCAAUUUAUACAUCAAUUUUACCAGUUCUGCAUAAUCCAUCAAUUUCUCUUGCCACUGUUCUUUUGUUGGGGUUUCUUCAUUCUUCCAUCCUUGUGCUAUUAAGACUCUUGCCUCCGUUGUUGCAUACCUAAAUAUAUUCUUCACUUUCCUUGGCAGGUCUUUUCCUACAGUCCCUAACAAAAAUGCUUCUGGCUAGAAUAAGAGGCAAUUUCACAGAAAACCCAAUUGCUGUUUGUUCUGAUUCAGUGCUAAACUGCAGAAGGAAAGCUUUGGGGCAAACCCAAGUGUGGGUGAGCCCUAAAAUCCUGCAGAGCUGCUUCCAGUCAGUGUGGACAUUACAUAGCUAGCUGGACCAAUGGCCAGUCCCAGAUUCAGUUGCCAGCUUGCAAAAUUCUCCAUAUCCUGCCUAGUUUGUGGUUCGGUGGCAGAACACUUGCAUGGAGAAGGCAUCUCCAGGUCGGGACAGUUCUCCUUUUGAUUUGCAAUUCUCUGCUUCCAUUCAGCGCUGACAAAACUAAGCAUAGCAGAUCUAGCAUUGUGGGAUGUUACCGGAAAAAUCCGAGGGCUCCCUUGGACAAAAACAAAGACACCAACCAGGAUAACUUGGAGCAAAACAGCAGCCUGUAGGCUUGGCCUUUAUUGAACUGUUGCAACAGGGUGUUCCCUCACUUGCAGGAGAGAGGAAAGACACAGAAAAUGGUGUGCAAGACCUUAUAAAAACUUUUGAAAUUCCCACCCUGUAGAUCAAGCCCACCCCCAGAAACAUCAUGCAUAUAUUACAGAAAGGAGGGGUUGAGGGAGGAGUUGUGGUGGUAACCUGAGUGUCCUGUCACCUGGCUGGUUCCUCCUUUCCCCCUGCCCAUGAGUCACUUCCAGGAGACAAAAGGGAGUUGGCAGUUUCCUGCCCCCAGAGGGAAGAUCUGAUCAUUGUCCUUUGUUUCAGUCCAUGCUGAAUCCACUCCCAUAUGCAAGUUCUUUGUGAUCUUGAUGGUCUUCUGUCUAGGACCAUCAGGGUUGGCAUAGCAACUGGGCAGGGCUCCUGUGGAUGUGCUGGGAUGGUGACGGGAUUAUGGCUGACCAGAACCAAGCCACCCCCCUUUGAUAGUCCUUGUCAUAUGGAGUAAAAUAAAAAUGGAACCAUGCAAAUCUGAUGUAUGGUUGAUUUUUCUAUAAAUUUAUAACAGGUGUGGCAUAUGUAGUGUGUGAGUGUGAGUGUGUGAAGUUUGUACAAACUGAAUGAUUGGGGUGGGGGGUUCCUGCUACAGGGAACAGCUGCUCUAGGUGUUUUUCCUCUUCUUGCACACCUGACCAAAGAGCUGCAGAUUCUUCUGCCUUGAUACGAUGCCGGAAUAUCUGCCUGGCUCUCUUAUCCGUGUCGAGAGCUCCUUGGAUGAAUGAGCGCUAUUGAUCCUGAGUGUUGCUAUUCCUGUCAAGCUUCUCGCAGUUUGGGUUCUGUUUCUGGGCCAAGACAAAACCCAGGGGAACCGUCCCACGCUCAGGGUCUCGCUCACACUUGGGUGAUGAUGGCUCAUUAUGUUUCUCAUGGCAUCUUUUCCUUGUCAGUUAGGAAGGCCCAGCUGUGACUUUAUGGCACCAGGGUGACUCCAGCCACUGGAAAGGGGGCCUGUUAGGGAGGUCUUUGUUUUUCAGUAACCUAAAAAUGAAACGAUAGCUGUGUUGUGUAUUAAACGAAAAUCUGCCCUUAUUCCCUUAUGGAGGACACAAGAGCCCUUAUGGAGUCCUUUGCAGGUUCUCCAUCGGUCGGAGAAAAUAACAGAGGCCAAGCAGAGAAUACUGAGAAGCAAAGCAGCUAGUAAGUCUGAUCUUUAUUGAACUGUUGCAACAGGGUGCUCCCCCCACACGCAGGAAAGGAGGAGGACCUCUAACAAAGGUGUGCCCGCCCUUAUAUCGACAUUUUUAAUUGCCCGCCCUGGAGCUCAAGACCACCCCCAGAAACAUCAUACCUACAUCACAGAAAGGGUGGUCUACAACAGAAAUCUGAGUGCGUUGUUUACCUCCAGUCUGCCAGGUUACCUGUUAAUGCUUACUUGAUUGGAUACCCUGGGGAGCCUGGCCAGUCUUUUGUAAUGAUAAAUACUUAGUUCCUGAGCCAGGUCACAGGCUCACAUCCUGUUCAUACACACGACAUACCCUUAUGGUUUCAGGGGUCCUCUUCCAGCUCUACAAUUCUGUGAUAGUUCUGCUUGCCCUUAUAUACAAGGCUUAUGCCCCACUUUGCCACCCUCUUUGCCUUUGUCAGGUAUUUCCCCAAAAACGAGCUGUGAGUUCUUAUGGGUCAACUGAAAUAAAAAAUGUAAGGUCUUAUAUGUAUAAUAAAUGUUCAUAAAUGUACCAAGCAAACACAUACAUAAAUAUAUAAACCACAUGUCUGAAGCAGCACAGGAAAACAGCCCUGAAACAAUUUUGACUCCCAAACUGACCAAAUGAUUUCUCUGCAAGGUCAAGGAAAAUGGAAAAGCUUCCCCAUUGUCUUUUCCUUCACAAAGCCUGUCUUAAGGGUAUGUCUGUGUGUGAACAGGGUGAGCCUGUGAGCUCAGGAACUAAGUAUUUGUCAUUACAAAAGACUGGCCAGGCUCCCCAGGGUAUCCAAUCAAGUGACCAUUAAACAAGUAACCUGCCAGACAGGAGGUAAACAACGCACUCAGAUUUCUGCUGUAGACCGCCCUUUCAGUGAUGUAGGUAUGAUGUAUCUGGGGGGUGGGUUUAGGUUACACCCCUUCUGUGAUGUAUGUAUGAUGUUUCUGGGGGUGGUCUUGGACUCCAAGGCGGACAAUUUAAAAUGUCUAUAUAAGGGCGGGCACACUUUUGUUCGGGGUUCCUCUUCCUGCAUGUGAAGGGAGCACCCUGUUGCAACUGAUCAAUAAAGAUCAGGCUUACGAGCUGCUUUGCUUCUCAAUAUUCUCUGGCUGGCCUCUGUUCUUUUCUCCUACCAAUGGGGAACCUACGUAAGGACUCUAUAUGGGCUCUUGGAUACCCCAAAAGGGAAAAAGGGCAGUUUUUGUUUACAACACUGUACAGUCGGAGGCAGCAAGGCUUCUGAAUUGCAGUUGCUGGGAACCACAGCGGGGGAGAGUUGCCCUUGUGCUCGGAUCCUGCUUGCGGCACUGGUGCAUCUGGUCAGGCCCUGGGAGAACAUGAUGCUGGGCGAUCCAACAAGCUCUUCUUAGGUACUUCUGUUUUGAAAUGACAGGCGUGCUUUCUCUCCGCUUCCCCCGUCGAAACACCGCUUUCUCGUGAUCUCCUUGCCUGUCAAGAGGAAGUGGGGGAAAAUGCAAGCCUGCCCUGCCGUGGCAGGCUCUGCAUCCUGACCUCUGACCCAUCCCAAAGUGCUUUUCAGAGAUGUUUGUUUCCCGAAGAGAAAGGAGGUCACUGGGUCUCCUCUUCCGGCCUACACCGAAGAGUCGGAGAGCUUCUGCCUGGAGGGAGACAAAGGGCAGUGGCAGAAAUAGGGCAUUUAUUCCACGCCUUCCACACGUCAGGGGUUGCAAUGCAGAGAGGGGAGGAGGGCAUAACACAGCGUGGAGCAUUUGGGGAUGAAUGGAAAGUGCUUUUGCUGCACUCACAGAAUCAGAGAAGUGUAGGGAUGGAAGGGUCCCCUGAGUGUCUUCUAGUCCAACCCUCUGAAAUGCAGGAAGCAUCCCUGACAUGUGGCCAUCCAAGCUCUUCCUAAAAACCUCCAGCAAAGGAGAGUCUGCCACUUUCUGAAGAACUGGAAGCCCCUUUCCCAAAUGAGGUGGUGCUCCCAAUGUUGGAGAACUGGGAACUGCUAUGUUCCUUAAGAAAGCAGGCAGGCAGGCAGCCUCUAAAAAUCCUGCAGGGCUGCUGCCAGUCAGUGCAGGCUAUGCAGAGCUAAAUGAGGCAAGAGUCCGAUUCGGGAUCAGCCAGCUUUUUAUGUCCCCGUGUUAGAAUCAUGGAAUUGUACAGCUGGAUGGGACCCCAAUUUAGUCCAAACGCCUGCAAUGCAGGAAUUGUGACUAAAACUUCCAUGAGAGAUAACCAGCCAACCAAUAAUAAUAAUAAUAAUAAUAAAAUUUAUUUAUAUCCCGCCCUCCCCAGCCGAAGCCGGGGUCAGAGCAGCUAAAAACAGUAAAAAAACCACAGUUUACAUAAAAUCAUAAUUUAAUUGAAAUACAUUCUAAAAUCAAUUCAUUCUAAAAUCAAUUCAGAGUCUAAUUAAUAGCAACCAUUGGGCUAGAGUUCUGUGAGGAUUGCCAAAGGAGGGGGUCAGGCUGUGCCCCGGCCAAAGGCCUGGUGGAACAGCUCUGUCUUGCAGGCCCUGCAGAAAGAUGUCAAGUCCCUAGUCUCUUGUGACUGAGCGUUCCACCAGACUGGGGCCACAGCCGAAAAAGCCCUGGCUCUGGUUGAGGCCAGUCUAACUUCCCUGUGGCCCGGGAUCUCCAAGGUGUUUUUGUUUGAAGACCGUAAGGUCCUCUGUGGGGCAUACCAGGAGAGGCGGUCCCGUAGGUAUGAGGGUCCUAGGUCGCAUAGGGCUUUAUAGGUCAAAACCAGCACCUUAAACCUGAACUUAUACUCCAGCCAGUGCAGCUGGUAUAGCACCGGGUGAAUGUGAUCCCGCAGCGAAGACCCCAUAAGGAGUCUCGCCGCGGCAUUCUGCACCUGCUGGAGUUUCUGGGUCAGUCUCAAGGGCAGCCCCACGUAGAGUGAGUUACAAUAAUCAAGUCUGCAGGUGACCAUCACGUGGAUCUGCUUAGAAACCUCCAAUGGACAUUCCCAUGUUAACACUCGGAUGAGGAUUUUCUUGGGGUUUCAGCAAAUGCAGCCACCAGGAGUGGGUGGUGGUCUGCAGAGUGCAGACCCCUGGAGAUAAGAUUUGUUGCAUGAAGGGUGCUCACCCACCCCAUCCCAACCUGUGCAUUUCACAAAGCCUGCCUCUCUCCUCUCAUAAUUUUCAAAUCAGCUCUUUUCCUCAAAAAUACAUGGAGGGAAGAAAAGAAUAAAAAUAACGCAGGAUAAAAAAUUUCUGGCACAACCCUAACUCCAGAUGUAUCUGCUCCUCUCCAAGAUUGAGCUCCCUCACCCCUCCUCCCUCCCCACCCCCAAAAAACCUGGCAGUGGGAUGCAAGUUGCCCAGAUUCACCUCUUGAACUUCCUCUGGUUUGUUCUAAUUAAUUUUCAGCUGCUCCCCCCCCCCAACAGGGCAAGCAGCAAACGAGCAUAUCAAAUCAAUACAACAAAAUGAAUAUAUUUUUUUUAAAAAAAGACAAAAUCAAUAUUCCCCCCCCCCAAAAAAAAGACAAACAAACCAUUUUUUAAAAAAAAUCCUGACAAUGAGCAGAAAUAAAUGCACCAGGGAAACAGCUAAAUCAUCAGUGAAAAAAAAAAGGACUUUAAAAAUGCCUGUUGGGAUAAUGAAAUAAAAGUUUUCAGAACCCAUCUAAAAGCAGGAUGGGAGGUCAAGGUUCUGAAGGAUUGUUUCACAAAGGGAGUUCUAUACUGGUGGGUUGGGACGUAAUCCACUGGAGCAGUCAAGUACAUUUCCCGUUUGCCUAGAGUGAACAUGCAUGGGGAAUGUUGGUCCAGCCAGUUGAACUUCCUGUCACACCUGGCUGGAGCAUCCUUCCUUUGCAUGUGACUAGUAGGUGGGCGUGACCUUUCCAGACCUAGAAAAAGGUCAAGUCUUGUAGCUACCUCCCUUCUUUUUCGUCCUGCCUGCAUCACCUGGACCGCACUCUCAGCCAGCAGUCCCUGGGUUAUCUCCUAUAUGGGGUAAACCUGUUUGUACAUAUUUGUAACUUUAAGCCUAAAGUCUGCCUUCAGGGAUCACACUGUGCUUUGCCUGAUCGUGAGUAAAACUACUUUUUGUUGCAGGCAGGUAGCUGUGUUGUUCUGCCGUAGUCGAAACAAAAUAAAAAAAUUCCUUCCAGUAGCACCUUAGAGACCAACUAAGUUUGUUACUGUAGGGACGCGGGUGGCGCUGUGUGUUAAACCACAGAGCCUAGGACUUGCCGAUCAGAAGGUCGGCAGUUCAAAUCCCCACGACAGGGUGAGCUCCCGUUUCACGGUCCCUGCUCCUGCCAACCUAGCAGUUCGAAAGCACAUCAAAGUGCAAGUAGAUAAAUAGGUACUGCUCCAGCGGGAAGGUAAACGGCGUUUGCGUGCGCUGCUCUGGUUCGCCAGAAGUGGCUUAGUCAUGCUGGCCACAUGACCCAGAAGCUGUACGCCCGCUCCCUCGGCCAAUAAAACGAGAUGAGCACCAAAACCCCAGAGUCGGACACGACUGGACCUAACAGUCAGGGGUCCCUUUACCUUUACCUAAGUUUGUUAUUGGUAUGAGCUUUCAUGUUCAUGCACACGAAACGGUAUCUGAAGAAGUGUGCAUGCGCAUGAAAGCUCAUACCAAUAAGAAACUUAGUUGGUCUCUAAGGUGCUACCAGAAGGAUUUUUUUUUUUACUUUUUGUUACUUAUGAAUAAGGCUGUUGUGUCUUUAUUCUUUUAGGAGGGAUCAAAGGGGUCUUACCAGGAAUAAUAGAACAUAUCUCUUUCUGGGCAAGCCGGAUUGAAUUGCUUAUUGCCUUAAGAGACUCACACGAGUCUGCUGCCAGCUUCCUGGUGUGUAAUAGGUGAAUGCAGUCUGCCGUAUAAAGAAACUUGUUAGCGCGAGUUAGGAAGGAUAAUAUUAAUCAAUGUAUCCUCUCCUGUUAACCACAACAUCCCCACAGUGGGGCCACCCACGAGAUGGCAGUAGGGCAGGGGUAUUGCCUUUGGGACGUGGGUGGCGCUGUGGGUAAAACCUCAGUGCCUAGGACUUGCUGAUCGUAAGGUCAGCGGUUCGAACCCCCGCGACGGGGUGAGCUCCCGUCGUUUGGUCCCAGCUCCUGCCCACCUAGCAGUUCAAAAGCACCCCUAAGUGCAAGUAGAUAAAUAGGUACCGCUUUAUAGCGGGAAGGUAAACGGUGUUUCCGUGUGCUGAGCUGGUGCUGGCUCACCAGAGCAGCUUCGUCACGCUGGCCACGUGACCCGGAAGUGUCUUCGGACGGUGCCGGCUCCUGGCCUCUUAAGUGAGAUAAGUGCGCAACCCUAGAGUCGGACACGACUGGCCCGUACGGGCGGGGGUACCUUUACCUUUAUUGCCUUUGGUUUUUUUUUUUUAAUAAUUUUUAUUAAAAUUUUAAACAACAAAAGAAAAAAAAACAACACACACAACAAACAAUACAAAACUCAACAAUAAAAAACAAAAAACAUAACAAUUAAAAACAAACUCUCUUUUCCAUUUCCAAUUUUAAAUUAAUUAUUUUCUGGACUUCCUCAUACCUCCCUCUUUGUAUUCCAAUCCACAUUAUUUGUCCAGCAGUUUCUUUUCCACUUUUUAAUCCCAAUCUUUAAUUUAAUAAAAUGUUAAAAUAUAUAACUUCAACUUUUUAAACCUAAUCCUUGAUCUUAAUAUCAUAUAACGUUAAAAUUUUCCCUUUUAGUAUCAAAUUUCCAUUUCUUUAAACAUCUUUAAUCUUGAUCUUUAAUCUUAAUCUAUCAUUAACUUUAACCUGUGCAGCUGGAAACUUACUUUCAGUCCAACAUCCCUUUAACAUUCCUUAAUUUUGCAGUGUUUCUGAAGAUAGUCUUUGAAUUUCUUCCAGUCUUCCUCCAUCGACUCUUCUCCCUGGUCACGGAUUCUACCAGUCAUUUCCGCCAGUUCCAUAUAGUCCAUAAGUUUCAUCUGCCAUUCCUCCAGUGUGGGAAGUUCUUGUGUCUUCCAACACUUUGCGAUGAGUAUUCUUGCUGCUGUUGUUGCAUACAUAAAGAAAGUUCUAUCCCUCUUUAACACCAUUUGGCCGGCUAUGCCCAGGAGAAAGGCCUCUGGUUUCUUAGGGAAGGUAUACUUAAAUACCUUUUUUAAUUCAUUAUAUAUCAUUUCCCAGAAUGCCUUAAUCUUUGGGCACGUCCACCAAAGGUGAAAAAAUGUACCUUCAGUUUCUUUACAUUUCCAACAUUUGUUAUCGGGCAAGUGAUAGAUUUUCGCAAGCUUGACUGGGGUUAUGUACCACCUGUAUAUCAUUUUCAUAAUAUUCUCUCUUAAGGCAUUACAUGCCGUAAAUUUCAUACCUGUGGUCCAUAACUGUUCCCAGUCAGCAAACAUAAUGUUAUGUCCAACGUCCUGUGCCCAUUUAAUCAUAGCCGAUUUUACCGUUUCAUCUUGAGUAUUCCAUUUCAGCAGCAAGUUAUACGUUCUUGACAAAUUCUUAGUUUUGGGUUCUAACAGUUCUGUUUCUAAUUUGGAUCUCUCCACCUGGAAGCCAAUUUUCCUGUCCAAUUUAAAUGCCUCCAUUAUCUGAUAAUAAUGAAGCCAGUCUCGCACUUUGUUUUUUAGUUUUUCAAAACUCUGCAAUUUCAGUCUAUCUCCGUCUUGUUCCAAAAUUUCCCAAUAUUUCGGCCAUUUGACCUCCAUAUUGACCUUUUUCAAGGAAAUUACUGGGAUUUAUUUGUAAGCAAACAGAUUUAGGAUUGAGUUGUAAUUGCCAAAUUCAUGAUGAUACACUCUCUAUAGGAAAAAUAUACAUGAACUUAGCACUCUUUCGCCCCACCAUCUUUCAUCCCACCACAGUCCUUGGAAGCUCAACUCAUUUUCUUUACUGUACAUGCAGGCCAUUGGCCGGCUCUUCUUAGGUGACCUUUGAAAGGACCGACUGUGUCUCUUGGGCAAAAAGGGUUUCCACUUCUCUAGUCUAAAGCACCUUUGUGGAAUGAACUCUGCAAGGAGAUGUUAGUAGCUGUCUGCUACCUCCCCUGCCUGGUCGAACCCCUGGGGUUUUUCCCGGAGCAUCUUAAAGAUGUCUUUGUUACACGGAGCUGAGCCCUGAAUUAUGGAUCUGUUCUGCUGCCCUCAAGUCCUUGUUUUUAAUCUCUCUUCUUCUGCUUGUAUUGAUGUGCUAGCUCUUUUAGAUUUGUUUUUGUUUUUUUGGUGGGGAGCUGAUAUUUUAUAUAUGGGUUUUUUUAUACUGUGGGAAGCGAGAAUCUUAGUGGGAUGAACAGCAUGUGCAUUUAAAUAAACGAAGGGAUGGAAAUUUGCAAGUGGGCAGAGACUGCAGCAGCAGCGAUGUGUGAGAAGAGGAAGAUGAGGAACAGGGGAUUGGGGCCUGACCCAGAAGACAAACUUACCUGCAUUGUCAUUGGGUCCAGGGCUGGGCCAAUUCGUGACCAGCUUCUUUGAAAAGGUCCUGCGAUUCACAAUAUGCCACAGUCCUCAUCACAGAAUCAUAGCGUUGUAGAGUUCGAAGGGACCUCUGAGGGUCAUCCAAUCCAACCCCCGGCAACGCACGAAUCACAGCUCAAGGAUCCCUGACAGGCAGACAUCCAGCCUCUGCUUAAAAACGGCAGAGGAAGGAGAGUCCAGCAAGGAAGAACUUUCUGAAGGCAAGAGCUGUUUGAUAGCAGAAUGGACUCCCUCAGAAGGUGGUGGAGGUUUUUAAGCAGAGGUUGAUGGCUUGUGGUCAUCCAUCAGGGAAUCUUGAGCUGCGACUCCUGCAUUGCAGCGGGUUGGGCUGGAUGACCCUUAGGGGUCCCUUUCAACUCUACAAUUGUAUGAUUGAAAAGUCAUCUCAAGAAGCAGGGAUGGAGAAGAUGCUGUUUCUGCCUGAGACCCCAAGGAGGUGAGGCAGUGAUGGAGGGGAGCAAUGAACAGUCCGAUUCAGCAGACAACAACUUCAUACGUUAAGUCUUUUUUUGGCACAGUUUGGGCCCUUUCUUUCUUGGUGACUUACCCGUCUGUUUUUAUUUUCUUCCUGUUUUUCGUUCUCUCAGCCACUGUUAAGUGGGAUGGGCUUAAUCUCCUGAUACAGCAACAGGCGGCCACGUUUUAUAUAUAUUAUUGCAGGCGCAGGUUGGGAAGGAGUUAAUCGCCUUUCUUUCCAACUCAAGGGCCGCAGUUGAGCAAUUCUUCAUAUUCCUGAUGUUUUCCACCAGGCGCCUGCAUCUUCAUAAUCACUGUGAUUAAACCACCCGCGGAGAACUAGGUCCACACAGAAAUGAGUUGCGGAAAGUGAAAAUACUCUGGGCUGUGCAGUUGUUGCCAUUUGAGGAACUGGAGAAAAAAGGAGGGGGGGAGAGGUUAAGAAACACUUUAUUUUGGCAAGGAGGGCUUUGCUGGCUCCUUUUGUGACUCAGUGACACUUUGGAGAGGAAGGAAGAAGUGUUGCACUCAUGCUUGGAAGUCCCAGAGUCCCGGGAAAACCAAGUUGAUGGACUAUGCCGGGGUCAGCAAACUUUUUCAGCAGGGGGUCGGUCCACUGUCCCUCAGACCUUGUGGGGGGCCAGGUUAUAAUUUUUGGGGGGUGGGAUGAACAAAUUCCUAUGCCCCACAAAUAACCCAGAGAUGCAUUUGAAAUAAAAGGACACAUUCUACUCAUGUAAAAACACGCUCAUUCCCAGACCGUCCAUGGGCUGGAUUUAGAAGGCGAAUGGGCCGGAUCCGGCCCCUGGGCCUUAGUUUGCCUACUCAUGAACUAUGCCGAAGUGGCAAAAUUAACUGGGAAGCUCAGAAAUCAAGAAGACAAGAACUUUGACAAGGAAUGGGGAAAGUUUAUAAUUUAUUUAAGAGACCACUGCAAGCAGGUUAAAACAUUAGCAGGAUUUGAACCACACUUGUAAAGUAAUGGAAAGCAGGGAUAAUUUAGAAGGAUUACAUUUUUUGAUAAGUAAUGAUAAGUAUACCUGAAGGAGUGUCUCCACCCCCAUCGUUCAGCCCAGACCCUGAGGUCCAGCUGUGAGGGCCUUCUAGCGGUUCCCUCCCUGCAAGAAGUGAGGCUACAGGGAACCAGGUAGAGGGGCUUCUCAGUGGUGACGCCCGCCCUGUAGAAUGCCUUCCUUUCAGAUGUCAAGGAAAUAAACAACUGUCUGACUUUUAGAAGACAUCUGAAGGAGGCAGCCCUGUUUAGGGAAGUUUCUAAUGGUUGGUUCUAUUUUUAAUAUUCUGUUAGGAGCUGCCCAGAGUGAGCGGGGUAUAAAUAAUAAAUUAUUAUUAGUAGUAGUAAUAGUAGUAGUACUAAAUAAUACCUUUAGGACCCAAGGGACGAAAGGGAUAGGGGGAAAGUCAAAAGAUUCAGAGCAAUCUUGAUAUUGGGAUUCAGAACUGUUUUUGGUUGUAUGUUUAUAUAUAUACUUAAAUCAAAUAAAAAAAUUAUUUAUAUAAAAGGAAAUCCCAGGGUUCCUCCAGAUAGCCCUUCUCCUUAUGACAAAUUGUGCUCACGAUGGUGUCAGAGCAAUUACACACAACACCACUUUCAGUAGUAUUUGCAGCUGCAAAAGUUUUAGGGAAGAUAUAUCACCCCAAAAAGGAUAUUAUAGAGUUGGAAAUUUUUCAGUAAAGGGCAAGUCAAGUGACCCAGGGGAAGGAGCGACUCCCCUGUGAAGAAUGGGGAGUAUUUGAGGCUUUUCAGUUCUGAGAACAGCCAAGGAAGAUGCAACAUGGUAGAAGUUUAAAAAAAUAAUGCAAAGUAGUGUAGCACCCUGCUUGUGGUUAACGCUUAGCUGGAAUGAAACAUUCAACGCAGCAAUAGAGAAAUUAAAAUAAUAAUUUAUUUGUCAGACAAAUAAAUGAGAGACACAGUGGUAUAUGGUUACCAAAGCUCUGCCUACUCCAGCCCUGAUGGCCAGCACUUAUAUUUCCUCAGCCCAGCCCCCUUGCUCCUCCUUUGGCUGCCUCUGUCCAAUCAGCCUGGUUGAAAUUCCUAUUGGCUGUUUGCUAGAACCAAUCAUAAAAGAUACACCCAUUUCCUAUUACCUUUUAUGGGAGACAAAGAGCUAUAUUUCCUUCUAUCCAUAAAUGGCAGACAAGUAGCCAUAUAUCUUACAUUUGCCUCGACCAGGCACCUCAAUUACCAGAUCACCUUUUGCCCUAUUGCCCUAUUACCCUAUUGCCCUAUUCACUCCAAAACAGAUGGCUAAAACAGAGAUCUUGGGUUCACCUUCUCACACACCAUCAAUGAAAUAAGAAUCUAACAUAAGAAUCUAACAUUUCUUACUUUCUAAAUCCUUUGCAUAAUUACAUUUAAGCCAAUAUAUUUCAUACAUUAACAUAUAUAGCUUUUUAGAAGGAAAGGAACUUAGUAAAAACAGUUUCCAAAAGCAACCCCUUAAAUUUACACCCCCCUUUCAAGCCAGCUGCUGUUUCUAUUAGCUCUUGCCCUUUAACCUUAGGAAGAUGUGGCUCAAGUCUAAUGGGAGGCACAUGGGAUUAUUUUCUGUUAAACAAUAAAUUUCACUAUUUACCAACUCUUAAUUAGUAUUUUUGCAGCUUGAUUGUAUUCUGUAAUUUGUAUGGUCAAUAUGACCUUUUGCUCCCAGCCUGUAAUUUCCUUUUACAACCCUGAGGCACUGCUAUAGAUCAGAGGGGCCCUGUUCAAGGAGAUAAACAUCUGCCAAAGUACUCAGCCAGCUGCUUUAUGCCUGGCAUAAAACAUACAAACAUUUGCAAAUAUAUUUUUUAAGCUCAUUUUAAAAUGCAGGCCUUGAUCUGAUGCCUCAGUAGGGAGAAAGCAGAGAGAGAAAAGUUUUUUCUCUUCCUCGCUCAUAGCGCUAGAACUUGUGGACAUGCAAUGAAGCUGAAUGUUGAAAGACUGAGGACAAAAGAAGAAGUCCCUCUUAAAGCUAUGGAACUCCCUGUCACUGGAGGCAGGGAGGGCCAGCAAUCUUGAUGGCAUUAAAAGAGGACUGGACAAAUUCACGGGGGGUGAGGCUUUCAAAGGCUACAGGCCACGAUGGCUAAGCUUUGCCUUCAGAGUUGGCGGCUGCAAUUUUUCUGAAUACUAGUGGCUGGAAACAGCAAGAGGGGAGAAGUGCUCUUGUGUUCGAAUCCUGCUUGCGGGUUUCCCACAGGCAUCCGCUUGGCUACCAUGAGAACAGGAUGCUGGCCUGGGUGGGCCAUUGGCCUGAUCCAGCAGGCUCUUCUGACAUUAAUGUCCAGUUUUUCUAAAGUGAUGCUGCGUAUUUACUUACAGAGAGCACCCGUCCGCGGCAGCUAAAAAAAGCCAAUGCAAUUCUGGGCUGCAUCAAUAGGAGUAUAGCAUCUAGAUCAAGGGAAGUAAUAGUGCCACUGUAUUCUGCUCUGGUCAGACCUCACCUGGAGUACUGUGUCCAGUUCUGGGCACCACAGUUCAAGAAGGACACGGACAAACUGGAACGUGUCCAGAGGAGGGCAACCAAAAUGGUCAAAGGCCUGGAAACGAUGCCUUAUGAGGAACGGCUAAGGGAGCUGGGCAUGUUUAGCCUGGAGAAGAGGAGGUUAAGGGGUGAUAUGAUAGCCAUGUUCAAAUAUAUAAAAGGAUGUCACAUAGAGGAGGGAGAAAGGUUGUUUUCUGCUGCUCCAGAGAAGCGGACACGGAGCAAUGGAUCCAAACUACAAGAAAGAAGAUUCCACCUAAACAUUAGGAAGAACUUCCACAGAUAAUGGAGGCAUACAAUUUGGACAAGAAAACUGGCUUCCAGGUGGAAAAAUCAAAAUUAGAAACAGAACUGUUAGAACCCAAAACUAAGAUUUUGUCAAAGAUGUAUAACUUGCUGUUGAAAUGGAAUACUCAGGAUGAAACGGUGAAAUCUGCUAUGAUUAAAUGGGCACAAGAUGUUGGACAUAACAUAAUGAUGGCUGACUGGGAACAGUUAUGGACCACAGGUAUGAAGUUUACGGCAUGUAAUGCCUUAAGAGAGAAUAUUAUGAAAAUGAUAUACAGGUGGUACAUGACACCAGUCAGGCUUGCAAAAAUCUAUCAUUUGCCCGAUAAUAAAUGUUGGAAAUGUAAGGAAACUGAAGGUACAUUCUUUCACCUUUGGUGGACAUGCCCAAGGAUUAAGGCUUUCUGGGAGAUGAUCUAUAAUGAAAUGAAAAAGGUAUAUAAAUAUACCUUCUAGAAGAAACCAGAGGCCUUUCUCCUGGGCAUGGUCGGCCAAUUGGUGCCAAAGAAGGACAGAACUUUCUUUAUGUAUGCCACAACAGCAGCAAGAAUACUUAUUACAAAGUAUUGGAAGACACAAGAUUUACCCACUCUGGAAGAAUGGCAGAUGAAGGUGAUGGACUAUAUGGAACUGGCGGAAAUGACUGGCAGAAUCCGAGACCAGGGAGAAGAGUCGGUGGAAGAAGAUUGGAAGAAAUUUAAAGACUAUUUACAGAAAUACUGCAAAAUUAAUGAAUGUCAGAAUGAUGUCAGAAUGAAGUUAAGUGGUUUAGCAGCAAUGUUAUAAAUGUGUAUGUAAAAAUGGAUUGUUAACAGGUGAAAAUCCAAAGUUAUAAUAUAUUAAGUUAAAGGAUUAAGACAAAAACAAAGAGGGAAAGGAAUUGCUGAAUUAACUAAUAGAACUGGAACACAAAAAAGGGAGGUGUGAGGAGGUCAGGGAAGCAAGGAAAUGAAAUGUAAGGCAUGGAAAGAUUUUUAUCUUUUUUCUGUAUUUUGUAUUUUUUCUUUUUUAUUUCUUUCUCUUUCUUUCUCUUUUUAUUUAUGUAAUCUUUUCUUUGAAACUUUAAUAAAUAUCAUUAAAAAUAAUAAUAAUAAACAUUAGGAAGAACUUCCUGACAGUAAGAGCUGUUCGACAAUGGAAUUUGCUGCCAAGGAGUGUGGUGGAGUCUCCUUCUUUGGAGGUCUUUAAGCAGAGGCUUGACAACCAUAUGUCAGGAGUGCUCUGAUGGUGUUUCCUGCUUGGCAGGGGGUUGGACUCGAUGGCCCUUGUGGUCUCUUCCAACUCUUCUAUGAUUCUAUNNNNNNNNNNNNNNNNNNNNNNNNNNNNNNNNNNNNNNNNNNNNNNNNNNNNNNNNNNNNNNNNNNNNNNNNNNNNNNNNNNNNNNNNNNNNNNNNNNNNUGAUUCUAUGAUUCCUCUUAAGAAUAUAUAGAAAAAGCUAAGGUAGCUGGACCGACCUUUCUUCUCCCCUCCUCUUCACUGAAAAAAACAAACCCAUUUCAGUUGCAGGAGGUGAUCAAAUUAAAUCCCAUUCAGCUCCCAGUAAUGAGCGGAGGAGGCAGGGGAAUAUUGAGGGACCACUUCUUCACUCUCAUUAUUCGCAUGAAGAGAAGCAUGAGGUAUUUUAUUCUGUUCUCCAGAGAUGCUGAGGGUGGACUUGUCUUUUCUGGCUACAAGUGGAUGUGGGAAUGUUCAAGGUGGCAGGAGAGAUAUAUUGUUUAUUAAUAUCCUUCCUUACUUGCACUAACAAGUUCCCUUAUGUAGCAGAAUUUACAUUCCCCCUUUUACAUGCACAACAGAGAGCUGCUUGCAGGCUCGUGUGAGCCUCUCGCUAUUAUACAAUUCAAUCUGUCUCAGAUUGAAUUGUACGUUCCUGGUAAAUUCCCUUGAAUCCCUCUUAAAGGAAUAAAGAUGCCACAAUCUUAUUCAAAGCCAAUAAAAGAAGUUUACUUAUGACAGUUCACAGUUGGGUCCCUGAUGGCAGACUUAGUUACAGCUAUGUGCAUGUGGAUCUACCCCAUAUGGGGAAUAAUCCCAGUUACUGCAGGCUAGCAGUCCAGCAGUUCACAUGACGAAAGGAAGAUGGAAGAGGAGGUGGUGUGCUGGUCACGCCCACCUUCUAUCACAUGCGAAAGGAAGGAUGCUCCAGCCAGGAGGAACAGGAAGUUUUGACUGGCUAGACCAAACAUUCCCUUGCAUAUCUUCUCUAGCAUUACAGGGAAUGUUGGACUUGACUGCCUCUCAUGGGUCACAUCCCAGAGUGGAGAGUGAGACUUCGCUUUCUGCCUGCCUCUUGUAGCACAGGGUUGAUCAAUACCGGUGAUUACCUGCAGAUCUGGGAGAGAUCAAGCCACCGCUUUUGCAGAUAUUCCUGGUGGGGGGGUCCGACCAAGGCAGAACCCUAAAAUGCUAGAAUUGCACAGCUGGAAGGGACUCCAAGCGUCAUCUAGUCCAACCCCUGCAAUUCAGGAGUCCCAGCUAAAGCCUCCGUGACAGAGGGCCACCCAUCCCCUGUUUAAAACCUUCCAAUGAAGGAGAGUCCAGCAUCUUCUGUGGCGGUGCAAGGCGCUGUUCCUUCCCCCAAUACUUUUGUUGAUGCCGGCCAGAAUUGGACUCGCUUUUCUUUCGUGGCUGAGCAAUGAGCUCGGCUUUAUCGCUUUGCAGCCAGACUAGGGUGGUGGUGGUGGUGGGGGGGUAGAAGCAAGGAAGGCAAAAUGCUUAAAUGGGGGGGGGGGGUUGUUGCUGCUUUCCCCAGACACAGAACAAUCCAGCCUGUCCGGCGAAGAUCUAAUAAAAGAUAACUUGGCGACUCAUUCCCUCGAAGCAGAUGGAGAGCCUAGCAACCGUCAUCGACAGUCGCUGAUAAUUACUUUUAAUCAAGGCAGAUUCAUUCUUGUAGGGGUUUCAUUUAAAACCACACACAAAAACAGCCCACAUCGGUCCGCUUUUCCCUGUUCUCCGCAGCCCUUUCUGUCUUGUUUUCACAGGGUGGCUUCUAAGGACUAGAAACUUUGCCCAGUUUGUGCCACCCCACCCUCUGCCGCGCUGGGCCACAGCUUGAGUAUCUACUGCCCCACCUCCUUAUUCCGAUGGAGCCAAGCAUUUGCGAGACCCUUCUCUCCAGCACUGCCAAGCCCCCCUUCCCUUUCCCCACUGGUCCCUCCCUGCCUUUCUGUCAAGGAGUCAAGGAUCUGGUCUCUUCUCUUCCUCCUCCUCUCUCUGUCCAUUUUCAGUUUGCCCAGGAGGGCUAGGGGUGGAGUAGAAUGGCAGCAAGCUUUUAUGAGCCCCCUACCCACUCGAGAACCUUCCGAAUGAAGUGAGUAAACCUUGUGUUCGAAUCCUGCUUGCAGGUUUCCUUUGGGGGCAUCUGGUCGGCCACUAUGACAACAUAAUGUUGGACUAGAUGUGACAUUGGCCUGAUCCAGCAGACGCUUCUCACAUCUCCUCCAACAUUUCUCCGAUGAAAAUAGAGACAUCCUAUCGCAUAAUAAUAAUAAUAAUAAUAAUAAUAAUAAUAAUUUUAUUAUUUAUACCCUGCCCAUCUGACUGGAUUGUCCCAGCCACUCUGGGCAGCUUCCAACAUAGAAAAACAUGUUGCUGUUUAGUCGUUUAGUCGUGUCCGCCUCUUCGUGACCCCCUGGACCAGAGCAUGCCAGGCACUCCUGUCUUCCACUGCCUCCCGCAGUUUGGUCAAACUCAUGCUGGUAGCUUCGAGAACACCGUUCAGCCAUCUCGUCCUCCGUCGUCCCCUUCUCCUUGCGCCCUCCAUCUUUCCCAACAUCAGAGUCUUUUCCAGGGAGUCUUCUCUUCUCAUGAGGUGGCCAAAGUCUUGGAGUCUCAGCUUCACGAUCUGUCCUUCCAGUGAGCACUCAGGGCUGAUUUCCUUCAGAAUGGAGAGGUUUGAUCUUCUUGCAGUCCAUGGGACUCUCAAGAGUCUCCUCCAGCACCAACACCAGAAAAACAUAACAACACAUUUAAAC
rnacentral:lncRNA from 1 species